rnacentral:lncRNA from 1 species
AAUGUAUAUUUUAAGUUUGAGAAUUGUGUUUUGCUUAUUUUUCAUGGUUGUAAGUUAUUUUCUUGGAGUACGUGUGCGAGUCCUAGCGAGAGUUGGGCAAGCGGUCCGCUAAACCUUGGGGUACGCCCUGGGGGAGGUGGGUCGUCACAGGUGCUCUGCCUAGAACCUGGCAGAAGCCACCAUAUCAGUACUGUUUCCUUUUCUUGCUGGUGUUAAAGUGCUUAUCUGAAUGGGUGAAUUAUCCAUGACAUUAUUUGAAACUAUUUACUGUCUUCGUUUUAAGGUUUUGAGAUAUGUGAAAGAUAUUUUGCCAAUUUGACUACAUGUUUACUUGGAACCUCGCUGGGUUUCUAGCUCAUUCCAUGAAAUUUGUUUUCCUUACAGGAGUAAGAACGUGAGAGUGGGAAUUGGACAAGAUAUGGACUUUGUCUAAGUUUUGUUAGUUGCUCACAUAGGAACUCUUAGCUCUCUAGCGAGCUUGUUUGAUUUUAUUUUGUAAGUUUAACUCGUUGGCUAUAUUUAGAGAUUGUACGGGCAUUUGAUGUCCACGAUUGUAUAUAUCUAAGGUUGUAAAUGUUAUUGGUCUCAUUGUUGAGAUUAAUAUUUGGUAAACUUCAGAGUACGUGAAUGAGUCCUGGCGAGAGGUGAGUAAGCGGUCCGCCAAACCCUUGGGUAUGCCCUAGGGGAAGGUGGGGCUGUCACAGAUGGGGCCUUAGAAAGGUUCCAGAAGUUUGCCCUACCUAAAUUUACUGGAGAACUGAAUCCCAAAGUAGUGGAGAAUUAGUUAGAAGCUAUGGCUAACAUAUUUGAGGCAUUAAGAAUCAGGUAUAACAUAUUAAUGUAAUAUGCGCUUUGACAUGUAUGAAUAAUAAGUAAAACACUAAUAUUCAUUGUAGACUGCUACUAGGAGAGGAAAAUUAGGAAGAGGCACAACUAACAUAGACUUAUCAGGAGCUAGAGUUUGGGUAAUAAAUGUUGCAACUGUCAUUCAAUAUGCUUGGGUCUUUGACAUGCCUCAUCUGAAUGUUAAGUGAUUUGUGUGUGACAUAUUUCAAUAGGAGCUUGCACAAGGAAGUGUGCCAAUUGUUGUAUCAAGUCAAGGAAGUAAUCCCAGUCCUCCUAGUCAACCAAUUUCACUAAAUAUACAUUUCAGUGGUGCAACCAAAAAGGCAAGCACAGUUUUGAUACUAACAUUUGAGUGUUUUACAAUAUGCCUAACAUCUAAGUGGUUCGUAUACUCAUUUCGGAGAGGAAGACCUGUAAAGAAAAAUAAGACAGCUGCAUCGAGUGGCAAUGCACAAAGCCGUGCAACAGGUUACCUUCUCUAUUUUCCAAUUUGAGAGGGCAGCACGUUCAUGGUGGAACGUGAUUAAAACAAAAUGGGAAAGAAAAUAGACUUCGUGAACUUGGGCUAACUUCGCCUACGAGUUUAAAGAGAAAUAUAUCCCUCCUUCGGUUCAAGAGAAGAGGAAUGAUGAAUUCAUUAGACUUCGACAGGGGACCUCUAGUGUUGUCGAAUACAAAGCCCAGUUCAUAAAAUUGUCCAAAUUCUUCCCUGAAUAAGUACCCACUGAACAAAAAAGAGUGAGGUGGUAGUUCGUUCAAGGGUUAAAUUUGGCGAUUUAGGAAUCAUUAGCACCAGUCACCCUGGAUACUUUUGCCGGGGCUCUUGAGAAAGUCCAGAGAAUUAAGAAUGCUAAGUCCCAACUUAAGCAUUUCCAAGCUAUAAGAGGAAUGCCUAUAGCCCUACUCUCGGGCAAUCUCGAGGAAAUGUCCUGCAGCCCAAAGCGGGAAGAGGAUUUGGUGGGAUGAGACUUCCACUCGGGGCUCAGAAUCGACCAAUUGGCACACCGACUAGAGGAGCUCAAGCCGGAAAAUGACAACAAGGGGGGCCACCCAGAGGAGGACAAGCAUCGGGCUCCUAGACAGCAUGUGGAUACUGUAGGAAAUGAAAUCAUUCCGAGAUAAAUUGUUGGGUGAAGGGACGAAAAUGUUUGUUCUGUAAAAGUUCAGAGCACCUGUGACAGCCCCACCUCCCCCUAAGGCGAACCAGAUGGUUCGGCGGGCCGCCUGCCCAGCUCUCACCGGGACUCAGUCGUUCACUACAUUCCUCAAACAGAUUACAAGAAUAAACCUCAAAUAUUACAAUAUAAAUCUCCAAUAUACAUCAAAUUCUCCAAAAAUUACAUGUCAUAAGCGAAGCGGAAACAAUUCCAAAUAAGCCAUCCAGUCACGUGAAUAAGUACUACAAGCCCUUCCUUCGCCUUGAGCCCUGUGGAGGGGAAUAAAAUAUUUUUGGGGUGAGCUAGAAGCUCAGCGAGUAACCAGUAAAAGCAGUCAUCAAAUAUAUUGCACAGUAAUGUAUUCCAAUGAUGUCAUGAAUCAGAGAUCAAAUGUACGUCUUUUGCUCUCGUGAGCCAGUGAAAUCAUAGCACUUGAACACCCAACGCUCAAAUAGAUCAUUUAACAUUAACAGAAAGGGAGCCCCUUUUUGAGCUCCAGAUAAACAUGAACAUGAACCAUAAACAGAGUGGAGACGUUGGUGUCCAGCACAAGACUCCCCAAGAACUCAGUAAAGCCAAAACUUGUCAUGAACUCACAUGCAAGCACGCAUGAUAUGCAUCGAGUAAAUAAUGCAAGAAACGUUUCACAAGUACUUUGGAAAUAGUUUAGGGUCACUCACCUCCAUGGCUCAGAAAUCAUCCAUCAUAUAAUAUUGCCUUGCUCAAAUCCAAGUCUUACAUCACAAACUCAAUGCAAACAAAUCCCUUCAAAGUUCGGACAGCACUUCCCCUGAAUUUGCUAACUUUUCCAGCCAUCAUGGCUUCAUUAUUUCCUCAUUCCAUCCCAAAGGUACACACACAACAACAAGUUCAUCCAAUAGCCAUUCAGCAAGCUCCAAGUAGUACUAGUACAAGUCAAGCUAGGGAAAAGUCCGGAAAUGAAAGUUAAGCUCAAAACCAGAAAAACAGUUUUGACGUCAUUUUGCGGUAAUGGUACCAAAGGCACUACGAUUGUCGGAUGAAGGUGCAAGAUACACCGUUUCGAAGCUAAAAGACAGGGCUACAAUAUUGCAGAAGGUCACUCAACCCAGUUUCGAGUGUAACCAGGUCAAAAUGCAAGAUACUAUACCAGAAUCACAAAAACAGAUUCACAGAACGCAUUCUAGCGGAAACAUCAUAAAUCAGGCUAUCCAAGUCCAAAUCCAGAAAUUCCAAAACCAGCUGAAAGCUAAGAAACAGGGAUAAAUUUCAUCAGAAGGCCUCAACAACCAAUUCGGAAGCAAUUCCAGCCAAAACAACCAAUUACAGGCGCAAUUCUUACAUUCGGGUAAAACCAGAACAGCAAUAGUAAUUUCGACUUUUCUCACUCUACGCUACUCCGAUUGACCUGAAAUUUUGUAGGCACCUCUAAAAUAUCAUUCCCUACAACUUUCAUGUUUUAAGCCAAGGCCAAUUCGGCCUCUAUCUAUGAGCUAUAAAUUCGGGCAGAAUGUUCCUUCACAAAACCUAAUUUUCUGAAAUUUCUUCCAAAACAGAAAUUGAUUGCAAUUGUCCACUUUUUCCACCUUCUAGAAUCAUUAUAUACCAUUUCCAAUCAUCAUAGAUAGCCACACAAUCAUGCUCAUAUUAAAACAGAAAAAUCCCCAAUAAUUAUAAAACUUCAUCAAGUCAACCACAACUCAAGAUAUAAUCCAUCAAACCAUCUCUUUAGCCAUCACAAGUCACUAAUUUAGCAUAAUCAAGAACAAAGAAAGGAUUGCUAGACAUGAACCUUGAAAUAUCAAGAAAGUUGAUGGCUUAGUCCUUUGCCUUCUCUAAUCACUCCACCACUACCUUCAAUCUUCCUAAACAAGUGACUUUUGUGGAGGAAUUUGAAAGUUUAACGGUUGAUUCACAAGAUUGAGCAAGAAAUGGAGUUGGAGUUGAAGCCUUUCUUCUUGUAUUUUUGCUCCAAGAGGUUUGGCCAAGACAAGCUUAAAAUGGAGAGAAAUUGGUCAAUUUUUUGAGGUUUAGUAAAGGUGAUGCAAAUUAGUCAAAGUCCAACUUUGAAUAAGAAGGUGACACAUGUCACCUUUUGAUUUAAAACUUAUCUUUUUGUCUCUCCAAUACAAAUAUCUUAACACUUUGUAAAAUAUCACUUAAUACAAAAUUCCAACAAGUUGUCAAAAAUAUAAUGCAUUUACCGCACUCGCGGGUCCCACGCUCAAAAUACGCUUUUAAUUUCUCAAAAACUAACCGAUACUAGAAAAAUCAUUUUCAAACUAUCUUUGCUCAUAAACUUUAUCUGGAGAAUUUUUCUAAUAAAGAAAAUGUAGAAAAGGCGGGCGAUUAAAUAAAAUAAACACUAGAAAAUUAGAAAAUUUCCGGGUUCUCACACUCAUUCUUUUCGGGGCGUCACAGCACCAAAUUGAUAGUUGCCCAACUAAGUUACCACGAGGUAUCAAUACCCCACCACUUGCACCUCGACAGAUUAACAAUAGGGGAAAUCGACAGAGAGUGCCAACAAGAGUAUAUGCUUUAGAUAGGCAGCAAGUGCCCGAGACAGCUGAAGUGGUAGAAGGUACGAUCCCUAUAUUUAAUCACCUAGCUAAGAUUUGAUUGACUUUGGUGCCAUGCAUUCAUUUGUAACUAUUGAUUUUAUGUGUGGAAUUGAUAUGAAGUCUGAUAAGUUGUCUUAUGAUAUGGAAAUUAAAACUCCCACUAGUGAUCAAAGUUUGAUAACCAAUGUGGUGUAUGGAAAUUGUGAGAUUGAAAUUGGGGAAAGAAAAUUCUUGGUUGACCUUAUAACUUUACCCAUUUGAAAUUACGAUGUUAUAUUGAGUAUAGAUUGUUUAGCCUGAUAUCAUGCUCGGGUGGGCUGUAGAACUAAGACUGUAGAAUUUCAUAUACCAGGGGAGCCAAACUCUAAGAUUGGAUAUGAAGGAUAGAAUGGUUUUGCCCGACCAUAUUUCAGGAAUACAGGCUAGAAAAUUUCUAAGUAGAGGGGCACAGGGAUAUUUGGCAUAAUUAAUUAAUUCCCCAAAGAACAAGAUGAAAGUUGAAGACAUCCCAAUGGUAAAGGAUUAUCCAGACAUUUUGCUUGAGGAACUAAUGUCAUUGUCACCUGAGAGGGAGGUAGAAUUUAAGGUUGAAUUGUUACCCGAGACAAACCCUAUCUCCAAGACAUCUUACCGAAUGGCCUCGGCCAAACUUAAGGAGUUAAGAAUCCAAUUAUAGGAUUUAUUAGAUCAUGGUUUCAUACAGUUGAUGAGUCACCGUAGAGAGCUCCAGUGUUAUUUGUGAAGAAAAAAGAUGGAGGUUUGAGAUUAUAUAUCGAUUAUCGGGGUUUGAAUAACCUUACAGUUAAGAAUAAGUUUCCUCUACCACAUAUCGAUGAGUAAUUUGGCUAAUUACAUGGAGCAGUAGUGUUUUCUAAGAUAGAUCUUCGACAGGGGUACUAUCAAUAAAGAAUUAAAAAGAAAGAUAUACCUAAAAUUACUUUUAACACCCGAUAUAGACACUAUAAAUUUGCAGUGAUGCCAUUUGGAUUGACUAAUACGCCAGUAGCUUUUAUGGAUUUAAUGCAUUGGGUGUUUAGACCUUACUUGGAUCAAUUUGUGGUGAUUUUUUAUUGAUGAUAUCUUGAUAUUCUCCAAAACCCGGAAAGAUCAUGAAAUGCAUCUAAGGAUAGUGUUACAGACUUUAAGAGAGCAUCAGUUGCAUGCUAAAUUUAGUAAGUGUGAAUUCUGACUAGGGAAAGUAUCAUUUUUGGGGCGUAUCAUCUUAAAGAAAGGAAUUACUAUAGAUCCAGCUAAAGUCGAAGCCAUUGUUAAUUGGAAACGGCUGGAGAGCCCUACUGAGAUCCGUAGUUUUCUAGAUCUGGCAGGAUAUUACCGUUGAUUUAUUAAGGACUUUUCAAAGAUUGCUGGACCUUUGACGAAUUUAACCCAGAAGCAAGCUAGGCUUGUUUGGAAUGACAAAUGUGAGGCUAUUUUUCAAGAAUUGAAGAAGUGUUUAACUACCGCCGCAGUGUUAACGCUACCAAAUGGUAGAGAUAGUUUCAUGGUAUAUACAGAUGUUUCAAAGGAAGGAUUAGGCUAUGUGUUAAUGCAGGAUGGAAAAGUUGAAGCCUAGGCCUCCCGAAAUUAAAGCCCUAUGAACAGAAUUAUCCGACUCAUGAUUUGGAGUUAGUCACAGUAGUUUUUGCAUUGAGAAAAUGGAGGCAUUAUUUGUAUGAGGUAACUUUUGAGAUUUAUACAGACCAUAAGAGUUUGAAAUACCUCUUUUCCUAGAGAGAAUUGAAUUUGAGAUAGUGUCGAUUGAUGGAAUUCUUAGAAGAUUAUGAAUGUACGAUUAACUACCAUCCCAAAAAGGCAAAUGUUGUGGCCGAUGCUUUUAGCAGAAAGUGGUAGGGUUAAUGGUUAAGGAGUGGAAAAUGUUGGAAGAGAUUAGUAGAUGGAACCCCAAACUCAAAAACAAAAGGUAAUAUUUGGGAAUAUCUUAGUGCAACCGAUACUAGUGGACCAAGUUAGAGAAACCCAAGAGAAAGUGUGAGAACCCGUAAAUUUCCCUAAUAUUUUCCUAGGGGUUUUUCCCCUUUCAUGGCAUGUUUUCUGCAUUUUCUGGUUUAGGAAAAUUUUCUUGGUAUAUUUUAUGAGUAAUUAUAGUUUUUAAAUGAUUUUUCGAGCAUUGGGUAGUUUUUUGAAAAAUUAAGGAUAUAUAUCGGACGUGGGACCCACUAGUGCGAAAAGUUCGGAUAAAUUCGGCCAAUAAGGUUAAGUUUCGGAUACUGGUUGAAAUUUAUCGGAUGUUAAGAGAUAAGUAGAGGAGGUGAAGUGAUUGAUGUGAGAGGAAAAGAAAGGGAUAGGAAUGCAUUGAAUGGAGUGACAAGUGUCACUCUUCCAUUGGUUGAAGCCUAAGACAACUAUUCACCUUUUUGACCUUUCUUUACCAUUUGAUUAAAUAUCUCAAAAUUACCACAAAAAUCACCAUUUCUUUCUCUAUGUUGGCCGGCCACCUUGAGCUCAAGAAGGAAGAAAACUCUUCAAACUUUUAGCUAACAUCUAGUGCAAAUCAUCCAAACCAAUUGCUGAAAUUUGUUUCUACUCCAUAAAAUCCUUCCAUUUGGUGCUAGUAAGUGAUUUUGUGGAAGUGUUCAAGGAAGCUAAGGUGUCCAUUAACUCCUCUUCUCUUGUUUACUAGGUAAGUGGUGAUUGACCUUCCUCCUACACUUAAUGAUGCUUAAUUUGUGCCUAGUGGUGGCUAAAGUGCUGAAAUUUGUGGUUUAUUUCUUGGUUUGAGAUGAAUUGGUGAAGUUUUUAUUUUAUUGAUGAAUUUGCUGGUUUAAUUUGAUCAUGAUGUUGUGGUUAUCUAUGAUGGUUGGUAAUGAAGGGUAAUGACUCUAGUAGGUGUACAUGAUUGGUAAUUGCAAGCAAUUUUGGGUUUGGAAGGAAUUUGAGAAAGUUAGGGUUUUAUAUCCCCAAUUCUGGCCGGUUUUAUAUAUCAUUGUUAGAGGCCGAAUUGGCCUUUGCUUAAAACAUGAACGUUGUAGGUAUUGAUGUGUUUGAGAUGCCUGUAAAAUUUCAGGUCCUUUGGAGUAGUGUAGAGUGAGAAAUGUCGAUUUUACUGUUGCUGUUCUGGGUUCUUCAGGAUGGCCGAACUGCGUUUGUAAUUGGCUGUUUUGACUGGAAUUGCUUUAGAUUUGAUUUUUGAGGUCUUCUGAUGAAAUGUAACUUGAUGUCUUAGCUAUCAUAUGCCUUUGGAAUCAAUGAAUUUGGACUUGUAUAGACUGAGUUGGACUAAUUACAGCAUAGUGUAAUUUGUAAACCUGCAAUUACGGUUCUGGUUUGUUAUUUUGCAUAUUUGACUUAGUUGUACUGGGAUUUGGACUGAGUGGCCUUCUACAUUGUUGUAGCCCUGUCUUUUAGCUUCGAGAUGGUGGGUCUUGUACCCUCAUCCGAUAAUCGUAACGCCAAUGGUGCCAAAACCGCAAAAUGAUGUCAAAAACUGUUUUUAUCUGGAAAUGUUUCUAGCUUGCUUUUCGUAUUUAUUUUGUAUUGAUAUGACUUGUAAGCCUAGUGAAUGGCUUUUGGUUGAGAUUCUUCUAUAUGAGAUGUUGGGGCUGAUUUGAGGAAAUUAAUGAAGCCAUUAAUGGCUGGAAAAGAGGUAAAAACAAGGGACAUGCCGUCCGUUUAUUUUCUUGUAAUGUGAGCAAGUUAAAGUGAGUUUUGCGAAUGUAUUUUGUAACGAAUUGGACGUAGUUAUUGAAAAUGUUACCGACUCUUUCAAAGGGUGGCCGAGGGUUAAAUGUCUAUUUAAACCUAUAUAUUUCCGCUUGGCAAAUAAAAUGAUUAUUUUACCAUUCUAAAACCAAUUUCCUAACCUUUUGAGUUUGGUUUCAAGGUUGGUUUAUGAACCCUAGUUAUUCCCUUCCACGAAUCCAAAUGCCAUCGUUACACUUUGAAAGUCAUUUUUAUACGUUUUACUUUUAAGUGAUCGGGUUUUUUCGAUUUGAUUUGAUAGUGCUGCUAGAUAAAUGGUAAUAUCUUUUCUCUUGUUUAAUAUUAGGUUUCAUUGGUGACUGAGGGGAAUACUCGGUGGGGUAUUUUGAACGUUGUUUUGCAUAACUAGGUGAGUGUUCCUUGUUUGUUACGUUUCAUGAUUAUAUGGCUUGUUUGAAUGAUUGAUAACAUGUUAAAUGCUUUCAAUGAUUGCUAAACGAGUUUUCGAGGCGAGUGUGUACUUUAUCGCACUUAGCCUAAAUGAUUAUGAAAUUUUAAUGAUUGAGCGAUUGAAAUGUUAAUUGUGCAUGAAUGUAAGCCUUUUGGGCUGAACUGGCCAUUGCCCCUUGUUACCGGUCGUCUCGAGCCAGAAGCGGACUCGGUCGGGCGAUUAGGGACUUGGGUGAACGUUUCGGUAUACUCGAGUAUUACCUUGUAGGUUGGUGGAGCCUGGCCAAAAGCCUGGGACGGGAUGAAUGAAUGAAUGAACGAAUGGAUGAACGAGGGGUUUUAUUUAUACAAAAUGCAAUUUCAAAUGAGUGAAGGUAGGGGGAAAUGAAAGGAGAAUGAAUGAAUGAAUGAACGAAUGGCUCCUUGUGAGCCCGUAUCCUUUUAAUGAAUGUGUUUAUCGCUUUAUUGGUACUUGUAUCUUGAAUUGUUGUUUAUAUGUAUUGAAUGCAUUGAUUCUCUUGUUGCCUAUGUGUACGGAACCUCACUGAGUUUUCUAGCUCAUUCCUUUAGUUUUUUUAUUUUCCUUAGCAGGGGAAGCCGUGCAAGGACGGAAGCUACGUAUAGACUAGCCGAUCUAGUACUUUUGAUUCUUUUGUUAUGGUUCUCGCCCCAAUGUUUGAUGGGCUGGUUGUAUGGAGAAUGGAGAACCUUUGUACAUAAGUUGUUUUGCUUUUGGGAUGGAUAUGUAUAUAAGUUUACGUUUAAGUUUGGAAUUAUUGUUACUUCGAUUGUUUUGUGGAUUUUAUUGUCUUUUCUUAUAGUGACUGACUGAGUCCCGGCGAGAGCUGGGCAGGCGGCCGCUGAACCCUCUGGUUCGCCUUAGGGGGAGGUGGGGCCGUUACAGAAAGACCUUGCCUUGCAGAAACGAUUGGAAAAGGCUCGAGGGGGAAAGUUGCCCGAUCACAGUAUAGGGAAAGAUGGAAUACUAAAGUUUCAGAACCGAAUCGUUGUCUUGAACUGCGAAGAGCUAAAACGAAGGAUUUUGGAUGAAGCUCACCGUUCUAAAUAUACGGUGCAUCCCGGCAAUAAUAAGAUGCAUUAGGAUUGAAGAAGUUAUAUUGCUGCGAUAAUAUGAAGAGGGAGAUUGCUUAGUAUGUCCAAACCUGUUUGACGGGCCAACAAGUUAAAGCAAAACAUCAAAAAUUGUUUGGACUAUUGCAACCUUUGGAGAUACUUGAAUGGAAAUAGGAACAUGUUACAAUGGAUUUUGUGUCAGGAUUACUCUGUACCCAGAAAAGUCAUGAUGCAGUUUGGAUAAUAGUGGAUAGAUUGACUAAAUUGACUCAUUUCUUGCCGAUAAAUAUGAAAUGUUCCUUGGAGAAAUUGGCCAAAUUGUACAUAGAUGAGAUUGUAAGACUUCAUGGGAUUCCAAUAGGCAUAGUGUAGAAUAUAGAUCUUAGAUUUGCAUCCCAACUUUGGCAGCAAAUGUAGACUGCUUUAGGUACCCAGUUGAGCUUCAGUACCACCUAUCAUCCACAGAUUGAUGGGCAGUUGAAGCGAACCAUACAAACACUUGAACACAUGUUGAGCUCUUGUGUAAUGGAUUUUGAAGAAAGUUGGAAGCAACAUGUAACUUUGAUAAAAAUUUGCCUAUAACAACAAUUACCAUACAUCUAUUUAAAUGGCACCGUACGAGGCAUUAUAUGGAAGAAAAUAUAGAUUGCCAGUCUAUUGGAAUGAAGUAGGAGAAAGAAAGAUUAUAGAUCAAGAAAAGUUCCCAUGGGUAGAAGAGGCUUAUGAGAAUGUGAAGUUAAUCCGCUAGAGAAUUCAAAUGGUUCAAAGUCGUCAGAAAUGCUACACGAGUAACCGAAGGAAGAAUUUGGAGUUUGAAGUUGGGGAUAAACUAUCUCUUAAUAUCACACCAUUAGAGGGAGCUAUCAAGUCAAGAAAAGGGAAGAAGCUUAAAACGAGGUAUGUGGGAUCUUAUAAAAUUAUACAGCGGAUAGGAAAAGUGGCUUAUCGGUUAGAAUUACCUAUUAAACUGUCUAGAAUCCAUGACGUAUUCCAUGUCUCACAACUCAAGAGAUACCAUCUUGAUCCGACUUAUGUACUACAACCUGAAAAUGUUGAGGUGGAUGAGUCUUUAACCUAUAAAGAACAACCUGUAUGGAUUUUAGAUCAAAAAAUGAAAGAAUUGAGGAAUAAGCAGAUUCUCUCAGUUAAAGUCCUUUGAAAGCAUCACAGAAUGGAAGACGUGACAUGGGAAUUAGAGGAUGAAGUGCAGAAGAAUUAUGCCAACUUACUCAAGAACAAUAGUAAGAAUUUUGAGAACGAAAUUUUUUAAAAGAGGAGAGAGUGUGAAAGCCUAGAAAAAAUUAUCUGAGUAAUUCAAGUUUUCAUCUUCUUUUUUUUUUUGCUUUUGAAUUGUUUAAAGUAUUAUUUCAAUUGUCUAGACAGUUGAUUGAAUUGUACAGUGCAAUAGCUAACACUAGCUUAUAUAGCAGUUAAAGAAACCUAUAUCUGUACUAUUCUCUGUAUUGAUUCUGCCUCCUCUUUUUUUUCCAAAAAUUUUUACUUUUUAUUCCAAGCAAGCAGAAAAGAGUACAUGAAAAGGCUAGCACGAAGGGACACUACUCCCGAACACGCUGGACACGUAUAUUUGAGAAUUUCCUACAAUUUAGUGCAACCGCAUCCCUUACUUCCCUUGGAAGGUUGGCCAAGGAUGCAGCGGUCCAGUCCUCCCCCAAGUUAGACCCUGCCAGCAUAUCGGCCAUACUAUUCGCUUCCCUAAAGUUGUGACGGAUUUAAGCAUCUCCCGGAUCUGUCGUACAAAAUUACACAGUGGCCAUUUUGAGGAAAACCGUGAGGUAACCAGAGAGACCAGGGAAAGCGAGUCCACUUCCACCAGCAACCUCCCCCUAAACGCCAUAUAGCACAACCGGAGGCCAUGCAGUAGCGUCAUGCUCUCCGCUGUAAGGACAUCCAUCUCCCUGAACUCCUUAUGGAAAGCAAAAAUGACCUUGCCCUCGUGAUCACGGAGCAAGCUUCCCCCCGCUCCCUGGCCACGACUGACACUCGCAUCCGUAUUCAGCUUCACGAACUGCAAUGGUGGCCGCUUCCAUGCAACGGCCACAUAAUGAACUUUUGUGCGGCACGGGGUAGCCAGAGCUCUCCAUGGAUCAUCCGGGUCCCCUCUGAAGUGGGCCGUCCUAAGCACCUUCGCCCGGCCUAACUGUACCACAAGACUUUCCACCCUACAAACAACACCUCGAGCAUCAAAAGUCCCCUCCUUCAAACCUUGCUUUAUUACGGCCUGUCCAUAAGGACCACAAAAUUAAGCAAAGAGGCAUUACCCUAAUAUGAUCCCGCCCCACACCUGACGGCGAGCCAAACAAUGCCAAGCACAUAUCCGAGACUGAGUAAGAGUUAGAGCACAGUAUCCCAAAUCUCCGUUUAAAAUGCUGCCACACCUCCGCAGCAACAGGCCCAACAAGGGAAAGGUGCACCAAUGACUCCCCCUGGGCCGAGCAGCACGAGCAACAAGAAGCUAGGCUAGUCCCCCGAUUCUGCAAAACCAAGUCCACCGGAACCAGACCCGUAGGGCCUUCCAUACAAAAAAGGAAAUUUUCAAAGAAACAGUCGCAUUCCAAAUACGGCUAUCCACUGCCGAUAAGUUUCGUUUCUGACAAACCGCAGCCCACGCUGAUUUGAGGGAGAAGUCACCAAACGACGAGUCCCCCCAAACCAUAUAAUCUUCUUGAUCGGGGAACAACUGGAUUUGUUAGACUUGUUGUACCACCUAGGGGGCAACCAACUUGCCAGCAACCCUAGGAUCCAUCCCUCAUUGCCAUAGAACUCAGCUAGCAGCAUAUGUGGAGUAUCCGUAAAUGCCACCAUCUCAACAAGGGCCCGAUCCGUUAACCAACGAUCGAACCAAAAGUGCACGAACCCCCUUCCCAAACACCAUCUAAUUUUGCUCUCAGCCACCUCACGAAUCUUCUCCAAUCGAUGCCAGGAUAAUGGCGGUCGACUAACCUUAACCACCAUGGGAUGCUCCCCUUUUAUGUACUUAGAGUGCAUAAAAUCUGCCCAGAUGGAGUCCCUCUUCUGUAAUUUCCACCAUAGCUUACAGGCAAAGGCCCUGCUCAUAUCGGCGAACGAUCGAAAACCCAAACCCCCUUCAGUAACAAGGUAGCAACACUUGUCCCAGGGCCUCCACCGAAUGCCCCUCUCCCCUCGGAGUUUGUCCCACAGAAAAAUGUUACAUAUCCUCUCCAAUUUUUGAAUCACAGCUUUGGGGAGGCACAUUACCUGCAGCAAGUACAUCGGCAUGGAGGAUAGCAUAUGACGCAACAAGAUCAACUUUCCACCUGAGAAAAGCAGACGCGAGCUCCAGUGAAAUAGCCGAUCCCGCAUCUUAGCCACAAGGCCAUCAAAUAAGCAACAAGUAGCUCGUCCCCUUGAGAGUAGCGCACCUAGGUAGGUGAACGGGAGUACCUGCUGUCGGAAUUGGAGCUUCGACAUUACCAAACGUGUCUGAUCCUCCGAAGCCCUAUUCGAGAUGAUGAACGAACUCUUGGUUAUAUUAACCCGUUGACCUGAAGACGCUUGAUACCUACCAAAUAAGUCGGAAAGCGCAUCCAGACAGUCCUCAGAGCAUCUAGCAAAAAUCAGGAUAUCAUCAGCAAACGCGAGAUAAGGAACCCGACUACCGGCGGAACCAUAAAAUCUACUCUCUUCACGCUGAAAUAGGCACUGCAACCCCCGACCUAAGAAUUCUGCCACUAAAACAAAUAAAGCCGGCGACAUUGGAUCCCCCUGGCGAACCUCCCUGGAAGAUUUAAAGUAGCCCGCCGGGGCGCCAUUCACCAGAACUGAGAACCAGUUGUUCGACAAAGAUCGAAAAAUUAAAUCAACGUUCCCCUCAUCAAAACCAAACUGGCGGAGCAUGAAAAGAAGGAAACUCCAUUCAACCCUGUCGUAAGCCUUUUUCACAUCCAACUUCAGUAUCAGGUUCGAAUGUUUCAGCUUUCGAUCCAGAUCCAUAACCAACUCCUAUGCCAACAAAAUAUUGUCCGCUAUCCCCCUGCCUGGUACAAACCCCGUCUGCCAGACGGAGGCCAACUUGGGGAGCAGUCGAUUGAAGUGGUUUGCCAAAAUUUUGGAUAUCAGUUUUGAACUAAAGUUACUGAGGCUAAUAGGUCUAUACUCUUUCCACUGCGAAGCCCCCAUUACUUUUGGGAUAAGAACUAUUAACGUGCUCGUAAACCCCCGAGGUUGCUGCCCACCUUCAAAAAAUUCCCGUACCGCAUUGAGCAGAUCUUCACAAAUUAUCAACCAGCAGCUUUGAUAAAAGCCUGUACUAAAGCCAUCGGGUCCAGGCGCACCUCUGGUGACAUAAAGAAAACAACAUCCUUCAACUCCUCCAUGGAUGGCAGAGUGUGCAACUCCAAGUUUUCUAACAGGUUCAAUUUUGGGACAGGAAAGUCCAAUUGCGAGGCCACCCUCCGUUCUCGGUCCGAGGAAAUAAAGUGCUAAAAAAAUUCACAGCCAAGGCCUUUAUACCCUCCAUAUCCUCAAUCCAGUGCCCCGCGGCAUCCUUAAUUUGGGAAAUAAAAUUCAUACUCUACCUUUGUUUAACCACUGAGUGAAAAAGCUUGGUAUUUACGUCACCCGCCUGAAUCCAUUUAAUUGCCGAUUUCUGUUGCUAGUAUUCACACUCAACAGCCAGGGCACGAGCGUGAGUCGCUCUAGCCUCCCCCAGCCUAGCCUUCGUUACCUCAUCCCGGGUAAUGUCAUAUUCCACUUCGCGUUGACGGAGAAUGUCCUCGGCCUCCCUAAUUUUCUGAGAUAUGUUACCAAAGGAGUCCCGAUUCCACUGGCGUAGCCUAGCUUUUGUAUUACACAACUUGUAGAAAAAAACCCUCAUCCCUGUGGCACCCAUCGGAAUCUGCCAGGCCUCCCGGACGAUUGCCAAGAACUCGGGGAGGUUCCUCCACACAUUCAAAAAUCGAAAGGAGGAGGCCAUAGCGGUGACAUCUCCACACCUAAUCCACAGCGGGGCCUGAUCAGAGCGACCGCGCGACAGGUGAAAAACAUUAGAGCUCCCAAACAACUCAUUCCAUGCACCAUUAUGCAGAGCUCUAUCCAAACAUUGCCAUACCACACCAUUAGUCCAAGUGAACUACGCCCCCUCAAAGCCGACAUCCGAGAGCCCACAAUUAAAAACUGCGUCAUUAAACUCCUCCAUAUUCUGAGGGUUGGGUGGGGCACCUCCUGACAGCUCAUUGACAUUUGAAAUAAUAUUAAAAUCGCCGGCCACCAUCCACGGGCCCUGGUACCCAGUGGAAACCGCCUCCAUGGCCUCCCAUAACUGGCGCCUCCCCACCCUUGUGCAUUUCGCAUAAACUGCCAAACAUUGGAAGGUGGAGCCCAUCCACCCAACCUCCAUGUGCACCAAUUGAUCACCGAAUUCGUGGAAAUGGAGCAUCAAGUCAUCACAAUUUUACCGCCUAACACUGCCUCGACCUUCGUAAAACGCAAGAAACGGCGAAUAGCAUCGACCUGCCCUCCCUCCGUCAUCGGCUCCAGUAGAACCAGCAAACGAAUAUGGUGCUGAGCACACAAGUUUUUGAGAUAUCUCUGAGAGUCCUUACGUGCGAUCCCUCGUACAUUCCAAACCAGAAAACUAAUCUGACUUAUCAUUAGAGGAGCGAGAUGACUUAGCUUGAGAUAAUAAUACCUAUAGUUUUUUGUUGUAGUUAACCAGGCGACCCGACUUCCGAAAUAACCUGUUCAGUAGCUCAACAUCCGUUGAGUCAAUGACGCCCCUAGGAGGCACCUGAUGGUCAUCUGAAAUGGCCUUGAACCGACGCUCCAAUAACCUAUGAGACUCCAGAAGGCUUUGAGAAGAUGGGUCAACUGGCACCGCCAUGGAAGAGGAGCGUGACCGGUGCAGUGGUUUAGCACGUGAAGAAGAAACAGGCGAAGGCCCCAGAGAGCAACUCCUGCCUCUUUUCGUUAUUUCCAGCUCGCCCCCUGCCUCCUCCUCCAUUUCGCCCAAGAUCGUAAAUGGCUUGAUAUACUUGUACUUGACUUGAUAUAUACUUGUUUAUUGUUGCAAUUGACUUGAUAUACUUGUACUUGACUUGUAAGUGUUGAGCGGCAGCAUGUACCACACUCAAUGUGAGUGGGAGGUGCCUCUCAUUCCCGUCUUUAUACUUUUAUUUUGAUUCAGUCGAUUGGAGAUGAUAUCUCAUCGACUUCUUGGGGACCCAAACCCCACUAGCUAGUUAAUCGAGUCGAACCGGCAAGGGUUUGAUCGAUUAGAUAACGAACCAUAGGUAUCUAGUGUUGUCGAGUGGAGUGUUAUCUCCUCGACUAAUCGAUAUACUCGAAUAUUACCACCAGUGUUUAUCUUCGAGUUCGGGCCCGAUAAGGGGUUUGGUUGGUGGACGGAGAUUGGAGUUGAGUGGUGUACUACUGGACUAGUUACCUUACUUGAAAGUUGACGGAGUGUCAACUAUUACUGGAUCAAUCUUUGGUGAUGAAAUGGGAAUUUGGCUCCUGUGAGCCAUCCGUAUCCUUAUACUUUGGAAUGAUUAGUACUUAUCGUGUUACUGUUUCGUUUUAAAAGAAAAACUUUACACUCGCUCACUUAGAGAUUUGCUACUUGAAGUGCUAUUGCUCACUUUUAUGAACUUUUCAUGCUCCUUAUUUUGCUACGUGAUAUUUGUACUUUUCAAUAAUGGUCACCUUGCUAUUUGGAAUCUCACUGGAUUUUUAGCUCAUUCCACGCCAUUUAUUUUCCUUACAGGGGGUACGAGCGAGGCGUGAGACGUGUACAAAUUAGCGUAGUCUAGUUGUUUUUGAAUUUUGAAUUGUACUCGUGCUAGCACCCGACUAGGGUUGGUUGUACUUGAAUUGUAAACGCUUUGAAGUAUUUUGGUGUGUAGAAGAUUUGUAUCUGGAUUUGAGCAUCAAUGUAUAUAUUAAGUUGAAGUGGCUGUGUUAUUUAUUUUCUAUGGAUGUACGUUAUUUUUCUUGAGCUCUGAGUGAGUGAGUCCUGACGAGAGUUGGACAGGUGACCCGCCAAACUCUGGGGUACGCCCUAGGGGGAGGUGGGGCCGUCACAGAGACAACCUUGAAUUGGGAUGUAAGGGGUAGAUUAGUCUCGUCUACACUUAUCUCAGGAAUUCGAGCUAGGAAAAUGUUAAGUAAGGGAGCUCAGGGAUAUUUGGCUUUUCUUAUAAAUACUCCUAUGGAUAAAGUGAGAUUGGAAAAUAUGCCUGUAGUAAAGGAGUAUCCGGAUUUCUUUACCUUCGGAAAGGAAAAUAGCUUUAAGAUUGAUGUGACUCUGGGAGUAGCACCUAUCUCUAAGACACAGUAUAGGAUGGCUCCAACUGAAUUGAAAGAGUUGAAAUUGCAAUUACAGGGUUUACUAGAGUGAGGUUUUAUAAAGGAGAGUGAUUCACCGUGGGAAGCCCCAAUCUUGUUUGUUAAGAAGAAAGAUGGGAGUUUAAGACUGUGUAUAGAUUACCGAGACUUGAACGAUGUCACCAUUAAGAAUAAGUACCCUUUGCCCUACAUUAAUGAGUUAUUUGACCAAUUGCAAGAGGCUAUUGUAUUCUCAAAAUUGGAUCUCAGACAGAGUUACUACCAGUUGAGGAUUUUGAAAAAGGAUAUACCCAAAACUGCCUUUAACUCGAGGUAUGGACACUUUGAGUUUGCUGUGAUGCCAUUUGGAUUAACGAAUGCACCUGCGACUUUUAUGGAUUUAAUGCAUCGAGUCUUUAAGUCUUAUUUGGACCAAUUUUUGGUAGUAUUCAUCGAUGAUAUACUGGUGUACUCUAAGACCUUGGAGGAUCACGAGAAACAUUUGAGAAUUAUUUUACAAACUUUGAGGGAACAUCAGUUGUAUGCUAAGUUUAGCAAGUGUGAGUUUUGGUUGAAGGAAGUGACAUUCUUAGGUCAUAUAAUUUCCAAUGAUGGGAUUAAAGUGGAUCCAGUCAAAGUGGAAGUAGUUUCAAAAUGGAAACAACCGGAAAAUCCUACUGAAGUUCGAAGUUUUAUAGGAUUAGUAGGGUAUUACCGGAGAUAUAUCAAGAAUUUUUCUAAGAUUGCUGGACCUAUGACUGAGUUGACUAAGAAAAGUGGAAAAUUUAUAUGGAGUCCUAAGUGUGAAGAAAGUUUCCAAGAGUUAAAGAGACGUUUGACGAGAGCACCCAUAUUAGCUCUACUGAAUGGGAAGGAUAGUUUUGUGGUCUAUACAGAUGCUUCAAAGGAAGGUUUGGGAUGCGUAUUAAUGCAAAAUGAGAAGGUGAUAGCGUAUACCUCUAGGAAAUUAAAGCCGCAUGAGAGAAAUUACCCAACUCAUGACUUGGAGUUAGCGGCUGUAGUGUUUGCAUUAAAGAAGUGGAGGCAUUACCUUUAUGAAGUGACGUUUGAGGUUUUAACGGACCACAAGAGUCUUAAGUAUUUAUUUUCUCAAAAUGAGCUGAACUUGAGACAACGUAGGUGGAUGAAAUUCUUGGAAGAUUAUGAUUGCACAAUAAAGUACCAUCUAAGGAAAGCCAAUAUAGUGGCCGAUGCUUUAAGUCGUCAAAUGCAAGUGGUAGGAUUGAUGAUUAAAGAGUUGCACUUGUUGGAGGAGAUUAGUAUCUAGAACCCUCGACUUGAACCGAGAAAAGUGAUUCUUGGGAAUAUCGUCGUGAAAUCCACUUUGUUGGAACGUAUUAAGGAGACUCAGGGAAAUGAGUGCAAAAGUGGUUCGAGAAAGUCAAAAAAGGAGAGAGGUCGGAUUUUAACUUGGGAGUGAAUAGUGUGUACUCAGGUUUUGAAAUCGGAUAGUAGUGCCAAAGGACGAAGGGCUUAGGAAGGAAAUUUUGGAAGAAACACACCGAUCUAAGUACAUGGUACACCCUGGAGGGAAUAAAAUGUACUAGGACUUAAAGAGUUUGUACUGGUGGGAGAACAUGAAGAAGGAAAUUGCCCAGUUUGUCCAUACCUACUUAAUUUGCCAACAGGUUAAAGCCGAACAUCAGAAACCAUCAGGUCUUUUGCAACCUUUAGAGAUACCCGAGUGGAAGUGGGAAAAUAUCACUAUGGAUUUUGUAUCUGGAUUACCUAGGACACGAAAGGGUCAUGAUGCCAUUUGGGUGAUAGUGGAUAGGUUGACUAAAUCGGCUCACUUUCUGCCGAUUAAUAUGAAAUACCCGUUGGAGAAGUUAGCUAAGUUAUACUUGGAUGAGAUUAUAAGGCUACACGGGAUACCUGUAAGUAUUGUGUCCAAUCGAGACCCUAGAUUUGUCUCGCAGUUCUGGCAAAAGAUGCAAGAAGUGUUGGGGACAAAAUUGAAUUUUAGUACCACUUACCAUCCCCAGACUGAUGGACAGUCUGAGAGGAUGAUUCAGACUCUCGAGGACAUGUUAAGAACUUGUAUCUUGGAUUUUGGGGAGAGUUGGAGUAAGUAUCUGACUUUGGUGGAAUUUGCCUAUAAUAAUAGUUUUCAUUCUUCCAUGCAAAUGGCUCCGUACGAAGCACUUUAUGGUCGGAAGUGUAGGUCUCCGAUUUGUUGGGACGAAAAAGGUGAAAGGAAAGUUUUGGACCCGACUACGGUGCCUUGGAUUGAAGAGGCGAACGAAAAAGUGAAAUUGAUAUGCCAGAGGAUUCAAACCGCACAAAAUCGUCAAAAAAGUUAUGCAGAUAACCGAAGGAAUGACUUAGAAUUUGUGGUUGGGGAUCAAGUUUUUCUUAAGAUUACUCCUUUAAAAGCAAGUUUGUUGGCAGGAAAAGGAAAGAAAUUACAGCCGAGAUUUGUAGGACCUUAUAAGAUCCUUCAACAUGUAGGAAAUAUGGCCUAUAAGUUAGAAUUGUCACCAAGUCUAUAUCAAAUUCACAAUGUUUUCCACGUGUCCAUGCUCAAGAAAUAUCAUCCAGAUCCGUCUCAUAUCCUGCAACCGGAGAAUAUUGAAAUUGAUGAAGCGCUGACCUAUGAAGAGAAACCGAUAAAGCUUCUAGAUCGUAAGGUGAAAGAAUUGAGGACUAAGGGGAUUCCAUUGGUGAAAGUCCUAUGGAGAAACCACGGACUGGAGGAAGCAACUUGGAAAAUUGAAGAAGAGAUUCGAGAAAAGUAUCCAGACAUGUUCUCAGAUCAAGGUAUAAUUUCGAGGACGAAAUUUUCUUAAUGUGAGGACUCAUGUUUUUAUUUCUAAAAUAUUUAUUUUUAUGAUUAUUUGCCCUAGGAUUAGUUAGUUAUAUUAUCGUUACGUGAAUCAUUUUAUAAAUUUCGCCUUAUCGCGCGCGAAUCGAAAGUUCGCGCAUUUCACGUCAAAACGAUUAAGUGGAAAUUUAAGAAACUAUACUAGACUACUAAGAGUGAAUAAUUAUAAUAUUAAAGGAAUUACAUUUGAGGAUUAGUGCACAAGUGAAACAAACAAGAGAGAAAACAGUGGUACGACACCCGCGCGUGACACUAUUCUUAGUUGACUUUUGAACACCUUUUAGCCACAAAUUUCUUCAGCUUCCAAGAGAAGCUUCACAACACCAACCACACUCUCUCUCCUCUCCAUAGCCGGCCGAAACAGCAAGGACAAGAAGAAGAGAAGCUCCACUCCAUUUCACUUCAUCUUGCUUCCAAAUCACUUCUAACUUUGCAUCCAACCUCAAAACCACUUGAAGAUUAGCUUGAGCUUGGUGAAAGGCUUCAUCUUGCGGUGAUUCUUGGAGGUUUUUGGUGGUGAAAUUUCUGGUUCUUUAAGGGGUAAGAGAUACACUUCAAUCCAUCCUUUUAAUUCAAAGAUUUAUGGUUGGUUGUGCAAGGGUUUGCAACCCAAAGCUUGAACUAGGUAGAGGACUUGAGCAACCCACUUUAUCUUGCUUUAAUCUUUAGGCAGAAGUCUUGAAGUGACUUAUAGGUAGUGGGUUUGAGGUGUAACUACUUGAAUAUGAUUGUUAUGUGUGUAGAUGAAAAGAUUAUGGUGAGAAAUGAAGGAAAGAUCGAAGGAAAAUUGCGCAUGGAUGCUGGCUGAAUUUGUCAUGUUAUUGCCUUGCCUAUGUUUCAAAUUUUUGAUGCUCAAAUGACUGUGAAACUGAUGUAUAUAUGUGGCAUAUUGUGUGUAGAAAGUUUCUACCAAAAAUCAUUUGAUUUGGUUGAGAAAAACUUGAAUUUUCGAAAUUUGAAGAAAUCUGGAAAUGAGUUCUGUCUGUCCAAACAGUGUACCUUUGAUUGAACAUAACUCUUUGUACAAAAGUCAAAAUCGAGUUCCGUUUGCGGCAUUUGAAACUAGACACUUGUAGCUUUCCAACGGUAUAAAAUUCACCUUCUAGUUCGAAAUGAGUGAACCGUAGUGGUCUGGAAAAGUUGUUGUCCUGUUUUGAUGGUCUGUCCGAGAGGAUGGUAGAAGUUGCAUUUUGUAGCUCUAUUUUCUCUCAUUUAUGAACUGAUUUUGAAAACGACUUUUUCUGACAAAAUAUAGAUCUUUGAAUCUAGUUUCCAACGCCACCAACCAUUCUCAAUUCCAAGCUGUAUUGAGUGAGAUAUGGUUCAAUUUACAAACUGUGCCAAAGCUGGAAAUCUGGAAAACCCUUUCUUCUUGCUAGCCGACUGGUUAAGUUUGAUUUGAGACGUUUUGUUUCGAAAAUCUUGAUGUCCAUUGCUUGUCAAAUACUUAUUAAGUGUUCCUAGAACCUUGGGUUCAAAAAUGGAUAGAAUUGGAGUUGAUUUCAUUGGGCAAAAUGUUUGAAAAAGGAAAAGAAAGCAAGAAGAUAGAUUUGCUUUAAGAAUUUCCUAAACUUUGGUAGUUUUGUUAACUACCUUCCCGUACGAUUUUUACAUGAAAUUUGAUAGAGUAAUUCUCCUGUGGAAGUCGAAUUGUACCAAAUUUGGUGUUAUUCUGAGACCAUUUCGAUACCCAAAUGAUAUCCCAAAGUGUACUUUAAAAUCUGGAAAUUCACUGUUUAGUAGUGAAAAUUUACCGACUUUGAACCGCUAUAUCUUGAUACUCAAGACUCCGAAUUUAGUUCCGCUUGCUAUGUUUGAAACUUUGUAUGAAACUCUUAUUGUAUUACGAAUUUCAAAGGCUAGCUCACUUUCUGUUAAUUUUGCCGAAUUUCCAAAGUUUACCGAAAAAUAUGACUGAAACUGCCUGGCUUGCUCAGAUCAGCCACUUUGAGUUGAAAAUUGAAUGUCUUCCAUUUAGAUUUGCCGAAAUUCUCGAAGUGGACGCCUAAAAGCUUGUUUGAGCACUUACUCCCUUAUUUUAAUUGGUGAGUGUCAAGUGCAUGAUUUGUUGCAAUUAUGUGAAUUGUUUUUUAUGGACUGAAUGAUUUACAACUGUUGACUCGAGUGUGUAUGUUAUCGCACUCGUUCUCUUUUAACUGAUUGUACAAUUGAACUGCUCAUAAUUGAACUGUAUUUGUUUGACUGGAUGUCGUUGGAGUGAAUCUCCUCGACUUAUAACUGAACUGUUUGCAUGUCGUUGGAGUGAAUCUCCUCGACUUAUACCUGAACUGUGGGGACGCCCAAAAUCUCAAUUGGCCGACCUUGCGACUCGAGCCAGCAAGGGCUUGGUCGAGAUGUUUGGUGAACCAUGAGAUAACUGUAAACUUGAUCUAUUGAGAGAUCUUACUUGACCUACUCGCGUAGUAGUGCCUUUUAUAGAAGUUCGGGCCCGGUGCGGUGUAAUGGUGGACGGAACUGUGAAGUAAGUUAAGUUCUACGGACUUAAAUGCCGAUCCGGUUGACGGAGUGCCAUCGCGAGGAGGUAUUCGACCAAGCCUUGGUGAAGCAAGUGAAACCUAGCUCCUAAGAGCUCCUGUAUCCUCAUGGAAUGUGUUUAAUUGAAAAUUGCAAAUUGCUUGAAUAUUACAGCUUUAUUUCUUACUUAAAUAUUUUUGCUACAUGAACUAUGUGUUUGCGUGUUUUCUUGGCCUCACUGAGCGUUAACUCAUCCCAUUAGAUUUGUUUUCUUUAGCAGGAACCGAGAUGGAACGGGUUUUGGAGAAGCCGACCUAAGGCACUUUUGAUUAGGAUUUUGAAUGUUUUGGGACUAGACAUCUUUUCGAAAUUGUAUAUUUUGGGAAAGUGAAUCUACUUUGAAACUUGUGAUGUAAAAUUGAAUACUCAUGUAUGAAAAUGACUUCUUGUCUUUAUUUCGACUUUGGUUAUUAGUCGUUAUCCUUUAAGUUUGAACUGGAAUUGUUCUGAGUCCUGGCGAGAGUUGGGCAGGCACCCCGCCGAUACCCUUUCGUUCGCCUUAGGGAGAAGUGGGGGCGUCACAGAACCUACCUGGUCCAAGUUGUCCGAGGCCAUGGCAUUGGCUGGGACUGUCCCCACCUCCCCUUCCUCUGAUUGUAGCUUCAAGGAGUGGACGCACACCUCCAGCUCUGGUAGGUCUGCACUCCUACCCGUCGGGCAGUUGUCAAGGUGCCCAACCUCCACAUCAAGCUAUUGUUUUGAAGUCUUACCUAUCCCCUGCUUUGACAAACGCACCCACACCAAUGCCCCAAACCGAACCUCUUGUUCCCCUCCCGCAUCUGGAAAUCCCGUAGAAGGCCCAUUCGCCCCGUACUGGAGCUUUUAGCGGCGCCUCUUUCUCCUGUCGGGGCAGAAGCUCAGGAAACUUCUUGAAGUAGCCCUUCUCUGCAUGGCCCAACUUCCUGCAGAAGCCACAGAAGGAAGGCCAAACUUCGUACUCCACUGGCUGCCAUUGUCCGUAAUCCUCAUCGCCAAUCCAGACCCGUUUGAUCGGUUGUUUCGAAACAUUGAUCUCGAUCAGCAUGCACGCAAUAGAAGGACAUUUCAGUUGUAGGGUAGCUGCAUCCAGUUGUAAUGGCCUACCCAGUAGCGACCCCAACUUCAACAGAGAUCUCUUAUCAAAGAACGGGAAGGGCAACCCUGGGAGAGUUACCCAAACCGGGAAGAUGGAGCAGUCCCGAUCCGCCUUGAAGUCCAUCGACCAUUUAGAAAUAUCCAUCGGAGCGUUCUGGAUGUACCAUGUACGGAGGACAAAAAGCCUGGAAUAAUCCUCUUCGAGAGAAGGUCGGAUGAGCACGUGCUUGGAGUCCAAUAAUCCUACCGAACACUCUCCUUUGAGACCUAAGAUAUGAAAAACUUGCGAAUACUCUCCAUUGAAGGUCUGCGCAAAGCAAACCUGCCGAUAAGGGCAUUGCGAAAGCUGCCAAGUCAUGCCUGGACAGAAUAAGGGCUAGUUCUCCCCUAUGAACCCCAAGAGAGCCGAGUUCUAGAGCGAUCAGCGACUCACCACCAGCAGUAACAUCCGCGAAGGACUUAGUCCCUCCGUGAAGAUCCUGAGAAGAGGUAGAGGCCACGGGCCAAGGGGCUGCCAUGGCCUCGACCACCGGAGAAGAAAAGACUGAAGAAGCCCUAGCCAUUAGGAAAAACCCUAGUGUCCUCACUUCAUGUCAAAACUUGAAUUUUAUUUUGACGAUUCUGCCUCUCCUUGAAUUUGCCUUCCUUCCACUUAUCCCUUCAUAAAUAUUAUUGCGGCUUACACAUUUUAUUUCGCAUAUCAAUUUCCGUCAUUUAACAAAUGCUAACAAUCAAGUUUUCAUCUAGAAUUUGAAUAUACUACAAUCUGCUUGUUAUUAUUUAACUUAUAAGUUUAUUUGUUUCUCGUGAUUAAACAAAUUGAUUGUACCCUGAAUUAGUAUAGGAUCAACCCUUAUAGGAACUAAUAUUGACUAGAAUAAGAAAAGUAGUAGGGGAAUAAUAUGAUAAUAUAAAAAUGUGGGGCAAUUGUUCAAAUAAUUCUUGACAAUCUUGUAUGUUUGACAAGUGGAUGAUGACUAAGUGCCAAGUGCCAACAUCGUGUACAAGACCUCAAUUUCUUUAAGUUCAAAUUCCCCUUGUCUUGCUUCAUUUAGCUGAGAGAAAACAUUAGACAAAGCUUUCCUUGUUUUGCUCCAUUAGUCAGUCGAAAGGAAAUGUAGAAAAGUUGAGAGGAAAUCUAGAAGCCUUGCUUCCUAGAUUCAGCUGAGAGGAAAAGGAGAAAGUUGAGAGGAAAUUGAGUGUUUUGUUCCAUUUCUCUAGCCAAGAGAGUUGGUGAGUGAAGGAGGAGAGGAAGCAGCUCAUUCUUCAAGCUUGGACCGAGCAGAAAGAAAAGGAAGGAGAGCUAACUUUCAGCUUGUUUUGCAGGAAAAAAAAAAUAAGGUAACAUGGCUUAGAAACUUCAAUUUUCAAUAUACUUUGGAGAAAGUUAGAUGCAUGCUUGGUUUGAGGUUUGAUUGAAGUAAAAACUAGUGAUAGGAACCUGUUUAAUGCUGGAAAUUUUCCAGCUUUGGGCCGAGUUAAGGAAGCUUAUUUCUUUCCAGCUUUAGGUUUAUAUUAUGUUGCAAGUUGCUAGAAAAUCUUUUACUUCUUUUGGUAAAUGAAUGUUGGUGAAAAUAUGGGAUGCACGUGAGCUUCAUGGUCGCUGAAAUUUCCAGGUUGAAACUAAGAGUUGAACUAUGCAUUUUCGGUUUCUAGUUGCAAUUUUUGUUGAGUUUUGCUGGAAAUGCAUGAUUACUAUUUCACUCUAUGUUAUAAGCAUGUUGGUAUGUGACUUAAGGUUGAAAGUAGGUAAGAAAGGUGCUGUUUUGGGUGAGAAAAUUGAAGAAAGUUUGCUGAAAAUUUCCAGCCUGAACCAUGUGAGAUGAGCUGUGAUUUCUAGCUUUAUCUCCAUAAAAUUUCCUUAGUUUGGUAACAAACUUCAUAUAUCAGUCAUCUUCUUGAUCUAGUCAUACAUGUGAUAUUUGAAGUGAAGUGUUAAAAGCAAGAAAAGAUGAACUUUUAAAGCAACACCAAAACUGGAAUUUCAAGACAGCAAACUAGGAGGAAAAAGCUGCAACUUUGGUUAUUUUCUUUGAAAGUUUUGCUAGAUUAUGACUAGAAUACAUGCUUUAUGUCUUGUAUAAUGUUGAUACUAUGGUGCAAACUUGAGUGUUAUAGUUGGUUUCUUGCUAGACAGUCAAGCUAUGGCCGAGAGGAAAGACAGUUUGGUUUCUUGACCUUUCAUCCGAAAUUUCUAAGAGUUUAGCUAGGAAAUUCCUGUUAUAUGACCAAUACAUGUCUACAUCAAUGUUGCAUGCUAGUUUUCCUUGGUGAAAAUUUGAUUAAUGGGGCUGAAAUGACUAAACCGCAUGACUGUUAGCUUGUCCGAUGGAAUGUAGCUUAACUCCCAUUUUGUGAACCGAAGUUUAUGCAAAUAUUGGUUAAAUUAUCCUAUGGUACUCUGCUUUGCUCUGUAUAUUAUGCCUACCUUGAUUUGAGAGGAAAUAUCGAGCCUUUAGGGGAGAAAUCUGGAGUUAGUUGACCUUACAGGACUAUUUUACAUAGUUUGGAAUAGUUGGGGAAAUUCAAGCUAUUUUCUGAAAAUUUUAAUCAAACUUUGAAGUAAGAACAACCUAUAAGAAUAACCGUAAAAUGCAGGUUGGCUUUUGGGAGAUUUGAACGAAGGAAAUAGUGAACUUUGGACCAAAAACAUGAACCAUAUCCUGCUAAAACAUGUUUUCAAGAAUCCUAACUUAGUACUUAGAUUCUAUAGCUUUUAACUUCGAAAUUCUAUGGUAUAAACGAACCAAAACUGAUCAAAACUUCUCUAAGUUACCUUAUAAAAGUUUUACUUAGAAAACUCAUCCAAAAAUCUGGGGCAAAAUCAAGGAACUUUAUAAGAUCUCUAAACUGCAAAAUUCUAGAAAACUUACAUUGACCCUUGAUUUUAAAUGAUCUUGAAAACUUAAAUCCCGACUUUUAUUGCCAAGUAACCACCUUACCUUUCUUUACUUUGAUAAAAUAUGGAAUUUUAGGGCUUAAGAGAUUAAAAUUACCUAGACCUUGAAUCUUUAAUGAACUAGGAUAAGAUAAGUAUUAAGACCACUUUAAAACUCCCUAUAAAUAUAUAUAUAUAUAUACAACUAAACAUUUUGGAUUAUAUAUGCUUUAGUCUAGAUAAUCAUGUGAACCUUAUCUUCACCAUUUGGAAAAAUAAUAAGUAGCCUAAUAAGUUUAUAACUAUCUCAGGAGCCAAGGGAGAACCGAAGGAGGGUCUAGGUACCGGGGAGUGAACUCAAAAUAUUUUGGGUGAGUGUUUCCACAUUUGUGGAUUUAAAUUACUUGUGUGGUUAUAUGAUUAUGCCAGUGCUUUAUUAUAAUGUGUUUCAAUUGCCCUUUGUCAUAUAAAGUUGAGAGUGUACUUUAUCACACUCGACUUAGCUUGAGUUUGAAGAUUUAUAAUUGUCAUGUUGUUGUUAUAAGCGCACAUGACUGUAAACCAUGUAUGUACUUCAUCGUACCAGCUAAACUGGACCCCAAACCCUCUGUUCAACAGACUCUUUGAGCUUGUAAAGGGCUUGGUCAGAUAGGACAGUAGCUUUGGGUGAGUGUAUUGCUAUACUCGAGUACUACCACGGAGUAGCGGAAUAUUGAUAUGGCCAUCUAAGUGAGGGAAAUGUUUAAUUUUUUGGAGGUUAUAAGGGGAGGUACGGUGGAGUAUGUAGUGCAUUGAAGUGACUCUAAUACGAGUAUUGUAUCCUUUUAAAAGUGAAUGCACAGUAAAGUGUUUCUUGUUUGUUUAAUUUUGUUACUUGUUUAAGUGUUUAAUUGAUGGAUGCAUGUGCGGAACCUCAAUGGGUUUCGCUCAACCCAUUAGUUUGUUUUCCUUAUAGGAAUAAAGGAUGGGUGCAAAGAGUAGCCGGAACCUUAAGCCGAGUCUUGAAGUGUACGAGGAGGAAUCCUUUUGUACUUAAUGUUUUAGUUUUGCUGACCUUACUACCUUUAAUGGUUGUACAUAUUAUGAAGUUGUAGGCUAAGACUACUAUACUUUUGUUUGUCAUGCACCUAAGUAUAAAGAAUUGUAAAUGGUUUUAGUUAGUGAAAUGUUAUCUCUAAAGUUAAUGUGAGUGAGUUCAUUCAAGUGAGAGCCAGGCAGGCAGUCCACUUAAUUCUUUGAUUCGCCCUAGGAUGUGGUGGGGUGGGGUCAUCAUAGGAUCUCCAUCAGAUGAUAAUCCUUCUGGGAUUUAAUCCUUCUAGGAUCCACCCAUCAAUCUGGCAAAGAUCCUUACGGAUCCUAUCACAGAUCCAAAACCCUAGGUAGAUUUUUUUUUUUUUACACAUUUUGAAAUUUUCUAAAAAAUUUUGGUACUUCUAAAUAUCCAAAAACAUCUUUAAUUUUAAUCAAAUUAAAAUACAUAUAGCACAAAAAAUAAAAAAAAAAUAUGAGUCCUUUCAAAAUUUCUUUUCGAGACCAAAACAAAUAAAGAAACCAAUUCUCCACUCGGAAACCGAUUUUCUUAUAAAAUUUUAAUUAGUUUCUAUUCUUGCUUCAAUUCUUUUUAGUACCAACUUUCCAAAUCCAUUUUUAAUUUCUAAAUAUGCUUUCUCAUCAUCUCAUGUAUGAAAAAUUGGAUCAAAUGUAGCCAAUUCAACAUGAACCAAAACCGAUAAACUUUGUUCACCAAAAUCACAUAACCUAUGCAAUUUUUCUUCAAAUUUUUUCUGCCAAUUUUGUCCUUAUCUUUUAAACAUAAAAUUUAUUUUAAACCAGAAAAUAAAUUUGAAGCAUCAAAACUUUACAACAGACUUUUACAAGAAUUUUUUGUUUAGAAAAACUUAAACUUUAACUUCAAGAAUAGCAUAUAACUUGAUCACAUCAAUAUACAUAACAACCGAAUAAACAAAUUACACGAUUUAAUCAAAAUUGGUUCUGAUAGCAUUGUAAGGAACCAAGCAUACAAGUAUAGUUGAAUUUUAAAAUUUUCUAUUCCUAUAAGUUCAUCAAGCUUUGAUUAGCGUUCAUGUGGUAAGAGGUAAGUGUAGAAUUAUACCUUAAACGAUGAACCAUUAUCCACUUUGCAAGAAGAACACACGUAGGUGAAGGUAGUCGGCUUGAAGUCCAACCUCCAAUAGUGAUAACUUACAAAGUACUCUUUUUUAAGAUCCAAGAAAUUCUAGUACCUUGAUAAAACUUUGUAAUCCCCUUUCCUUCUUUUAAUUGACAUAGCCCCCCUUAUCUCACAAAAUGAGGAUGCUACAUUGCGACUGGUCGGGAUAGCUCAGAUGAUAGAGCAGAGGACUGAAAAUCCUUGUGUCUCUAGUUCAAAUCUGGCUCCUGGCACAUGAUUAGUUUUUAUAAUUCUCUCUUGUAUAAAUUAAUUGAUAUGAAUCGACAUUCAUAUUUGUAGUUUAGAUCAUAAUAAAUACAUGAUGUUUUCCACUUCAGCCAAAUAUACCCCAUCUAUUUUAUAGAUGGGUAGAACUUUUUAGAUAACGUACCUAAAAGAAUUGGAUUCUAUUUCUUCAUCUUUUUUAUUUCUGCUCUUCUUUUGUUCAAAAAGAAUGUUAAUACUUCAUAUAUAUUCAAAAGACAUUCAAGGGGUUAAUUUAAUUGGUUGAGAUCAAAUCUAGAGGAAUUGAAAUACACAAGAGAUGCAAAUAAAUAGAAUCCAAUAUCCUUUAAUUUCUUUGUAUUUUUGUCCAUAUUCAAUUUCAUCAUUCCUACUUACAUAACUUUCUAAAACCCUUUAAAUAAUGUGCAUAGGGGAAAGUAAAAAUUCAUGAUGUAGAAGUUCAUCCUCUUUGUUCAUCUCAUCUGAGAUAAGCAUCUUACAAACCAAAUAAAUGGGAUGUAAGAAUACCAAUGAAUCUCUAAGAAUACCACAUGAGUCCUUUGUGCGAGAACCUCUUUUGGUAGCAACGCCUAAGCAGGGUAGUGCUAGCCAACUACCAAGAUUAGUCCUCACAAUUUGGUGUAUUUUUUAUGGUGAAAAACCCUAAUUUAAUGAACUAGGAAAAUCAGCCAAAAGGAGAUAGAAAGAGAUGAAUUUUUCUCUUCUGAAUUUUCAAGCCUGUUGUCUCUCUAGAUUUUCUCUAGAAUUAUCGCUAAACUUAUGACAGUUAGGUUAAAUACUCUAUUGCCUUCAAUUUUUUCAUCAUAUCAUAUUGGUUUUGUGCCAGGAAUUGGGUAUUAUUGAUAAUGUUUUUUUAGUUCAGGAAUUGGUUUCGGACUUAGACAGGAAAUUAGAGGAGCCAAAUUUAAUUUUAAAAUUCGAUAUGAAAAAGACCCAUAAUAGAUUGCUAGGGUUAAUUGGUUUUUUUGAUUCGCAUGUUGAUGGCAUUUGGAUUUGGUGACCGGUGGAUAGAUUUGGUGGUAUAGCUCGAUGUCUUUAGUCCUUCCGUGGUGUACGACAAGAGAAUCCAUGGUCACCAACCUUGUUUCUGAUAGCUACAGAUUUUUUAUAUAGGGGAUUGGAUCAUCAUUUCCAACGGCAUACAGGGAUGCAUAUUUCAUCUACGGCGGGUGUGGUCUCUCAUUUGGCUUUUGCAGAUUGCACUAUCAUCUUUACAUGGUAUUCUAACCAUGCUUCAAAACGGCUGGAUAGCUCAAGUUAUAUCAAUCAAUAUCUGGACAAAGAGUUAAUUUGUGAAAAGUUCCUUUGGUUGUGCAAAGAAUACUUCUCCUGCUAAGAUUAGAAUGGUGAGAUCUGUUCUUGGAUUCUGUCAAUAUAAACUUCUUUUUAGAUAUCUUGUGUGCCUCUUUAUAAAGGUAGGAACAUAGUUAGUAAAACACAUGAUGAGCAGAAUACAAGAUGUUAUACGAAUGUAUAUUAUAUGGAAUUUUUCCCAACAGUACGAUUAAAAGAUUGGCAUAAAAAUACAUGUUCAAAAAAAUUAUGCACAUAAAUUCGUAUGUGAAUAGUAUGAACACAUUUGAAAGCCAUGGAACUAAAAAUACGGAUAAAUUUACUAUAAUUUUCAAAGACAAUGCUCCAUUUAUACCAAUUUUAGACUUAUUUUUAUGAAUGAGACGUUAAAUUUAUUAAAAUUUUAUCAUUUUAUUACUUAGAUAUAUAGUUGUUUUGACAUAUAUCACUCUUAUUUUAUGUAUAACUCAAAAAGUAUGUCAUUAUCCUUAUUCAAAUUUUAAAAUUUUUUAAAAUUUGAAGUAUAAUUCAUGAAGUAUAAUAUGUUAAAAGUUUAUUAUGUGUUACACAUGGGAAAUUGAAAAAUACGAGUAUUUUUUAGAGCAUUUUUGAAAUGUAUGAAAUAUGAAAGUUAUUUUGAUUGAUAUGUAUCAACAUGUACUAUACAGGUAUAAUAUGAGUAUUUGCUAACUAUGGGUAGGAAUAAGUUUUUACUGUUCAACGAUAUUUUAUCCAAGGUGAGAUGAUGAAUUUGAUAGGUGGAGUUCAAAAUUCCUCUCUGCUAGGAGCUUAUAUUGAUGCGGCAUGUGCUUUCUUUUGUUGUUUUUUUUUUUUUUUUUGUUUUCCUGAAUUCAUAAAAGAAUUACAUUUUCAAUCACCAAUUUAAUAUGUCAAGAAGGACAAAAUAUUAAUCCAAUUCGUUAGACAAUGACAGCUCAUCUGAUUGAGCAUAUUGAAAAAAAUAGACAUUAGAAAUAACUUUUGUAUAAAAAUUAUAUGUAAACUUUUGUAUAAAAAUUAUAACUUUUGUAUUAUAAAAAAUUAUAUGUAAUGCAUUUAUGACAUUUCAAGUCAAAUAACAACCAAUCCAACAAUUGGGCUGGCUACCUUGACUGUUAUUUUUCCAUUUGAUAUACAAUCUGAGUUUCAAAAUCUUGCUCGGUACCAUUUUACUUUUACAUCAAUCUCCAUUAAGGCUACGUAUGAAUCAAGCUACUUGCAAGCAUUGGGUUUGAGCUGAGUACCUUUAACUCUGUUAUUUUUCCAUUCGAUAAACAAUCUGAGUUUCAAAAUCUUGCUCGGUACCAUUUUACUUUUACAUCAACCUCCAUUAAGGCUACAUAUGAAUUGAGCUGCUCGUGAGCCGAAAUUGGGCAUUUUAUGCCCGUCCAAACAGGGCGAAAGCCCCAAGGCAUGAAGCGCAAGUUCCACAAAUUUUUAUUUUUUAAAUAUAUAAAAAAUAAAAUAUAAAAUAAUACUACACAAAUUAUAAUAUUCAUAAAUAUUUGUGUGUAUAUAUGUUCCUAAUAAAUAUAAAAAAUUGAUAAAUUUAAGAAAAUUACAAAAAAUAUAUUAUUGUUGUCUAACAAGUAAAAUCACAACAUUACUCAUACAGCUAUCUAGAAUCAUGUUAAUAAAAAAAUAAUUAUAUUUUGGGAUCAAAGGAAAAAAAAGUCAUGGAUGCUUUUAUUUUAUAUUUCUCCCAAACUAUUUUUAAAGAGAAAAUAAAUGGAAUCAUUCUUCAAAAUUAUUAAAAAAUAAUAAGGACAAGAAACAAAGAUAACAAAGAUAAAAUAGUAAAACUAAAGUCAAAAUUAGAAAAAAAUACAAAAACGCCUCGAAUGCCCCAAACGCCAGGGCGUUCACCCCGCCCAACAACACUUAUGCCCCAUUCAAAAACCCCGGGACAUUUGGAGCUCACCCAGAAACGCCUUUUAAAACAAUGCUUAUGAUUAACAGUCAAGCAAACGCUUCAAGAUAUUUAUAGCCACUCUUUAUCCAUCUCCAUACUAUCACUUCAUACUGUUAAGCAAAGCAGAUAUAACUGCAACAUAAAAGAACUUUGAUUUUCAUAUAUAAGCCUCCAUAUAAUUUCAGAACUACCAGACUGUUUGAGUUAUUGAAUGUCUCGGUGCUAUCCAAUUCUUGUGUCCUUUUCUUAGCUUAAAUUACCCAGGAAUGGUUUCCGCAAAUCAGAAACUAUAACCCUGUGAUUGUAUUGUCCAUUUCAUUGAUUUGGCCAAGGCAAUGCAAAUGGAGAACUGUUUCAUCUUGUGGGUCAGUUAAGGACCCAUUAAACAAACAAGAGAUAACAAUUCGAACCCAGCAUAAGAAACUUAACCAACCAAAUCCAUUCCAAGUAAGACAGCAUUAGUUUUAAGUAGAGGUGUCAAAUCAAACCAUUUAAUUAAUUUUACCCAUACCCGCCCAUUAAUAACUGAAUAUGGGUACAUUAAAUUUUUAUAUAUAGGUAUAAAUGGGUUACCCAAUUAUACCCAAUUAUUAAAUGGAUAUAAUUGGGUAACCCAUUAAACCCAAUUAACCCAUUUAACUUGCAUUCCCAAACUUCUUUCUAUUUUCAGUUUUCACCGUCAAUCUUCUUCUCCUCCCCACCAGCAAGCCCACUGCUUCCCCCCCCCCUCUUCCUCCAGUGUUUGAUUCCCCUCUCCCUUCUCCCCGUCUCUGCUUAAUAGAAGGUUUUUGCCCCUUCCAUGUCCAAUUCCUGAGCUGAUUGAUGGAUAACUUUUCUAAUGCCAUUAGAUCCUAGAAACGCCACUUAUAUUUUUUAGCUCUAGUUUUUUUCCCUUCAUUUGAUACCAUUGCAUUUCUUUGCUUAAUGUUCACAGGAAUCUAAAUAUUGUGAGAAAAGUUGAAAAGCUUUGGGAGCUUGAGGUACAAGAAAAUUAGAAUCAAUCUUCAAUUUUGUUUGGAUGGAAUUGUUGGCAUAGUAUUUGGACAUGGGAGGAGAGAGACAGAGCAUAUGCUGCAGAUCCUGCACCCCGGAUGCAGUUGGUGGUAUCUGUAGCAUUUUGGAGUCUACAGGUAAGGCUUUCCUGCUUAAAUUUGUGGUGGGAUGCAUACUUAUUGGCUGUAGUAGUAUUUGAAUGGGAUCUUAAUUUUGCUGGUUCUAUGACAACUCUACUGGGAAAGUUUUACUUGUAUGCAUUCGUCUCCUUGCAAUCUGUGAAGCUGUUUGUUAUUAUUGUUCCCAGUAAUUGCAAAUUUGGAAAACUUCCAGUGCCUAGUAAUUUCUUUUUAGUCUAUUCGUAACAAAUUUGUUCAGCACUACUGGUAACAAUUUCUUGAAGGCUACAAAAUCUGCAAUGACGAGGACAAGAUUGGUUGGCCAUAGUUUUUCAAAAUUUACACGACGCUAAACUGAGGUCUAAGGAUCCAGCCAUGUUCUUUUUCUAUAACAGGAAUCUUGUUAAGUAGCAUAUUCUUUAAAUUUUUCCUAUAACAGGUAUCUUGUUAUUGGGCAUGUAAUUUUAUUUAUUUUUUAAUAAAAAUGUUGUUGGAAACGGGAUAGAAAAGCAUAGAAAAUUAACAUGAUAGAAAAGCAUAAUAUCUCGUAUAUAAUAUCAUUGACAGUAGUAUUUUAGGUUCAAUCUGAUGCAUUGUUUAGGGGAAAGUUUCUGGUAUAAAUUUGCUUCAUGUCAAUUAAGCCACACAUAACACAAAAAGGUGGAUCAUAUACACAUGAAAUCCUCUUUUUCUAUGUAAUUUGGUUUAUGUGAACGGUGGCAUAUGUCAUAAUCUACCCAUAUCCUUGUAAAGGGUAUAUUUGGCUAGGAUAUGUUUUAGGUUCUCGAUAUUGUUGUAGUGCUAGAGUUUGAGCUACAAUGUGGAAUGGAAUUUUGUGGCUUGUGUCUUGUGUAUUAUUCAGCCUUUGUUGUUAUGACAUGGUUAUAUUUGUGCCUAGUUAUGUGGAAAAUGGAAAGAUGCUGAUUUUGUUUGCAUGAUCAGGCUUAAAUUGGUUCUAGCAACCUUGUCAGGAUGCUGAUACUGAUGCACUGAAUGCAGCAGCAUCACUGUUGUAAGGUUCUCCCAUUAGAAAGAGUCAAAAAGCUAAAAAACCAAAGUGGCAAGGAACUUUUUAAAGUGCUGAAAAUUGGAAGUUGUUGAAACUUGGGCUUGGCUAUCAAGUCAUUGAAACUGGCAAGUGCAGUCAGCACAAUUAAGUCUGAGAGGGCAGGGCAGGACAAGUUAUAUGCAAGGCUGAGAGUCUUAGAUAGGAAAACAUCAGAUGAGGUGUACAAAGUUGGUAGUAUAGAUAACAGAAAUGCUAUCCCUUCAUGAUCCAACAGAUGAGUUGUCAGAGCACAUUCAGGAACUAUGUUCUUAUACAAGCCAUGAGCCUACCAAUACAGAUGAGUUGAUCCAAAGUUCUUCAAAGUGUUCGAGACAACUCACGUCAUUGAUUUGGAAGGAAUUUGAUAUAUUGUAUGUUGAACCAGAUGGUUCACAAAGAGCACAAUGUAAAUGGUGCAAGCGUGAUUAUGCAUGUGGUGGAACAACCGGAACAAGCAACUUAUGGCGUCAUCUUUCAAAUGGAGUAACAGGUAUGUUAUACUUAACCUUUUUGUGCACAUGAUCUUGUAUUUUACUUUUUUAGUCACUUAUUGAACUUUACUUUUGAUUUCAGCUUCUGAAGAUGAAGAAGAUAGAGAAAGACUGAGUAUUGACUUUGCACCUUUAGUUGCUAAACUUACUAACCUUCAUGUUGGCGGAUUCCAACAAUGAGCUGGAGGAGUUUUAUGCUAUGCUAUGCAGUUGUACGAAGCUUGUGCUUGUUAAGUAUCUUGAUAGAGUAGCUAGUUGUGGGAAUUCAAGUAGCUAUUGUUUAUUCUCGUACUGAAGGUUGGCAAGAAGUUUUGGCCAUGUAACCUUUCACUGUUCUAUCAGUUAUUUCUAUUUAUUGAAAAUUUAUCUUUGUUUGUAUGCUAAAUGAAGUGAUUGCUAAUCCUUAUCAGGAUUUUUAACUAUUUUUUAUGUUAACUAAUUUUGUUUUAUUUAUUAUAUUUAUUUGUUGAUUUUGUCUUAUCGCUUUAUUUCCUCGUAAUUUAUUAAUUUGAUCAUUGUUUAGCAUCACUAAUUUAUGACAAAUUUUAGUCUCCUUUCUUACCUUUUCAAAAUGAAAUUUUAAAUUUAUACACGAAAAAAUACUAGGGGUUCAAAGUUUUGGAUUAAAUUUUUAUGUUAACUUUCAUAUUAUUUAGUCCAAAUUUUUAGAUUCUCCUUGUUCAAUUAUUAAAUAAUAUGUAAUUUUGCGACAUAGCACGCGGAUGAAAAAAAAAUUGAUAAUUAGACUUAUUUGGCAUAAUAAGUAAAUAUUUAAAAUUAAUGAUGGGUGUAAAAUGGUAUAAAUUGAUAAUUUAGCUUGCAAAAUGAAUUUAUAUGAGUUUGUAAAAAAUUAGAAUAAAUGGAUUAUAAAUGGAUAAUUGAGUUACCCAACUCAUUUUUUGACUUACCCAUUUAUACCCAUCUAAUUAAAUGGAUAUAAAUGGGUUGACUCACUUAUACCCAUUACCCAUUUUACCCAACCCAAACCCGCCCAAAUCACCCAUUUUGCCACCUCUAGUUUUAAGACAUGCAUUGUGAAUAAAAAAUAGCACGCUUGGAACAAGCUUCUGAGCAAAAGGAUCUAUAAGGCAUAAUUAAAGAGCAAUAGGAGCACAAACCAGUCUGACCAAUUUGCAGGCACAAUAUGAGCAACGAAUCACCCUGGGUCUAACCAAUUUGGUAUUCCAGGAGCACGACCAUGCCACUGUACCCACUCUGCUUUUAGGAAGUCAUUCAAGCCAAGCAACUCACAUUCAUGAAAGCAUCAUAUGAGCGGUGCUAGAGCUAGUAAUGUUGCAACCAAACAAAUAAAGUAAUAUUACAUCACAAACUUACUGAAAGACUUGGUUAUGAGCAGCAAAAUCUCAAAAGGCCUGAUGACAUUCAUCUUUCUUAUCUAACCACAAUCUGCAGAAGAAGCCACAGCUGGUCAGUAAAAGAUCACUAGACUAACAGAAUAAAAGUUCCUAUAUCAGGAUAAAUACUAAACAUAAUUUUGUCGUGCCAACAUGUUGUUUGCUCCUUUUCUGUGAUCAUACUCAUCGCCCAUAUAGAUGAAGGAACACCUUGGUUAACAAAGGGAGUAGUCAAUGGCAGAUAAUUAACCAGAGGCAAAGAGAGAACAACUCUAAUAUUCAGUGAACAGCCAAGUCAAUCAACUCAAACAUUUGUUAAAAGAACUCAAGAAGAAAUGUCUUACUUGGGAAACCAUGCGACAGAGUAACAAGUUCAACAUCUGCCAUUUUGUCAUCUUUACCUGAGACAAUGGCAAACUCUACUUCCUGCAUAUAAAUCAAUAAUAAGUUUAGGAACCAUUCUUUUAAAGUAUAACUAACAGGCACCGGUAUUUUGAAAAUGUGUCUGAUAAAAACUAGACAAUAGCAAGAGUUUUUGAACAGUUACACAGCUAAUUCUCUGAGCUUUUAGAUCAGUUGAAGACUAACAUGCAUAAACAAAUCCUUCAAUUCACUCAAUAAAAGCCUUGUCCCGCUCGAUAAAACAAAACAAUAUAUGUUCUCCUACAAAGACAUUCUUCAAAAACCCCAAAAAAAAGGGAAGGUUGUCAAUUUUUAUUGGAAACCUAUCAAGUCCUCAUUUUUCAUUGGAUUUCUAAACCUCAUCAUUCCAAGAUUUCAGAAACUCACUACCCAACAAACUUAAAUUAGGCCUGGAAGAAUAAAAUCUCAAUUAGCAAAACACCUUUUCCAAUAAUUUCCGUCCUUUACAUAAGGAAUUUUCUUAAAAUACUAUGAUAUGCUUAAUAACCAAAGAAAGAAACUCAUCAAUUCCAACCAGGAAAAACAAAAGCUAAAUCAUCAAAUCCAACAGAAAUACUACGUUAUGAGACUGAGGGAUGUACCAUCACGAGGCCAAGAUAUGCAAUUAAGAAUUUUCUUCAUUACUUUCUACUCAAAUUUGACAAAGCACACAUGGAGAGCUAAUAUAAGAGAGCAUAAAGGACAAACUAGACGGAAAUUGGAGAUAAGGAAUCAAAUAUUAUAAGGAGUAUUGCUUCAUGUCUAUCAGCAAUAUUGACAUCUGGUGUAAUAGAGGCAUGACCAGGAAUGUACUUGGUGAUUUAAAAAACUUAAGGAGCUUGAGUUUAGCUACAUGGCUAUCAUUUGUUGUCAAUUUCAUAGCAAGAACGAACAGUAAUUUAACAUGUUAAGGACAAGGGAUCCUCCCACAAGAAACCAAAAAUUCCAGUUGGCCAGAUUUUAUUUUCUUGCUUUAUGUCAGUCAAACCAGAGCCAGAUGUAGAAAUAACAUUUUUUUUUGGUCUAGGUUGCAUUUAACCUUUCAGACAACUUCUAACUUCGAUGGUGUGGAUGCAGUUCACUUAUUCAGUUACAAAAAAAUUUCUAACCUCUUCAAGGGUGUGGAUACAGUUCACUUAUUCAAUUACGGACAUUUCUAAGUUUGAUUAUAUUUAAAAUGUCACUCUCAAAGAUAAUUGAAACUGAUUAAGCAAGCAACAACCAUUUUCUUUUUCAUCUUGCAGCAGUGCUACAGCUAAUAAUCUAGAGUCAUCUCAUUCCCCAGAAAAAUGGUAGUCAAAAGACACUAUAGAGCAUUUUAAUCGACUAGGAAUAUCCAAUAACUACCCUCAAAAAGAGAUCACCUGGCUAAAAUGUUGUACAUUCAGAAGAGAGUGCAAGCUACUGAUGACAAAAUUGUGACUUCAUAACACAACCUUACAAUACAUACUUCAAAUGUGAAUACUAGCUGCAACUAUAUGGUUGCAAGACACGUUGAGAAGCCAAUGAAAAUAGCAAAACUUUCGACGUGAACAAACUAAUAUUCAUAAACUCUGACGAAAAUAGGAAAAAGGCUCUUUCACACUCCCUCCCCAGCAAAAUAACUUAAAUGCAUGAGAAGAUUUAUCAUCAGAUGUAGCAUCACUUUAGUUUAGUUGGAUAGCCAAUGGGAACACAUAACAAUUACUAUCAAAAUGUAGACAUAGACCAAUUCAUUUUAUUCAAUCCUAUAUCAGAACAUAAAACAUAGUGAAGCAAAUUGUAUUACAAAGAUGAUUACUUGGAACUCCAUAUUUACCCAAACCACAUUUCCAACUGUUAUUUGAAUUCUCCUCAUCUUUAUUAUUUUCUCCAUUUGCUAAGUUGUGUCUGUUAUUAUUUGUCAACCGAUCAAAUAAAAUUAAAGCCAUCAUGAGCAGAGACAAAAUCAAUACAUUCCAAGGUUUCCUUUCACCUUCUUGUGGGAAUAAAUGUUCAUGAAAACAUGUCUAACAGAGCGAUGGACUUUCAAGAUAAGACCUGCUAACAAGCUGAAACAAAAAUUUGACUCCAUUCUACAGGGCCCUCGGCGCUAGGUAACAUGUUCAACAAGGCAGAGCUUCAGUCUGCUCAUGGAUAUAUCUGAAGUUGGAUUCACACUAAACAAAGUAGAUGGUCACAGUUUUUUAUUAUCACGCUACCAUAACGUAUUUAGGAGUUUCCUGUUAAUCAUAUGGCUGUAACAAAAAAAAAAUAAAAAAUCAGCCAUUACACCAAACGUAAUCUCCGAACUUAAUCCCCAAAAACAGAGUUUAUCGGUGGCAAUAGAGCCUCAAAUUAAACUGUUUCAACUUAUUCUCUGAACUUAAUCCCCUAAAGAACACAAACUAUUAGACUAGAUCCUUUCACUAAUGACGAAAUGGAAGAAAAAUUAGGGCUAGAGAUACAUCGUCUGGAAGAAAAGAUCAUGCAUGUUACCACAAAAUUCAUCAGAAAACCGUAAAAAACAAAAGUACGGGUUAUCAAGAAAAGAAGACAACUUACCAAUUCCAAUCGCCAUCCUCCCGGAGUUCGUUAGCAGUGGUGAGAGAACCCCUGCUAGAAAAUUCUCGACCAAUUAUUCCAUUUCAGUCGGCCCGUCGUGUUUGUUGUUUUAUUUUCACUCUAUCAAGGGAGAAUUCCAAGCCUGACGAACGAGAUUUGCCUCUUAACGGAAAUGUUUUUGCUACUUUAGGGCUACAGGUUAGGCAAAAAAAUGCAAAUUGUUUCUGAGUACAGUUUGCGGGUGAGUGCUUACGUGGAGCGCGGGUAGGUACUCGAAUAAUAUUGUAGCGGAUUAGGAGAUUUGUGCGGGACUGAUCGUAUUGGAUGGGUAUGACAGAGAAGGGCGAUUCGGCACGGCCGCCGGAGAUAUAUGCUUAUGAAGCUUGUAAUUCUCCUUUAAUGUAGAUGAAAAUAAUCUUUCCAUCUCUCAAUGUGCCCCGUGGUAGUGUAAGUUAUUUAUAUUAAAACGUUUGAAGGCACAAGUAUUUAGAGAUGUACACCCUGCUCAAUGAGACAUGAGGAGACGGGUAAGAAAAAUUUUUAAUGAAGAACUCUUUAACAGAAUGAACUACUUGUACAUCUUUUUUUUAACAGGGAUAUCAUGUUUAGUUGUUUGUGUGGACUUGGACAUGAUAAUUGCAUCAAAAUUAAGUUGAAUUUUCUUGUUGUUUUGUUGGCAAAUUUAGAGCCAUGAACAACUCGAGACACUUGUCAGUCCGUACCAUUAAUCCAUGUGGCAUUGGCUAGCGCCUUUUGAACCCCUUCAAGAAUAUUUCUUUUCAAUACUGCAAUGAUUAAAAGACCUUAGCACCAUGAGUUUAAAAUACCUUAGCACCGUGAGGAGGCAUGGUGGUGGCCCAAUGGGAAUGGGAACUCAUCCUGUAGGGAAAGAAGAAAAGGACAGGGAAAAAUGAAAAUAUGGGGUGUGAGUGAGGGUUGGGUCAGGGAUCUUUCUCCUCAUAUUAGCAUUUAUGCCAGUGGUGUAUCGUGAUCCGUCAAGCAAGAAAGGGUUAUGUGGAAGGUCAUCGCACACAGGUCCAUAAUCCACUACUUUGUUGGAGACUGUCCUCCUUUCUGGAGUAAGAGUGAGAGGCACCUCAGAAGUUGACCUAUUGGCUGUGGAAUAAAGAGGUCGAGUUUGUGAUGGUGGUAUAAGGUGAAACUGGGUCAACAUCAACAAUCAGGGUUGUAUCUUUUUAUUAUGUUGUGAUUUACAUAUUUUGUGUUCUUUCUAUAUGUUUGAAUACACUCUCUAAAAGCUUAAUUGCACUCUUAUGCACAGACCUCGCUUGGCUAUCAACGUCACACCAAAAUACGAACAUUUUUUUAAAACUAGGAUGCUGAGAAUUGACAUGAGAUUGACCCGUCAUAAAAAUUAUAAUUGACUGUAAAGGAAACAUAUAAAACUAGUGAAUUUGAGUAGAACUUUUAAUUUUCACUACAUAAUAGUAUGAUUGCCUUCAAGGCAUGGGUUUUAAGUUAUAGAAAUGUCCUUUCAAUUAAAUGAGAGCUGCUGUUAAUAUAUAAAUUAAUGACUGUGUGAGUUUUGACGCAAAUUAGACAAUUCACCACCAGUGAAAUGGUAGAGGGUAGAGUUUGCCCCUCCUUCCUUCCUAUCCUGCUCUUUUUGCAUUUUCCUCUUCAUCCUCUCCAUAAACUUCUUUAUCUUUCUCUUUCUCCUUUCACGCUCUUCAUCCUAUCCUUUCUCCUCAAGGAACAAAUUGUGGCAAUGACAGUGGUCUUGGUGGCUAUUAUUGCUUCUUCUUUUUUUGGGCGACACAACGGGUAUCUCAACAUUUUGCUGGACUAAUCCCCCUGCGGCUGGAUAGAGCCCCGCCCAAGGAUGCACAGCAAUGUUAGCACAACAGGGUUCGAACUGGUAACCUAUGGGAUACUACCGUAUAUGGUCACUAGCUCAAUUUUUUUUUUCUUUUUCUUUUUGUAAUUUUGACAAAGUAUUUCAGUAGAUAUAGAAUCAUUAAAAUUCUAGAAGUGUUUUGAUGUGUUAAAUAUGCAAAUUUUAGGUAAGAAUUAGCAAACUAAACUUGCUAUUAGUGUCAAGUUUUAAGCUUGACAUCAUGGCUAAUGGUGCAAUUGAAUGUUCAAUUAACCUAGAACAAAAAAACCUCGAACACAACUCUUCCACUGCUAGAGAAUUAUUUUGAUAUAAUUAAUAUACACUAAGGUCAAGAUAUGGUUUGAAGGAGUGGUGGUGCUACUGCCAGAAGAAGAAUGAAAAAAGGGAAAGAAAAAGAACUAAAAUUAAAUUAAAAACCCAUUUCCUCAUCGUUUUAAUACCAAACAGCUAGAAAGGAUUUGUUAAUAUUCUAUUAUCAUUGAAGAAUUCUGAAUAGCCAUUAUGGUAGUCAUUUUUUAAUAGAUACCAAAAGAGGUGAUAACAAUAACAAAUAUGGUGAAACAAAUUCAAAAGAUCAAAGUAAAUUUUAAGUUGAUUGGACAUUGAAUUUUCUUUUUUAACCAAAAUUUAGAUUGGAUGAUUGGUAGAGCUGUUAGUGGUGUUAUAUAUGAAUAUAAAUUAAGGUCAAAUGAAAAAUAAACUUUUUCAUACCACCCACAGAGUGCUCGUGGAAGUAGUGGGGCAAAACGAGGGUAGAAUGAGGAGUAGGAAUGGAGAUGGGGCAAAAGUUAGGGGAGCUUUUUUAGAAAUGUAGUAUAAACCGGGAAGAUAGUUUUAGAGUGCCGUCGUCCUCCAUGUGAGUUUCACGUGUGAUGAAUGAGUUAUGUUGCUGUUUUGUUUCCUUUUUUUCCCUUUUUUUUCCCAUCCAACCUCCCCAUUUUUUCCACCUGCUUUGGGACUAAGGAGGGAUGAUUACUCUUUCCACUUUUAUCACGAGUGUAUCAACGGCGAUGUGCUUAUCAUGAAGAGCAUAUAUUGGGAACUGUAGUUGCUAAUCUCUGGUCUGACCUCCAGCUACGGAGAGGCGGCUGCAUUGUUAUUAUUAUUAGAGUUAAGUUCUGUUGGCAUGCUCUGUUUUAGUAGCAGGGAUUUGCUCUGCCUGCAACAUAAUAAUUCCUUCGAUUUCCAAGACUUCUCUUGCCUGCUUCUUUUCCCGUGCAUUCUCUUCUCCGCUUUUGAUAGAUUCUCUUUCCGUCUUUCCAUUAAACGAGGAUGCAGAGCUUCAUUUUUUUCGUUCUUAUAUAACCUUUGGCCUUAUUUUAUGCCUUUACGCUGUCUUCUUUGUCUUCUCUUGCCCAGUGUGUGUUGGUUUUCUUCCGCUUUCUGUUGCUCUUGCCUUCAUCUGGCUUGUGCUACUGUCUAUUUUUGUUGUUGUUGCCGUCCUCGUCAGCGUGGUUGUUGCUGCUAUUACUCCAGUGAGGUACUUUUUUUGUUUUUUUCUUUUGCCCUUCUUAUUCCGCAUUUCUAUCUUGUUUCCGUUCAUUAUGCAGCUUAUUCCCUGCUUAGUUUGUUACUUUCCUGUUUUGUAUUGGUCAUCGCUUUUUUCGUGCUCUUCUGAAGAUGUUCUUGUGUUCAUCAUCAUUAUCUUUUCUUUUUAUUUUUCUUUCAGUUGUGUCCUUUUACUUUGUCUGGUCACGCAUCCGCAAAGAGAAGGGUUCUGUGUGUUGUUUUUUUGUGUGGUCUGUCGAAGGUGUUUUUCUUUUUGCCGGAUUUAUUUGGUAUCUUUUCUGCUGGCUGUUCACCUUUCUUUGUAGCUUGUUGUUUGGUUUCUUUUAGCCUUCAUAGAAAAAAAUAAUUGGAGCAGCAAAAAAUUUAAACGACUACCACACCAUUGCGCCUUCGUCGAGUUCGCUACCCUUGCUGCAUUUUUUUCUUGUUUUCCAUUGUGCUUUACAUUUUAGUAGGAAUGUCCUUCCGGUCGUGUGAGCUGUUUCCAUGGAUUUCUUGCAAUUGCUUCUCUGUGUUCGCUUCAAAAGUUCAUGUCUGAUGGAUGGUGUCUUCCUUUCAGGUCUUGCCGUUCCUGCUUUUUCCCUGCUGUCUUCUUAGGUACUUCCUCAUUUUUUUUUCUUCUUCUGCCCAUGCCUAGCUCGUACUUUAUUCUAUGCAUGGUUCCGUUGUCCUCUCCUGUCUAUGCAUGCUUCACACUUUAUUCUGUGCAUGCAUGCAUUGUUGAAAUGGAUGAACAUUUCCGCUCUAUGCAUGCAUACGUUGUUGCAUGGAGCAACUGCCUUUUAAAAAGUUACCUUUACCGCUUCCGUCGGUUCCCCUUAAAGGGUCUUUCUGCGUCGGUGUUCCUUGGCCUUGGUAGAGCCAGGCGCAUCGUUCUAAUUAAUACGUCCUGUAUUAAUUAAGUAGACAAAUUCUUUUGGAAAUAUGCUCGCCAAGCUGAUUACUAAAAUACAUUAUGCUUUCGGUAAAAAUUUGUUGUUUUCUCCUUAGCAUGACUUCUUUGUUACUGCGUAUAGCUUCCAUGAUGUAUUUCUUGUGGUCGCUUCCUCUGGGUCACAGAAAGUAUCAAAACGAAAGUUUCUAACCAGCAUUUUGUCAUCCCCAACAUUGAUGCAAAAUUCCCUUAAUCUAUUAAAAUGUAAAGAAACAACAAAAAUAUGCAACUUAGAAGUACACGUUCAAAUAUGUCUUACUGUUUUGCUUCAGAAAUGACCCGACGAGAAUGAGAAGGUUCUAUGAGCUUGAGGUUGUGCAUUGUUCCCAUCUGUCCCUUGUUAAAUAUCCAUAUCGUUCCUCAGAUCAUGCAUAAAUGCAUCCGUUCCCCCUAGACCUUCUUAUUGCUCCACACAAAACACUUCCUAUUUUUAUUAAUGAAUAUUCAAACCUGUUUCUUGUUCUUCGUAGCGUUAACAGUAACAACUUUUAAAGCAUUCCACCUUUUGUAAAGUUCUAAGAAUUAUCAAAUACUUCUUUUACAAUAUGACAGGCCAUGCCAUUGUGCCAUUAAUUACUGUGUUAGUUUCAAAGUUUUUAGGCAUGCUUUGUGUGCAAUCACUAAUGCACCUGCAAAUAUUAACUCAAACAAUUAAUAUUUCCACAUUAACUGCAAAUAGUACACCAACUAAUCCAAUCCAAUUAACUUCGGCUACCCUCUCUUGCAUAAUAUAUAAAUGAACAAUAGCAUGAAGAAUAUGGAACUUAUAUAGCUCAUAAAAAUGGAGCAGCUGGAAAGUGUUGGCUCUUCCAGUUUGUUAGCCAAAGAUAGGGAUGCAAAGGGAUGCUGGUUCUUAUUUAGAUAUAAAAAUGAGCCUGAACAGGUAUUAAGAAGUUUUACCACUUUGUUGCUGUUACCAUUGUUUGCCAUCUUGUAGCGUUUCUCAGCCAACUUAUAUUUACAUAUGACCUGCAUAUAGUGCCUAUUCAAUUCCAAGCCCUUCUAAUCAAGCACCUUUGUAACCAGAUAACUAUAAGAGAAGUGUAUAGAACAUGGCUUAUCAAGCUUCGUCGGCAAGCAUUCGCUGAAGGAUGGCAGGAGUUUUGCCACAGCAACAUCAUCAAGGAAAACUACUUUUCUUGCUUCGACAUUCUGGUCACCUAAUCUUCGACGUCAUCCACUUUUACGAGGACAAAAAACAAGUAUACAUGCCAUGGACAGAUCCUCUACCUCAUAUACUGCGUUCACAGCCAUCCCUUGAAUUAGGAAGUUGAGGGUUAACCGCUUUUGUUUUGUAUCAGCCCAUUUGUAUUUUUUUAUUUUUUUGCCUCAUCGGACUAUCCUUUAAUUUCCAGGUGAUAAGAAGAAAAAAAAAUUAUACGGCAGCGAGUGUCGUCAUCAAUGAGGCCUGAUUUCAUACAAACCUUAACCGAAGGCGUGUGUUUCUACCAAUUCAUUGACAAACAGAAUCGGCAUAACUUUGUGAGUUUUAUAUAUAGAUUUAUUUAGUUUUUGACAUCUUUGUAUCAUAACAUUCUUAACUCUAACACCAUACAAUGCUAGAAAGUCCCAAGGUUUGUUGCUCAGUUCGUCCAUAGUAGCAAGACUCCUUCGAUUACUCUGAGGACUGGAAACAAAACAAUAACUAUUGCAAUGCGUGGAAGGCAAUUUACGGACAACUGGAACAUCUUUGUGGCAGAGCACCAACUACAGUUCCGAGAAGUUUUAGUCUUUGUUCCUAAAUCCAUUACUACCUACACUAUUCUAAUCUUUGAUAGACAUGGUGCAGAAAAACACUUCCCAUGGUGUGAUAGCUUUUAUGUGUACUCUACCAUGGGAGAUGCGGCAACUUAGUUGUAUUCUAAUGGCUUUUCAAAUGAACAUUUGAUUUGAAAACUCCAGCAAUUCCUCUAUUAUCUGUUUCUGCAUGUACAUCCGUAUGUACACUGUGCAUCCUUAAAAAAUGAUAUGCUUCAUAGCUGAAUCAACGGUUUACACAUGCUUGCAAAUACAAUAUGCGCUGUAUCAAACACUCACUCUCGUUGCUCCAACGUUUUCUCCCCAGGCUAUAGAAAAGGAAUUGAGUAUGCAUUUUACGGCUAGACAUAAUAAAGAACCUUCUCAUUCGAUCAUGGGUAUAUUUACAAUUUACUACCAUGCGCGAGCACGGUGAUCAUCUCCUAGUGUAAGAUAGAGUGGGAGCGAGAGACAGGGAAGGGUUUCCUCACUCUAUACCUGUCUCGUUGUCAUCCCUAUCUAUGUACGUAUUUGAUCCCCAUGCAAAUUUUUCCAAGACAAAUUUAUAUUUUUAGUCCUUAAAAUUUAGAAAUUAGACCAAAUUGGUCCUUAUAAUUUCAGUAAAGACAAAUAUAGUAUCCAAAAUAUUUAAUGUUGACAAAUUGAUUCCUAAUGCUGCAAUCUAAACAAAUAUAGUUGUUAAAGUAUAUUGAUUCACAAAAUUGGUCCCUUAAAUUUUAUAAAAUCUCAGAAAGUUUAUUAAUAUGAUAUAAAAAUACACGAAAAUCUAUGAAAAUUAUAGAAAAAAUUAUGAAAAAAUUUAAAACUUUGAAAAAUAUAAAAUAAGUGUAACUUAUCACUUUUGACCAAAUGAAAUUAAUUUGUAGAUAUACCAAUUUUAUAAUUGGUACAUAAAAGUACAAAAAAAAUGCAUGUACAAAUUAUAAAUCUUAAUUCAUUUAUAUAUAUAAAAAAGCACAAACACAAAAUAAAUAGAGCAUUAUAAAUCUUAGUUCUUUUUGGUAUAAAAAAGCAUAGACACAAAAUAAAUAGAGCACAUUUGCAACAAAUGGUUUAUUCCAAUAUAAAAUCAGAUAUUUAUAAUAUAUUUCACUUAUUUUUUUAUAGUUUUUAAAAUUUUUGUGUUUUUUAUUAAAUUAUUUUAUUUUUGUAGAAUACCUUAUACAUUAAAAUUACAUGUAAGGUAUUCUAAGGAAUCCAAUUCAAUACCAACAUAAGAGGCGUGUAUUAUGCAUAUAAUCUAUCUAUUUAUUUUGUGUGAUUUUGUGAAUAGAAUUAGAUUAAGAAUUAUAAUUUGUAUAUGCAGUGUACUUUUAUUUACAAACUAUAGAGUUCUCACAUCCGCUAAUUAUCUACAUUUGGUUUAAAAUUAAUUAUUUUUAAAUAAUUUUACAUUUUCUAGUGUUUUAUAAUAUUUAUUGAACAUCACAUAUUCUAUAUUAUAUUUAAUAACUUUUCUUAGAUUUUAUAAAAUAUUAGGGGAAAUUUUGGUCAAGAUAUGUACUUCAAUUUCAUAAAAGGCUUCAAAAUACAAACUAAAACUCUAAGUCUAUCAAAACCUGCAAAAAUAAAAAACAUGCCAAGAUUCAAAUCUGCUGAAAAUUUUCUAAUUUAAAACUCAAUUAAGCACAACGCUUUUUUCACAAGCCUUAUUCAUGAAAUCAAUCUAAUAAAACUUUGCAAAACAUAAAAUAUGGCUAACAAACUAAAUAUAAAGAGGAUAAAUAUAAUAAAGCAUGACUCUAUCAUAGGCAAUUUCCGGAAUAAAUCAUAACUUGAGAAUAUGUUAGCAAAAGGUGCAUUAUUCAUUUAGGUGGACUUGAAUGAGUCAGUUUUCAUGACUCUUUUUAAUAGCUUGCACUAGAAUAGUCCAGCAUUGAAGAUAUAUGUAUAGGUAUGAUGUCUUGUAUUUAGAGCCCUCACACACACACGCACACACACACACACAUAUAUAUUAAAAUUAAAAGAAUUUCAAUAUGAAAAGUAACAUGUUGAAUCAAAUAGAUUAACAACUAUAAACAAAAUUGAGGUAAACAAGAUCUGCAUUGGGUUGGGUAUUAUAAUUUGGGAAGGUUCUAUAACUUUCUUAUAUACUAUAAUUUUUGUAUGGUCAAUGUGAGGAUGAUCAAAAUACAUUGGCUUAUAAGUAGUUUCACAGUUGAAGCUGUGUUUCAUUCGUGAUAAUGCAACAUAUAUUUGAACAUGUGAGGAUAGGGGUUUCUUUAAACAUAUAAUAAUAUAAUUUAAUGUUUGGCCAUGAGGUUUGUUUAUUGUCAUGGCAAAACAUAAAUGAAAUGGAAUUUGCGUUCAUGUAUCUAGAACUAGAUAUUGCUCAACAUUUGGUGAUUGCAUAGGAAUGCUAUGAAUGAAGACUUCUUUACUUGCAAAAUCACUAAUAAAAAUUUUAACAUAAAUUACAUUUUUACUCACUUAGAAUUUUAGUCUAUUCCUAUUGCAAAAAUCUUCAAUGGGAUCUAGAUUUCUUGAAAAGAUAAUUGGUGUGUAUGGUUUUAGUAGUAACCUAUAGAAGGAAGGGUAAACCACUAGGAUUCAAAGUAUUUGGUUUGAUCAUUUUGAUUCAAAGCUUCAUCAUAUCUCAAAUACUCGGUUAGUUCUCCUUGAAAUCUCUCUAGAAAGUCAUGUAUUUCAUUUGCAAAGUGAUUCUUUGUAGUUAUAAUUGUUCUAUUCUAUAAGCAAACUACAAUUUUUAUGCAAUUUUAAAUUUAGAAUAAACAAUAUUGACAAUCUUUUCAAUUUUAUCAGUUUCAUUCUUGUAGCUAAUCAGAAUUAAAGAUGGAACUUGUAUCUCAUCAUCGAAUAUGUUUCUUUUGUUCCUUCUCCAAUCUUUAAAAGAAAGUCAGUGAACAAAGGAUCCAAUCUUGCUUUCAUAUUUCUUGUUAAUUGCAAUUUUUCACUUUGAGCCAUAAUGGAAAAUUCAUCAAAUAUGCAUUUAUUAUUUUAGUACUUGUCUAUUUCCAAACAACUAGCAGUGUUUGCUUAAAUUCUCAACCAAGUACAAUGGCACUACAUUUUAUACACAAAGAAUUCAUUUUAUAAAUGAAUUGGAAUUUGCAUUCAUGUAUCUAGAACUAGAUAUUGAUCAACAUUUGGUGAUUGGAUAGGAAUUCUAUGAAUGAAGACUUCUUUACUUGCAAAAUCACUAAUAAAAAUUUUGACAUAAAUUACGUUUUUAGUCACUUUGAAUAUUAGUCUAUUCCUAUUGCAUAAAUCUUCAAUGGGAUCUAGAUUUCUUGAAAAGAUUAUUGGUGUGUAUGGUUUUAGUAGUAACCUAUAGAAGGAAAGGUAAACCACUAGGAUUCAAAGUAUUUGGUUUGAUCAUUUUGAUUCAAAGCUUCAUCAUAUCUCAAAUACUCGGUUAGUUCUCCUUGAAAUCUCUCUAGAAAGUCAUGUAUUCAUUUGCAAAGUGAUUCUUUGUAGUUAUAAUUGUUCUAUUCUAUAAGCAAACUACAAUUUUUAUGCAAUUUUAAAUUUAGAAUAAACAAUAUUGACAAUCUUUUCAAUUUUAUCAGUUUCAUUCUUGUAGCUAAUCAGAAUUAAAGAUGGAACUUGUAUCUCAUCAUCGAAUAUGUUUCUUUUGUUCCUUCUCCAAUCUUUAAAAGAAAGUCAGUGAACAAAGGAUCCAAUCUUGCUUUCAUAUUUUUUUUUGUUAAUUGCAGUUUUUACUUUGCGCCAUAAUGGAAAAUUUAUCAAAUAUGCAUUUAUUAUUUUAGUACUUGUCUGUUUUCAAACAACUAGCAGUGUUUGCUUAAAUUCUCAACCAAGCACAACUAAUUUUGCCCCAAAAACCUACUAUGAAUGCAUUAGAUUUCUCGAAGAUCAUUUAAUGCCUCAUUUGUCGCUUUUUAACACAAUGGCACUUCAUUCCAAAUGAUUAAUUUGGCUUCUUUUAUCAUGGUACCCGAAGAACUUUGCUUACUAAUUCGGCAUGGUGCACCUUCAGAGAUCCAAAUUGAAAAUUUAAAUCUAGAAUGGGCAGUCCUUCCCCUUGAUAAAAUGGAAGCUGCAAUUCUUCAUGUGGUUGUCACAAGUGUGAGGAGUCCUUUAGGUUUAACAUUAGCUAACAAAGCUCUACAGAGAAAUUAGAAUAUCUAUGAAGAAAGUGCCAGCUUUGUUUGAGCAAAUUCUUUUAGAAAUGACUAUGAAUGCUUGUUUUUGUUCUUGUUUAGAAUAUAAAACUGAAAUGUUUAUCUUUGCCUUAGGUUCUCUAAUUUGCUUUUCUGCAACAUUGUAAGAGACCCACUACAACAAAAAUAGCCUUUCCUGACAUGUUUAUAAGGACACUUGUUGGUUUGUGUCAUUACAACACUCCUAUUAUGAUACUUAUUAUCAACUCAAUAAUAUAUACUCUAAGUUUUUUAUUUUAUCAGAUAUAAAAAUAAUAAUGUGCCUUUAGACUACCUAACAUGAUACUUGAGAAAAUGUGAGAUGUACCAAAAAAAAAAAAGACACAAAACGGCAACGUUUGAUUUUGGCGAAAAAUUCAUUUGCUGUAAAAUACUCAAAAUUUUCAUUUUCCGGCUCCACCAUUUCCAGCCCCCCUCCCCCUCUCUCUGUCUCUCUGUUGUCAGAUUCCAACGUAGUUGGUGGGAAAAAUAGGGAGCAACCAGGCAGCAGUUUCGUUCUUGACCAACAUAGCUCGUGCCGCCUUUGGUUUGGGUAUCGGUGCCACCGUCCUCAACUCCUCCCUCUACAUUGUCGACGGAGGGCAAUGGGCUGUUCUCUUCGACCGGUUCCGCAGUGUCAUCGAUGACACCAUUGGAGAGGGUACUCACUUCCUCAUCCCCUGGGUCCAGAAGCCCUUCAUCUUUGACAUCCGUACCCGUCCCCACACUUUCUCCUCCAUCUCCGACACCAAGGAUCUCCAGAUGGUCAACCUCACUCUCCGGGUCCUUUCCCGACCCGAGGUCUCCCGCCUCCCUAACAUCUUCAAAACCCUGAGUAACACAGGCUGAUCAGAAUUCAUGAUCUUUCUAACAUUCUUAGCCUUAAUGAUCAUGUUUUACUUCCUAGUGUUGGAUUUAAUUAAUGUAUGAUCAUGUGUGACACUAGGUGUGCUCAUUUGACCCUUGGUCGAUUGCUCACUUGUAGAAGUGGAGCAUUUCCCAGGGUUGGCCACCUUUUGUUUCCUCUUUUGCCGGUCCAAAUCACACUUCCUUUGCAAUUUAAGUUGGUCCUCAUAUACUUGUGCAGGUGUGAGGGGUGUUAGGACCAUGCGUUUACCAUUGUGCAAUAGUGUGUACUUGUUAGCCCUACCAUCAAAUGUGGCAUGCUUAUCAAAUUGUCAAGAUCUCCCUAGAAUGACAUGAGUAGCAUGCAUCGGGACAACAUUACACACAACUUCGUCAAUGUAGUUGCCAAUUGAAAAAGGAAGACAUACCUGUUUGUAAACACGCACUUCACCUUCUUCGCUUAGCCAUUGGAGUCUGUAAGGGUGCGGAUGCCUAGUAGUAGGAAGCCCUAAGUUCUCAACCAUUAGCAAGCUUGCCACAUUGGUGCAACUCCCACCGUCAAUGAUGAGGCUACAUACCUUGUCACUUACUUUACGUCGAGUGUAAAAUAAGUUCUCCCUUUGUAACUGCUCAUCCUCCUUAACUCGGGCGGUUAGCAGUCGUCGUGCCACUAAGCAACCGAUUUUCCCUUGAAUAGGAGAGCACUCCUCCUCGGCCGAGUCAUUCUCCAAGUAGUCAUCUUUGGAUAAGGGUGGCAUCUCCUCACAAUCAUUGUCAUCAGACACGAUUUCCCCAUUGUGAGUGACUAACAUGAUCCUUUGAUUCGGACAUUGGGAUUGGAUAUGUCCGAAUCCUUGACAUUUGAAGCACUUGAUGUCUCUACUCCUAGGUUUAGGAGUUUUUUGAGGGGCCUUAGAAGUAAACCUGGAUGCAUCAACAAACUUGUUAGGGGUAGAAUUGGAAUUUCGGGUAGAGAAAUUACCUAGUGUGCGGCUAGAAGGGCUUGGUGUAGCCCAAUUCCAGUGUCAUGUGCAGUUCUUCUUGGCGAAUUGCCCUUCCAUGCACUCGAAUUGGAGGAUUGGAAAGUUCGACCUCUCCUUCUCAAUUUCUUCCCCCUCUCGGCCUUGAUGGCUAGUUCAAGAAGAUCAUGCAUGUCCAAGUAAUGUUGGAGGUCCAAGGCUUCUUGGAGGUCAGGAUUUAGAUCUCUAAGGAACCUUGCCACAGUGGCUUCACUAUCUUCUUGAAUGUUUGCCCUCAUCAUGGCCAUUUCGAUCUCCUUGUAGUAGUCCUCCACACUCAUGUUGCCUUGAGUGAGGGUUUGUAGCUUUGAAUGGAGAUCACGGUUGUAGUAGUUUGGAACAAAUCUCUUGCGCAUUAGUGCUUUGAGUUCUCGCCAAGUUUGGACUCGUGAUUCACCAUUUCUCCUCCUGUUAGUCCUUACUUGAUCCCACCAAAAUAGUGCGUAGUCGGUGAACUCAACAGUGGCGACCUUCACCUUUUGUUCCUCGCUAUACUCGUAGCAAUCGAAGACCAUCUCAAUGCGGUCUUUCCAUUUCAAGUAAGCCUCAGGAUCACUUUUGCCUUGGAACGUAGGAACUUGAAUUUUAAGUCCCUUGAGCUCGUUCCUAGACGUGUCCCUUUUAGGUCUCUCGGCUAUUUCCUCAUCUUCACUAGCCGAGUACUCCUCAUAGUUUGCUCCUUUAGUGCCAUGGUUACUUCGGUUGCAAGACCUAGACCGAGAGCCUCUUGUGAAGCUCUUUGAGAGCUCGUCAAAGCGGUUGUGCAUCUCCUCCAUUUGUUCCGGUUAAGCUCAUUUUUCAUGGCGGUGAACAUCAAUAAGUAGUCAGUGGUCGGAUGAGCUUGCUCCAUGUCUCACGUUUGGUCCUGCAAAAAGGUUAGUGUACAAGGAAAUAGCACAAAUAUAACCUCGCUUCACUCCAUUAGUGUUUCACUCACCCUCGUGUUUUCACUCCAAAAACACUCUAAUGACCUUACCAAGAUUCCUUACCUAUCGGAUUGGGUAGUUGAGAAAUGCCGUACAAGUCCAACAAAUGUCACCCAAACUUUCCACAAGAGUAACCAAGAAAGCAAGACACAAAUGGGAUGCAAAAUGGAAUAAGGAUGCAAGGUUUUGGAAGCUCAAUAGUGGCGGACAGAAAUGGAAACUAGCACUAAUGUGAAAGGAAUCAAUCAAAACCCUGGCUUCCUAAAAUGUAGGAGUGUAUCCAAGUGCAAAUAAAAGAGCUAACCAAGCUGCCUACUUAGUUUUCUAAUUGAUUUUGGAAACAAGUUAGUCUUUGGAAACCUUUAGAAAACCUUUUCCUCCUUGAAACAACUUUUAAAACUUCCAAAUUCGAAUCCAAGAAGGAUUAACAAAUCAGAUUCGGUUCCACAAACAAGUCUUGCGCAAAUCAGAUUUGGUUCAAACACACUUCUUGCGCAAAUCAGAUUUUGUUCCCACCAACAACUCACACAAGUCGGUUGAGAAGGAACUAUUAAACUCCCCAAAGGAAGUCUGAAACUCACACACACACAAGAUUUCGUGCGGAUUGUCCCUCCUUUUGGUGCAAACAGUUUCGGCCCUUUCCCAACAAUGGAGUUCCCACAAGGUGAUGCAAACAACCUUACUCGAGCUCCCCCCCAAUGGGUUACUGAAGAUGUCCCCAAGAAAGAAACAACAACUCCAAGGAAACCCUUCACCACCGCUAGGGAGUACAAGAAGAUGUACACUAGAAGGAUGAAACAAGUUCCCAAGAAACAAGAUGUUCAAGAACUCCAAGAAGUGGUGGAUCAAAACUUUUGAAUCUUUUCCCCUUUGUUUUAUUUCCCUUCGGAUUGGAAACAAGAUGUAAUGGAGACUGUUUUGGCAAUAAAAAAAAACCAAAUUUUCCCUUCUUGUUUUUGUUUUCUUGCCCACCGAAUUCUUUUUCUUUGCUUUUCGUUUCUGUUUUUUUUUGUUUUUGUUUUUGUUUUUUUUUCUGACUUAAACACAACUUGACCGAAUGGAGUAAAUUUCCAGAUUUGGUUCGGCUAAACACACACAAGCAACGAUCAAGAUCCCUCAAGAACUUCCAAGUAAGUUAUCAAGAACUUCAAGAACUUCAAGAUUGUGAUCAAGAAAUUCAAGAAACCCUAGAUUCUUGUAGGUUCUCUUCAAGAUUCACAAAUACCAACAAGUUUAACCAAAAAUCAGUUUUGAAACAAGCAAAACAACUUGGAUCACCAACGAACAAACUUGGAUAGAUUUGACUUGACGAAACCCUAGUAAAGAGAAGCAAACCCUAGCAGCCGCCAAGUUGUUUUACUUGGUGCUCAAGCAACUGCUAACUAACAAAAUAGAUUGGUGGACUUAAAACAAAAUUUUCGUAUGCCACAAGCGCACACAACUCACGAUCAGAUUGACACGAAAUAGGGAACAAGACUACGAACAACAAGAUACCAACACACGAACAUAAUUUACGACAAUGAAACAACAAAAGGACUUUGGACCGAAAUUUUUUCUUUUUUUUUUAACAAUGCAGCGGAAAACAAGGAUAAACCCUAAACAACUCAACAAGGACAAAACAACGGAUAUAGCGAAAGAUACCUCGACCUAUGCUCUGAUACCAACUGAUACGCUCCUCGAUCAACACGUUUCGAGACACGUAGCACGUUUGCCCAAAGAUCUAGCGAGAUUUCCAACCGUUUGGAUUGCGACUCCUAGAAUCAAGAAGGACGACACGACUUGACUCAAGGCGGUAGAACGACAACUCCAAUCGAGGUGGAUAUUCUAGUGGAUAGGUUGGAUGAACAAUCAAGGACAAUCGCGAGAUUGCUCAAGAACCCUUGCCAAGGCAAGUAAAGGAAUCGAUUCUCUCAACAAUGGAAGAGAAAAAAAACUGAAAUUUUAUUAUCAAAAGUAUGUAACCCUUCAACCGUACAACUUGUGCUUUUUUUAUAGGCUAAAGAACUAACGAAAACCUAAGGCUAGGGAAGGGGGAGGGUUCGGCCAUGCUUAGGGCUAGGUGGGCCGACCCCUUUAAUUGGAAAACCGAAAAAGAACUAGCUAAUAGACUAAAGCCAAACUAACAACCAUCACUCAGCUCCUCAUGGGCUUGGAUCAAUGUGUAGACAACUCGAUGAUCAACUUCUAAGCCUUCAAUGUUCCUAUGGACCUCUUGUUGGUUUUGGACAUUUCGAACAAGGACUUGGAAAGACUCUUUGAAGCGCUUGGCCUGUGCACGUGUAACGGGGCCCAAUGGUACUCGCACUUGGUCUUCACCAUCUCCCUUCGUGCACACAUCACGAACACUAAAAGCAUAAGUGUAACUAACUGGCCCAAGUAAUCCACCAUCCUUUUGUGAAUUAGCUUUAUUCCUCUCGGUUGUCUACUUGUGGAAUGUGACUAUUUUGUUAUGGAUUUGUUGUCCAUAACUUGUUCGAUAAAAUGUCAAGUAGAAUGCAAACCUUUGGUGAGGUGCAUAAAAUGUUAUGAUUUCUUAGUAAAUAUCAUCAUAAAUUGUUGUCUGGGUGUUAUUGUUGCAGUAUUCUGAAUAAUAAUAAUCUCAGUGGAGAAAUUCUUGAUCAACUAACCAGUUGUUUAAGCCUUGCCACAUUGUGAGUCCAUCCUGCCUCUGUUUUCUUUCAUUUGAAGCAUCUGCAGUUACUGAUAAAUCUCUUCCACAGGAAUGUUUCUUAUAACAAUUUUGCUGGGGUUAUCCCCGUAGGCAGAAACCUCUUAAGGUUUCCACCUGACAGGUAUGUGGCAAGCUGGGCUUCGUAUAGGUGAUGUCUACUUCUUUUCUUACCAAGAAGGAAUAUAGGUGAUCUUUUGACAUUUAUUCCUUUUUCUUCCCUUUUAAGUUUCAUUGGAAAUCCACUGUUAAGAGGGAACUCGCUAGGUUCAGUAAGCAGUCUUGGUACUUCAAAAUUCAAAGGUAUGUUCCACGGUUUUAAAGCCAGUUCAGAGUAACUUUUCUACAGUGUAAAAGAUGCCGGAGACAAGGUACUCUGGUUAUAAUAUUGGUGCUUUUGGAGUGCAGCAAUAUUCUCCAAGACUGCUGUGGUUUGCUUAAUACUAGGCUUCAUGACGCUACUGUCCAUGGCCCCCCUGAAACUGGGAAAACUCUUCUUGCAAAAGCUAUAGCUGGUGAAGCAGGUCUUCCAUUUUUUGUAGCUAAUGGGACUGACUUUGUGGAGGUAAAGGAUGUUCUAUUUCUAUUUCUUUUUCUCUUGUGCUCUAAAAUCUUCUUUCGCCAACUAUAGGUAAAACAAUUCAAGUAAGUUUGGACAAGAAAUUGCAAUUUGAUAUGUAAGCUGUAGUAAUUUUGACAGGGUAUUAAUUUGGAAAUUGUAUCGACAAUAUGAGGUGGAUAUUCAUUUGAUAUUACCCUUGAAAGUUCUAUAUCUAUUAAUUCUCAUAUCAACAGAAUAAGCUAUAUAAUCUGAUACAUUGUACGAAUGGUAAUUUAAUUAUUUCCUCCACUUUGGUUUCUUACAUGCAUUUUAUGUGUCAAACUUUUGAUGUGAUAAAUGUGCUUCUGAACAUUGAGCUUUAUAUUGCUGAUAAUAAAACUUUUAAGGAGUCAGAAUCUUGUGCUAGAAUAUGGUGAUUUGUGACUAAAUUCGACAUUAAGGGUGGUAUUUAAAGGCAUAAUAUGAGGAUGGGACAUGGUUCUUCUUGUGUUAUUUUUGCACGUUUAGAGUUAAAUGCCCAUGUUAAUAGAGCAACCACUCAAUUCUGUGUUUUAAUCAAGUGAGCAUUAGCUCAAUUAUGUGGUUAAGAAAGUACAUUGUGAUGGACAAAGUCCAAUUUCAAAUUUUCUUCAAUCAUUGUAACUGGUGUAUAUGUUUUUAAGCUAAAUGUAAGUCUUACUAUGAUGCCUAUUGCUGUUAUGCCUUAUGCAUGAUAGCAAAUAUAUAGGUGAGCAUACGUCUAUAUGAGAAUGCAACGAUGGGCUGAUAAUAUGUUCUCUUAUUUCAGAUUUGUCUGCUUAUGACUGGAUUGGCUGCAGUUGUGGUAGUUGGAGCAUAUAUAGGUAGGCUAGAUACUUUCAAGUUUGUGCGCAUGAGAAUCUUUCAAGUUUGUACUUGUUAGGGAAUUGCUACGUUAGUUGUUACUAACUUUAAGUUUAACAAAUUAUAUUUGAGCAUUGACUUUUGAUUUUAGAUUACUAUAUGCAUUCUGUUCUUUGGGAUAAUUUUACAAGUCCUUUGGGUUUUUGAUUGACGGAAUGUAUAGCAGGAAGCACUACCUGUAGGUUGCUUCUAUAGCAAAAAAAUUUUAAAAAAACUCUUGGCAGUUAAAAGUGUCAGCAUAGCUCAGCUUCUAAAGUAAUAUGUAAUGACACUUUCGAUUAUCAAGAAAAGGGAUUUUUGUUGGCAGAUGGGAUGCUAUAACAGCAUAGUUUUCCUGACACUUUUGAAUGUUAUGAGUCUAUCCCCACAUUGGAAGGGACGACACUCGUCCAAGGUGUGAGGAAAGGUAAAGUGUCAGGUUAGAUUAUCUAUACUGACACUUUUAAAUGCCGUUAAAGGUCAUUUUUGUUGUAGUGACCCUAGGGAGAAUUAGAUUAUAAUAAUAUAUGUUGUUUUCCAUUGAUUAUAGAAAACCAUCUAUUUGUUUUGAGAAAUUUUUUUUUCUUGAUUUCUAUAGGUAUCUUUACUGAUCACCUAGGAAAAUCUUCUGAUAUUAGAGAUUCAAAUUCUUAUGGCAAUUGUUCUAGAUCAUUGGAAAAAAAUAGAUCAAAACAUUACCAAAAUGUCUCCUAAUUCCAAAGGGCAUGCGGAAGAGGGAGGAUUCAUGUACACAAAGUUCUUAACUAUUCUCAUUUAAUAACAAGCCUUGAGUUAAUGAUGCUUCUCUAAAUAUUUCUACUUGCACUCUAUUAAAGGUUCUUAAGUCAGCAAAUAAAGUUGGAUAUCGAACUGUUGAUAAAGGGAAGCUCAAGUUGUACUGCUCUCGUACAACUAGAUAAGCAAUCAUUAUUCACCCAACAAAAUCUCCUCUUUCUCUAAAUUUUUAGCAUCUAUGAUUAGCUGACCAGACAAAAUGACCUGAAAAGUUUACAUAAUUGCAAUUUAGAUCUUUCAUCUUCUAGUUUGUUCUAUUCACAUACAAAAACUCUAUAAGCUUACUUUUUCUCAAAUAGAUAUUAUUGGCAGCAGCUUGUAGUUUUGCUAUUUUUUUGAGAUUCAUUAGAUGAUAAUUUUCUAAUUUCACCUACAAGUGAGAUAACUGUAGGCUUAGUUUUGCUCAUAAAAAGCUAUAAAUCCUCUAGACUACUUCAUGUGGAGAAACCCACCUAGUUGACACAUUGUAUAAUUUUAUCUGUUUUAAAGCUUGAAUUGUUAGAUAUUACAUAGAAGUUAGUCCUAUUAUAACCUUUACUUAAAUAUUUGUAGAUAUAUAUUUGAUUGCUUCAAUGGUUGACCAUAUUUCAACAUUUAUGUAGCAGUCAAAUUUGGCCAGAAGGCAUAGAUUGUAUGGCAUUAACUAUUUAUUAUCUGAUAUGAUUAAUUUGAUCUUGAUUUCAACUCCAUUAUCUCUUUUUCAACAGUGAGGGCAUGUGAGGUUCCGAAAAUUAUUUUUGUAUCUUUUAUUUUAAUUGCCUUGUCUUAAAUUCUCGGUUGAUCUAAUGGUUGAGUCAUGAUUUUAUUUUUGUUGUCUCAUUCAAUGUGUUGCAUGUUGAGUUUCAUGGUGCGUUACGCUAAUGUGACCAACUAGUGAGGGGUGUGCUAUAUAAUUUGGUGGAAAGAGGGAGUUUGUGCAAAAAGAAUUAUGUGACAAGAGGUGUUAAGAGUUAAUUGGAGAUGAAAUAGAUAUUUGGGUGCAUUAGAGACAAUUAGAUAGACCUGAGUUGUAUUCUUGCCAUUUGUCACUUAUCUAACCAAUCUUGACCAAGACUAAGCUUCAUACUUAUCACAAACCAAGCUUUUAUUUCAUCAUCAUUUCUUCUGCUUUUGGGCGAAAUAUGGAGGAGAGAAAGGGAGAGAAAAAUACCAACUUCUAGCCUUGAGUUCUUGUCUAAUUAGUGAGCAAACAAGAGAGAAACCCUAAUCUACUCCAUCAAUCCUUGAGUCAAGCUUGGAAGGAAGCUCUUGGAGGAGUUCUUGGAGGAAGGAAUUCUUUGCACCCUUCUUGAUUUGCUUUCCAUCUUGGUUUUGGAGGUAAGGAGGUAAAAUUUGCUAGGAAACCUAUCUUUCUUCCCUUUUCUUUGAGUUUAUUUGGUGUAUGAUGUUAUAGAAACAAAAAGGAAGGAAUUUUAUGGAGAAUUUUAGUUGUUUUCAAGUUGUCUUCUUGAUAAUUUGUUGCUGGAAAAUUUUCAGCUUUAUGUGUGUGGUUAGAUCAUUAGUUUACAAGCUUUGUAUGUGGAUUUUGGUAGAUUUCUUUCUUAAGAAUCAUGCUAUAUGCCUCUCUAUAUGAUAAAGAAGAAGUAUUAUAUAUGCUCCAUGGAAAUCUUAGUAGCUUUGAUGGAGAAUUAUUAUGGUGAGUUUGAUAUAUGCUUCAAUGCGGAUAUAUUAGUAGUUUUAUGGUGGUUUUUGACAUACUCUUGCUCAAUCCACUUUAGAAUGACCUCAAUUGUUACUUGUAUGUUGGAGUUGAGCCUAAACAAAAGGGUUAAGAAGAGAAAAAAAAUCUAUUUUUCCAAGUUGUUUUCUUGAUAGAAAAUUUCAGCUUUGGAACCAAUAGAGUUUUGUUCCACUUUCUUCAAAAUUUUUGACUAUAUUCAAGAUAUUUUUACCCCAUAUAUUACUUGAAGCUUUGAACUAGCAUGCACAUGGUUUUCUCCCUUGAUUUGAAUGAGAAAGUUUUGUGAUUUCGGAAGAUGUCUGGGGGUCAAAACCUGAAAACUUUUGGCGUCUUUUGAGUCGAGUCUUGGAAGCUAAAUGUUCUCACAUAUUGUGAUUUGGAGUGGUGGACUCUUGAUGUACUAUAUUUGGUCUCAGGGUUUGCGAGUGAGCGAGAAGGUGAACCUAUGAUUGAAGCAGAAAGUUUGCGAUAAGUCGGUGAGUGUUCUAAGUGUGUGUUAGGACUACGUGCUUUGCUGGAAUGAUGUUUAAUGUGCCUGGUUGAUUGCUACUGCUAUAUAUCUUGAAUUGUAAAUGAAUAGGCGAGUGUGUACUUUAUCGCACUAGACCUAAUUUGACUGAGUUCUUGUUAUCCUGUUUAUAAGUGAACUGAUAUACAUGUGCAUAACUUGAAAGUCGUUUGGGUAUGUUAUCCCAUCGACUAUACUGAGUGCUUGGGAUCCUAAACCCCAUUGGCUAGUUAAUCGAAUCGAGCCAGCAAGGGUUUGGUCAAGUAGAUUGACGAACCAUGGGUAGUAUUCACUGUUUAUUGCACUGGAUUUGGUAUCCUCGAGUAUUAUCUCUCCUAUUGUUUUAUAUUUAGCGUUCGGCCCCAAUAGGGGGAUGAUCGAUGGAUGGGGACUGGAGUUAAGCGGUGAUCUACUGACAUUGUUUAUUACUGAAUUUCAACAGUUGACGGAGUGCCAACGAACUCGAAAAAUGCUGUUGCUGAACUGGUUGCAAGAGCCGACUGUAUCCUUUUAGUUGCAAGUGAAAUACUGAACGGGACUAAGUGCUACAUCUAGAAUCCGGCGGGAGCCACCUCUAAAGCCGCAUUAGCACCCGUAUCCUUUUCUUACUGUGUUAAAUUGUUUCUUUGAUUAUUUUAGGUAAUGAUGCUAAUUUGAUGGAAUUACUUGUUUAUUUGUUGACUAUAUUCUGGACUUAUCUAGAUGUUGAUUCCUUUAUGUAACCUACGAUUGUGACAAAUGUGAAAUUUGUGGUGCUUUACUGUUGCUUGUUUACCGAGACCUCAUUGGGCGUAAGCUCAUUCUGAUAAUUGUUUUCCUUACAGGGGACACGAGACAUCAAGGACAACAAUAGUUUUAUUUGGAAAUCUUGAGCUUGUAUGUUGACAGGCAAACUGUAUUAUGGGAACUAGAUGUUUGAUCCCUUCUCUUUUGGCUUGUCCUUAAGUUUGGAUUUUAGAGGAUUUGAAGAAUUUAAAUGUUAUUGGGAUGAUUUGUAGAAUUUAGAUGUUAUAUUAGCAUACCUCAAUGUUAUUUUGGCGUACUUUAUUGUGAUUGAUUGAGAAUUGUAAUGAGUCCUGACGAGAGCCAGAUAGACGGUCUGCUAAAUCCUUUGGUAUGCCUUAAGAUAAGAUGGGGUCGUCACAGGUAGCCAUCAAUAGUUUUUAUUAUUUCCUGAAUGAGAUCUUUAUGAUAAUUAUUCUUGCAAGUACCAUUUUUUCUCAUGCAUAAAAUGGUCAGAUUAGAUGAGCCACAAAGAACAAGUAGCAUGUGUUUGACAACCACAUUAUACAAAUGAGGAUGUUUCUUCUUAUUGGAAAUUCAACCAAAACAAUCUUAUCGUAUCAUUGAGGAAUAAAUAUCUUAUAUUUGGACUUUAAAAUCAAUAAGAACAAGCACGUGAUAGUCCUUGUUUUUGGUAUUAAUUGCAUAAGUAUAAGAAGCCAUGUCACCAAUGAUGUUCAUUUUUGAAAGUUCAUCUUUAAGUUAUUCUAACUUGGCAUGGAAUACUCUAGCAAGCAUGGCCUAUUUUACGCCUCUUCUUUGCCAUUAACUAUUCUUUUAUUUUUGAGAGAUUAGGAUUACAUGUCAUGGUCAAAAAAAAAUAUCUUACUUGCCAAAUUUUUGAACCAAUAUCAUUGCAUCUAUGUAUCUGCACCUCAUAUUCCUUGGUCUUCCAAUGAAGCACAUUGAUAGUAUAAUUGAAAAAAUUGUACCAAUUUUCUCUUAUAUAAUGCUGAUGAUAUUUUUUAGUCUCUCAAAAUCAAAAUGAGCAAUUUUAGUCUCAAACAAAUAAGCUCAUUUUUCUAAUCCUUAGUUACCUUUCUAGUUGAAUUUUAGGUGGAAUAAAUCACAGAUACAUCACAUGGACAAAAUGUAAAGGGCAUUUAUGAUGACUUACUUAAUGUUGAUUUAAUUUUUUACUUAAUCUGGUAUUUCUUCCGAACCCUAAUUUCACUGACAUAAAAGUAUAGGCAUAUUUUCCCUCUUCCACUACUACCCUCCCUUUUGAUUUUCACUUCUAUCCCUGACCCCAUUUCACUCGUCUUCUGCCAUCUCUUCCCCUCCUCUCCUCUCCUAUUCCCUACUAUUACCAGCCAUUCCUCCCACAUUCCUUUUUUUUUUGCCCUCCCUCCAUCUUUACCCACCUAUCACCCCUUCCUUUGCUUUAUUUCCAUUUUUCAUCUCCACCACCUACCUCCUUUUCUCUUUCCCUUUCGCUUCCCCUUCUUCCCACCUUGUCUCCCUCCCCUCUCCCCAUCUUAUGACUAGAUUGGAAAGAGUAAGGGAUUAGGGGUUAGGAAAAAAAGGGAGAGAAAAGAGAAAAUAGAGAGAGGUGGUAGAGAUGGAAAGAGAGAGAGGGGACAGAAAGGGACUGGUAGGUAGGUAAAGGAGGAGGAAAAAAGGGGAUAAGGUGUCGAGGUUAGCUGUGGAAGGAAAAAGAGGUUAAAGGGUGAAGAGAAAGAAUGUAAGAAAAGCAGGGUAGGAGGGAUAAAGAUAGGAAAGAGUUGGUAGGAAAGAAGUGAGAAAGGGUUAGCAUUGGUAAUGACAAUGGUAGAAGUGGGAAUGCUAGAGAAGGGUGGUAGUGGAACAGAAAAAUAGUUGUAUGCACUUUUGGGUUUCCAAAAUUAUGGUUUGGGUGGAGAAGAAUUAGGAGAAAUAAUUGAUUAAGUGAGAAAUUGGGUCAAAAUUAAGUUAGUUGCCAAAUUUUCCCAUUAAAAAUUGACCAUGUAAUGUGAGACUGACCAAAAUUUGAUUAGAAAGAUGAUUAGAGAUGAAAAAUGAGCAUUUUUCUUGUUAAAUACUAAAAUCGCUUAUUUUGAUUAUGGUAGGCUAAAAAUUAUUGUAAACAAUAUAUGAAGGAUGAUUGGUGUAUGUUGUACAAUAUGUUUGUUUAACCAACAUUUGAUGCUUAUAUUUUGCCUGAUCCCGAGGCAUCAAUUAUACCAUGCAAGACCUCUUUUAUUAUUUCUUCUUUUGUAUUUUAAAGAAAUUGAGUUUUUAUGUCUUAACAUAUUAGUCAACUACAUGUAUUCCGUAGCUGAACAAAUUUCAACAUUCAUGAUUUAUCAUUGUCCCUUAUUUAAAUUUUAUAAGCAUAAUAUCCUCAAUGGAAAAUGAAAGCUGGGUCUUCUUGCAAGUUUGCCAUCAUUAUCAAGGUAACAGUAGUAGAUUAUUAAAAACAAUCGCGGAUAUGGAAUAGCCAAAGCAAUGAAUAUAGUCAAUAUACUUAUCAUCUUCUUCAUUUGGAGUAACUCAUAUGCAGUAAUAGCAUUGUAGGUUAGAUGCAAUUACUUGCAGUUUGAUUUCACAUCCUUUUUCUCUCAUGUACUUUUAUUCUUUGUUUUGGAACUUUUUGGUGCCACCAAAAAGGAAAACUAAUUGGUAUAUGAGUGCAUCAUAGCAUCCAUAAUAGUACUAUAUGUUCUUUGAAGUGCAACUGUGUAUGAACUCUAUUGGCCACCAUCUUUUUUGGCAAAAUUGCUUAAAGAUUACACCUUCGAAUUGAAUUUUUGCAUAGAAUCUAUUUUCGGCAUUAGAUUUGGCUAAACAUAUCUGGAAUGUAGUAAAUGAACAUAAAUAUCCUGGAUUCCUCCUCUUUUCUUCCAUACAAAUCAAGCCUGAAAUCCACAAAUUUCAUGACUAUCGAAUCCUAAACACUUACCAAACAAUACAUACAGAUACACACACACAUAUGACAUUGAUUAACAAAUAAAAUUUGUAAAUAUGAAUGAUUUGGAGUUGAAAAAGGAAACCCACAUUGCAAUUCAUCACUUGGGCCUUUCUUAUUAAAUUUUGGUAAAAGUAACACUUGAUAUGAAAUGUACACAAAAAAUUGAGCAACUCCAUGUAUUUUCAUUGAAAAUGAUCACCUAUAGAUAGGGGUGCCAUAGUCAAACACCAAUCAAUCUAGCCACCCCUAUUGCUAGCAGCCUCGACUACAACUGAUGGUAGUUUUUCAUGAAGAAAUGAGUUGGAAAGAAUAAACAUAAAAUUUGGAUAGAUGCCAAGUAAGAAUGAAAUAUUAAAGAACAUUCAAGAAGAAGAGAAUGAAAGGAAGAAAAUAUAGAAAACAAUGAAUCUGGAGAGAUCGAUGGAGAAUAUGAAAACUUUUAUAGUGAAUUUUACUUUGACCCACUCGCUUUUUUAAAUAUUAUUUUAGCCCACUCAAUUUUUGAUUAAUCAACAAAAAUUUUCAAAUAGAAAUAUAACAAGAAAAGAAAUGGAAAAAAAGCAAUUUGGUAUACUAGACUUUUAUAAUAUUUAUGUUAGGUUGGAUGACUUUUGUCCAUUUUUAACUCUUGACUUCUGCAAAAGUUAUAAGGAGGUUUUGUGUAUUUUAUCCUAUUUGAAAAUGCAUACUUGGAAACAAAAACAAUAGACUAAUGUGUGUGACACCCCGACUUUUAGGAUAUUACGAUUUCUAUUAUUUUAUUUUUGUUUUAAGACAUUGUUUUGUUUUAAAGAUUAGAAACCCUACUUGUACUCAGAACCCUAGUUUUAUUUGUGACUAACAGGUUUUCUUAAAUCUCUCAUAUUUUAAUCGAAACCCUAAUUUUAAUUUAUGGAAUUGUAAAAAUCCCUUAUAUUUUUCUUAAAAUUCCCUUUUAUUUGAAAAUUAUUACUUUAUAAUAGCCUUACUACCUAAUCACCCUACAAAAAAGUGCAAAUGAAUAUAGAAUUAAGGGUUUUCUCUUUCGUUUUCAAGUUAUCGCAAAUUAGGGUUUUUACGCCUUUUCGUAGUGUGACUAAUCGGUACGGAAUGUGACUCAAAUUUGGUGAUUAAGAGUGAGUUUUAGAUGAGAAAAUAAUGUGUGAUUAGUAGUAAUAAUAACAAGUUAGUGAAUUAUAAGUAAAAACCCUAGUACACGCGAUUUACGGAAAAUCGGCUUGAACCGACGGGUAUCGUUCACUACCGAUUGAAUACACCGCUUGACCACCAUUUCAUUAACUUAAUCUCAUUGUUAUUAGAGCCAAAAUAUCAGCCCCUUAUCAGCUCACUAUGGCCGAAAUUUUCGACCAAUAAAACCAAGGAAAAGAAGAAAAAUUCAAGAUGAAACCUUGUGGUGACAAGUGGAAGCAAUCCAACCAUCUUUGACCAAAUGCAAGACUAAGCUUCUUAACCUUUCUUGGCCUUCAUUCUUCUUCAUUUUUCCAGCAUGGUGGCCGAACCUUGAGGGAGGAAAACAAGAGAAGAAAGCUUCAAUUCCAUCUUGAGUUUUAGCCUAGUUUGAGAGAAAAUCAAGAAACUAAACCGAUUAAUCCUUUCUUUGAGCACUUGGGAAGCUUGGGGAGUUAAUUUUUCAAGGAGAGGUGCAGGAUAUCUCUUGCAAGCCUUUAAUUGAGGUAUUAUGGCUGUUCAUCUUCCUCCUUUCCAUUAGUCUUGUUUGAGUUAUGUAGUAACUUGUAUUCUUGCUUUGUGAUGCCUAAUCUAAGUGAUUUUGAUUAUUGUAGUGGUGAAUUUUGAGUUAGGGUUUUGAAUGGUUCACUUAUAAAUCUUGUUGUUUGGAAGGUAUAUAGUGUAUAUGAUCUUGUAUAGGAGGUUGUGGUAGUGGUUUAAGCUAGAAAUGUGAAGUUUACCCUUUGAAUUCACCAAAUUCCAGAUUGGAGUAUUCAUGUGACCCUGUUCUGACUGGUUCUGUUUGACCAUGAUGGGGGCUGAAUUAGGCUUAGGACAAAACAUGAACGUUGUAGGGAAUGAUGUUUAAUAGCUGUCUGUAAAAUUUCAACUCAAUCCGAGCACUGUAGCAUAUGAAAGACAAAAAUACCCCUGACUGUCAUAGGUAGAGUUCUGUGAACAGUUUUGACAUUUCACCAAUCUGACCACGUUUGUUCACCCUGAUCCGUAUUGAAUUAGCCUUUGACCAAAACAUGGAAGUUGUAGUGCUAUGUUUUAUCUUUUCAACGCCCCUGAAAAAGCCUUAAUUGGACUUCAGUAGCCUGAGUUAUUGUCAUUUGAACAUAGUGCGGUUAACUAGCUUGUUGGUGAGAUUCUGGUUCUGUAAUUUGAAAAUUUGACCUAGAUAAACUAUGAACUGGAUUGAGUGGUAUUCAUCAAAGUUGUAGCCCUUUGUCUUAGCUUCGAAAUGGUAUAAAUUUCACCCCAAUCCGAUAAUCGUAACUUCAGUUGUGACUGAUACGCUAAAAGACGUCAAACCUGUCAUUUUGUUCUUUGCCUUAAACCUUAUUUCCGCUCACUUUUCUAGCUUGGUUUUGUAACUGAAUGACUUUUAGCCUAUUGAAUGACUAUUGUAAUGAGAUUAUUUGUGCGUGAUUUUGGGGGCUGAUUGAGGAAAAUAAUGAAGCCAUAAAUGGCUGGAAAUAGGUAAAUAUAAGGGGCGUGCUGCCCAAAUUUGCACUCGAGGGAUAUGUAGAUAUACUUGCGACUUAAAUAGGGAUUUGAGGUCAAGUUGGACUUGGAUCGCCUAUGGUAUUCAAGUUUUCUUUAGUCAGGGUAUAUAAGCUAAAAUUUUGCCGGAAACUCGUACCCUUGGAAAAUGAAAGUAAUAAUAAAUAGAAAUACGUUUUCCUCGUUCUUUCGACUCCAAUGGGAGUUCUAAAGUUUUAACCGCUUCCUUACCGAAACUAAACGAGUGAGCAUAAAUUUUUCGGGAUUUGAUAUGUAUCUUGAAUACUACUUAAAUUAGUUGCAUUUACUUGAUUUUUUUGAAGUGAAACUCCUAUGUUUCGAACUCUAGAGAGUUUUACAUUCGUCAAUGAUAUUUUAUCGCAAAUUUGGACUCCAACCAAGGAGUUGGACCUAAACGUGAUUUUGAAAAGCACUACAUUUUGGUGAGUGCUUCCAAAUACCUGGUUGAACUGGACACUUAUUUUCAAUACUUGAUCAAUGUAAAUAAAUGAUAUGUGAUUUGUUUGAUCGGGCAAGAGUGUACUUUAUCGCACUUGUCCUAAUAUGGUAUAUACUUGUUUAUUGUUGCAAUUAACUUGAUAUACUUGUACUUGAGUUGUAAGUGCGGAGCGGCAGUAUGUACCACACUCAAUCCGAGUGAGAGGUGCCUCUCAUUCCCGUCUCCGUACUUUUAUUUUGAUUCAGUCGAUUGGAGAUGUUAUCUCAUCGACAUCUUGGGGACCCAAACCCCACUGGCUAGUUAAUCGAGUCGAGCUGGCAAGGGCUUGGUCGAUUAGAUAACGAACCAUGGGUAGUUAGUGAUGUCAAGUGGAGUGUUAUCUUCUCGGCGUUAACAUUCAUAUGCAGGGAAAGAGAUUGUGAAAAAACAAGAUCAAGAUUUAUUUUAUACAAUCCAUCAAUUAAAAAAUCACUACCAACAAAACUACUAUUUUUAGACAUAGAAAAAAUUUCAUCCCGAAAUUAAAAUUUAUAGCCAUCUAAACUAAGACAAGAUAAAGAAAUCAAAUUUCUAGAAAAACUAGGAACAUAACAAGUGUUUGGAAGAUCUAAUAAAAUGCUACAAUGUAGAGCAAGUCUACAGGUUCCAAUAGCUUCAACUUUUGCUCCCAUCUUGUUCCCCGUUAGUAUUGUCUUUUUCCUUGUCAUUGGUUGGUGGGUUGUAAGGUACCCCUGCAUAUUAUUAAAAAUAUGAAUAGUUGCACCAUAGUCAAGCCACCAAGUAUUAGAAGGAACAUCAACUAAAUUGGUUUCAAAACAAACAAAUGAAAGGAAAUUACCUUUCUUUUGAAACCAUGCCUCGCGUUUUAUGCAAUCUUUCUGCAUAUGUCCCUUCUUCUUGCAAAAAUGGCAUUGCCCACCAAAGCCUUUAUGGUUGGAUGCCUCUUUAAUUGGUGCCUUAGGAUUCUUCCUUUUGUUCCUUUUAGAUCUAUUUGCAUUAUGACCUUGUGAUACCACAUGCACAGUCUGAGUCUGCAAUCCUUCCCUUUUCAACCUCUCUUCCUCUUCGUGACACAUAGAGAUAAGUUAAACAUUCCACUUAUCCUUUUGCAUAUUAUAAUUGAUCUUGAAAGGACCAAAUUGUGGAGAAAGAGAGUUGAGCAUGAAUUGCACCGAAAAGGACUCAUAAAUAGUCAUAUCCAUACCCUUAAGUUGUUCAACACUAUUAUUCAAUUCCAUGAUAUGUUCACGAACACUACUCACCCCAUUAUAUUUCUUAGUUGUCAAAGUAGCCAUAAGAGUACCUACCAAAGCUUUAUCCAAUGUCUGAAAUUGCUGCUUAGCUAAUGCUAAAAACACACGAGCCCUAUCGAAAUUAGGAAUUGACUUCUUUAUAUGCUUUGCAAUUUUGCUCUUAACAAUCAUUAAGCUUAGUUGGUUGGAACACUUCCAAUUAUCAUACAGGAUCCUUUCAUGUUUGGUGCUUUCAAAAGUAGGCUGCACAGGCUCAAUAUGGAGGCAUAGGUCCAAGUCUAGGCAACCCAAGGUGAUAAGCACUUGAUCAUGCCAAUCAAAAAAAUUGGACCCAUUCAACUCUGGAAUGUUUGUUGCAAUUCCUGAAACUGAAGCUAGAGUAAUAGCUGUAAAUACAAGUCAAGCAAUGAAAUAAAUAUAUAGAGUAAUCAAAUGCAUCAUCGUAUUUUACCUUUGGACUAGAAAAACGACAUGCUAGCGAUUUACUCAGUAAUUGAUAACAAUUAUUCACUUACAACUUUAAUAGAGAUAUCAUAUCCCUUUGGGAAAUGUAAUAACUCACGAUUAUAGAAAUUCAAAUACCUUUGGACAAAUUUUAAUAACUAUAAUCAUCAUACAAAAUAGAUAUAAAUAACCUUUGCAUAAGUUAUAUAUCAAUUAGGUCACUUUGGUGACAACUAAUUGAUAAUUUUCCUAAAAUAUCUAUGGAGGUUAUUUCAUCUUUUCAACUCACUAUUGAGUACAUGCUAACUCAAUAUUCAAUAAUUCGAAUAUUACAAAUCAUGUUUGAAUAUUCAAAUUCAAAAUAGAUAUGCCAAUAAAAUUUAUGUUAUUUAAGAAUCAGUAAAAAUAACAAGGACAUAUUCGAAUUAUAACAUUAUAGCAGUAUAAAACAAAUAUUCUGAAAUUCACAAACAUUAACCUUUGAUUCUAUAUCAAAUAGUCUAAGACCAUGUGAAUUUGUUAUGUUAAAAUUGAAAUCAUAACUUGAUGCCGCAUAAGAAACUUCGACUCAAAACAUUAAGGGACUACCAAACAUAGUGCUUGCAUGAACCAUCACGGAGUUUCAAAAUAGCGUAACUAGAACUUACGGCAAAUAUACAUCAAUGCUAGGUUAACUUACACCAUACAUGUAACCACAAAGUCAUUUAUUGAUUUAAACAAUUAAAUGCCCAAUUAAGUGGUCAGUCAUGUUGAAGCAUUGCUGGCCUUACGAGAGACGCCCACAAACAGGCUUUUUAAUCAUUGAAUCAUAACAAUUAUAUGCCUCAGACCAUUAAACUAACUCGUAUGAAAUCCAUAGGUAAAGAUCGGGAAUGACCAUCAUGGGUUUCAAAAACAACUAAAUGAUUAAAAAAUAUAUAUAUCAUUAUACGGUAUCAAGAGACUCAAAACAAUUUCCCAAUGCCCGAUGCUUGUCCACAAGUGAAUCAAAGAUGCAAACUUGUUCAUAGUAUUUGAUUAGUAUCAAUUAAAUGAUACUAGACCAGCCCAUUAAAAUUGGUUUGAAAUUAGGAUAUGCUAGAACUUCAAGUAUGGUGCGAAAGUUAUGCGCAAUUCAGAAUCACCCAAAAAAAAGCUACUCCAAUUAUACACAUAGAGCCAAAUUCAAGCAGUCCCAUCUUGGGAAAAAGAAAUGAAAACAGGUCCUAAAUUCUAGACCCAGUCAUUAUGAUAGAAUAAACAAGCAAACAGGUUCACAUUCAAUUGUAUAUCAAAUUUUAUGCAUACCCAAUAAAAUUACUAACAUAAUAGAUUUUUAAAUCAUAAACAUCAACUCGAAACUCUGAUACCAGAUGUUAGAAUUUCAAGAGUAAGAUUGUUGGUAUGAUUUGUAAAUUAAAAUUUAGAAAUAAAUUCUAAAUUGACAUACCUUGAGACAUUGAAGAUAUUUUGGAGAAGAAUUCUACAACUAUUUAUCACCAUGCCUUUCAAUCACCAAGAUUGUAAACUAUAAAUCUUAUACUAUCCAGUUUUUUCUCACCUAACUUUCUGUUAUGCUAUUUUAGUGAUGGGUAAAAAUAACGUAUGUCAGAAUGGUGAGAGGGACCAAGAGCUCUAGAGUAUUUUAUAGAGUCACAAUCCCUCCCAUUAUGAAAUAAUGAUAGACUCUAAUAUUUUUCAGAUAUAUUGUACUUUAUUUGUUAAAUAUAAUGAUAAGAUAUAAAUUAAUAAUCACUGUAAUUAUUCGAUAAACUACCACAUAUAAUACGUGUACAUACAACGAAUAUGGGAUUUCUUACUACUUCUAAUUUGUCUAUGUUUACGAUUCUAUAACUAUCAACAUAAUUCUAUUUAUGCAGUUAUUUAUCCCAUAAACUAGUGAGAUAAUUAAUGAAUAUUGGAACAAUAUCAUGUGGUCACGUAGGCCACACUAAUAUUCCAACACCACCACCAAGGAAAUCAAAACUCCUUGCCGAAGCUACUCCAAAAUCGACGGUAUCUACAUUAUUGAAGUUGAGUUUUUUUAUUUUGUGGUCUGGGUUUUGUGGAUGUGAAGUUCUUUUACAAAUCUAUCGUUAUACUCUGUGACUUGUUCAGGUAGGUGCAGUGCUUUCUGAUGAACCCCACCUUAAAUUUUUUUUUGUUUACAGAUUGCUGUUGAUUGUUUCAUACAGUCAAAUAAUCUGUUGAUUCUUAUGCUUUUUCUAUUUUUGGCCAUGAAAUUUGGAGCCAUGGAGUAGGCGGUGAUGAUAAACAAAGGGAAAGGGAAAGAAAAAAUGAGAGAGCUGGGGAGAAGAAGACGGCUUGUGAUGGUGAUGUGACGAGAUUCUCCGAGCCGUCAACUCUGACAAGCAAAAGUUGGAAACAUGCGGUUUGCUUAGAAAGGCCAAAAAUAAGAAAAAAAAUAUAAAAUUAAAACAAAAGCACGUGACAAGAACAUGAGUGACCGAUCACCCUCUCACGUUGCAUUCUACUACUCUAGAAUCUUUUAAUAGCACUGGGCGGUGCUGAGUUUCCCAAAAUUAUGCUGCUUUCUGCUUAAGUUUGCAAAAUGGUGAGCUUGUAAACUAGUUUGAUGUUGGAAUUAAAAAUCUGAACCAUAAGGGACAUGAUCCUAUGGGCAACACCUCACCAUAGACCACAUCUAAUGUAUAUUCCUCCCAAAAUUUUAGUCAAACUUUAAGAAUAUUAAUAGUGUUUUGAUUGUGAUACUUGAACUUUUUUUUUCAAUCUUAACCCUCAAAAUUCAAAAUUUGAAAUUUAAUGUAACAUACAUUUGAUUAAAAAUAAGGGCAAUUUUAGCAAAAGAAAACAAAAAGAAUCUGACUUUUAAAACUGGAUAAAUAUUUUAGAAUACCUCAAAAUGAAAGAUAGGACUAAAAUUUUAGGAUAGAUGGAAUAAUAGGUUUGGAUCUUUGAUCAUGAAUCAUGGGCUUAAAUAGAUAUGCCGAUUCAUGUCUCAAUUGCAUCAUCCAAUUAGCUUGGGAAUUGGACCGUACUUAACGUGAAAAAAAAGAUCAAGUACUUCAAAUUGCAACCAUUGCAAGCAUUCUUCACGAGUGUGGAGAUUCAUCACUAAACUUAUUUGAAGCCUAGGAACCAUAUCAAUCGAAAUCCAUAACUAUGCUUAUUUGAAGCCUAGGAACCAUAACUAUGCAUAUUUGAAGCCUAGGAACCAUAUCAAUCGAAACAUCAAAAUUUAGGGAUGAAAAUAUGAAGUCAAAACUUUUAACUAAAUCGAAUUUGAUAUUAACUAUUAGUUAUUGUAGUUUUCGAUUGUCUUAAAUUUGUAUAUAAUUACUAAUUUUGGGGACCAAAUUUAUUUUGUUCGGAAUAUUAAAGAGGACUAGAUUGAUACAUAGAUAGAUCAAAUAUUGAGAAUCAAAACUACAUUUCUUCCAUACACGAUUUCUUUUUUCCAUUAGUUUUUUUUUGGCGAAACCCUGAGAACAGGGGAGAGGUGCUAGCCCUUACUUUUUAUUCAACAAAAUCAAAAACUUCCAAAGGCCUAUUACAUGCUUCUUCUACAGCAACGAAAAUGAGGAAAAGAAAGCUUAUCUAGAUGCAAACAAGCCUUAGUCUUUGCUGGAAGUUGCUGAAGCUCCGUAAAUAUCACUUCUGUGACCAGGCUAGCUGAAGCUAGGGUGUCUGUUGAUGAGUUUCCUUCUCUAAACGUAAAAGCAAGCGUAGCAUUCAAGUCACUGUGUGAGGACCCGAAUUUUUUUUACUUCUAAUUUUAUUUUACUGGCUUAUUUAAUUAUUUAUUCACACGUUUUCUCUGAAUAAUUUAUUUCAAUAAUUUUAAAUCCAUUUUCAUGGAACAAUAUCUUACUUAUAUGUUUAAAACGUCCCGCUAGAAAAUUUAAUUUUUCUGCGAUUCGUUUAGCUAGAAAUAAGUGAAUGCACGUUUUUUGAGGCAAGUUCGAUUUGAGAGUACAUUAGUUUUGGAGAAUUAAGAAUGAUCAAUAGUAGACUAAGAAAAGUUAAUUAAGAGAUUAGAUGUGAGUGAGUUAAAAUUAAGCUUUUACCGCACAUGCGUCGAUAGUUUCUCGAAAGUCGCACUGGUACGACUAAUUGGAGAUUUAAGGAUGUAAUACUGGACUCAUAAGUGUGACUAAUUAUAGUGUUAGAGGAAUUACCUUGGAGGGUUAGUGCAUAAGUGUAACAAACAAGAGAGAAAGUGGUAGUACGAAACCCUAAUGAGUUACCAUUAAGAGUUGACUUUUUGCAACUUUAAGUUAGCUUGUCCAACACCUUUUCUUCAUACUUUCUCCCCAAGUUUCACAACACUUUCUCUCACUCCCUCAUUGUUUCGGCCGAACCUAGAGGAAAAAAGGGAAGAGAAAAGCUUCAAUCUUCUUGCUCCAAUCUUGCUCAAGUUCUUCAUCCAAACAUCAAACCUCUUGGAGUUUCACUCUAGCUUGAAGAAAGGUGCCAUCUUGUGGAGUUGCUUGGUGAAAUUUUGGAGGAAACUCUCACUUCCAUCUAGGGUUUAGUUGCUUGGAAGGUAACCCAUUUCAUCCCUCCUUUAAUCUUUCAAUUUAUACAAAGAUUGAUGGUUAGAUUUCAUGGGUUUGAAACCCUAAUCAAGAUUCUAGGUUAGUGGCCUUGAGGAAACUUUUAUCUUGCUUUGUAUUCUAGGCUAGCGCCUUGAGGUGACCUAUGAGGUAGAUAACUUGAGGAUAUUGCUUGAUUGUUGUUGUUUAUGUGAUUUAUAGCUUGAUAGUGGAGAGAAAUUCGAAGGAAGCCGUGAGAGUGAGCUGUCCGAAUUUGCUGUUCUUGUUGUCCUGUUUUGAAUUCGAAUUUUGUUGCUUAUUUGGCUGCUAAACUGAUUGAUAUAUGUUGUAUUAUGUGCGUAGAAAGUUUCUUUCAAAAUCAUUUCAAAUGGUUACAUAAAACUUGAGUUUUGGAAAAGUUCGAAAUCUGGAAAUUUGCUAGCAGGGUAACCAACCAGUGGUUCUUUGUCUGAACAUAACUCUUUGUACAAAAGUCAAAAUUGAGUGCCGUUUGUGGAAUUCAAAACUAGACAUUCAGAGCUUUCAAACGGUAUAAGAAUCCCCCGCUAGUUCGUUUUGAACAAACCAUGGUGAGUCGGCAAAAUAGACUGUCCUGCUUUGCCUGGUUGUCCAAAUGAAACCGGGAAGUUGCAUCUUGUGGCUUGAUUUUGUCUCACUUGUGAAAAGAUUUUUAAAAUGAUGGCUUCUGAUACAUUGUAGCAUUUUGAACCUAGUUUCUAACGCUAUAAACCAUUCUCAAUUUGGACUUGUGUAGAGUCAGAUUUGGUCUGAUUUUAGAACUGCGUCAAAGCUGGAAACUGGAAAAUUUUCCCUUCCCUGCUGACCGAAUGGUCAAUUCUGUUUUGGGCUGUUUUAUUUCAAAAAUUUUAGUGUCAUUUACUCAUCAAUUGCUCAUAAAAUGUUCUGGAACCUUGGUUUAAAAAAUGGAGCAAAUUGGGGCUGAUUUCGCUGGACAAAACUUUUGAAAAAGAAAGAAAGAUAGGGUUGGCAGAUUAGCUUUGAAGAAUUUAACAAACUUUGGUCGUUUCGUUAACUAUUUUUCAGUGUGAUUUUUUGCCUAAAUUUUGAUAGAGAGGUAGCCCGUACAUGGAAUUUUAAGUGUACCAAAUUUGGCAUAAUUUCAAUAUCAUUUCGAGGCCCAAAUAAUACCCCAAAGAUUACUCUUCAAAUCUGGAAAUCCACUGAUCAGGUUGCAAAAAUCAGCCGACUUCAAACUAUUAUAUCUUGUUGCUCAAAACUCCGAAUUUAGGUCCGUUUAUUGUGUUUGAAACUUGGUUUAGAACUCUUAUUGUGUUAUAAAUUUCAGAGGUUGAUUCACUUUCUGUAAAUUUUUCCGAAUUUCCAAACAUUGCUGAAAAACCAAGACUGGUUCUGUCCUGUCUUCAUGAAACUGUAACUUUGAACUGAAAUUUGAAUGCUUUUUGGUUAGAAUCUUGGAAAAGUGUCUUCUGUGAAGUUUUAGCACUUUGAAUCUAGUUUUCAACAGUGUAAAGUUUUCCAUUUUUGGACUUACGGAACUCGAGAUACGAUUUUUCAAAGUAGUGUCAUACUAACCUGGAAAUUUUCUGUUUUCAAACAAAUAUUCCUUUUAAGAACUUUCCGUCCCCCUUUGAAAUUGUUGAACUGUUUUAGGUGUAACUUCAUGGUGGAAUACACGGUUCCUUUAGAACUUUAAACUUUCAUUUCAAAUCUUGGUUUCCGAAGAUUAAACCUCUCUUAAUGCAUUCUCUUGGUUGUUUCAUUUUCUUGGUUAAUGACACCAUUUUUUACACUAGAAAGAUGAACUUUAAACCCUAGUUUUGCCUCGAUUUUCAUGAGUUUAAACUCCAAAAAGGGAGCGUUUCGGCUAGAGUAGUUCUUGGUGAAUUGUACUAGUUUUAUACUGGAACCUCGGACCCUCAGCCUUGACUUUUACCAUGAAAAUAAGUAGAGUUUUGGAUGACUUUUAUCUCCAUUAGUUUGGAAAAUGUGACAUCUACUUUUCUCGAUUUUCGUGCCAAAAGUGAAUAUUGUACUUUCUUUGGGAUUGAGAUUUACUUACCACGACUUGAAUCAAAAACGACUUUUGAGUUCUCUUUGAGCAUUAUUCCAACGUUUUAACAAGAAAAGCUCCUUUAACUUGACUCAAACUUGUGACCUUAAAUCCUCAUUUUGAAUCUCGAUUUUCGAUGAGUAAAACUCUUCUAAGGCAUUGUCUUAAGUUUUAAGCAAGUGCAUUUUCUUCCUUGAAUGUUAAGUGGUAUAGAGUUUACGUGAGUGAUGUACGGUCACUAUUUCUUCAGGUGCUCAAGGGAGUCUUGAAGAGAAUCUCGGAGAGGACAACUAAAGACUUUACUCGUUCAAUUACUUUUGAAUUGGUGAGUGUCAAGUGCAUGAAUUGUUGUGUUUACAUGAUUAAUCUUACUUGUAUAUGUGAACAUGACUUGUCGAGUCGAGUGUGUACUUUAUCGCACUCGUUCUCUUUUACUUGAUUAUAUAAUUAACUUGCUCAUACAUGAAAUAUUACUCGUGUUUGCCUCAAUGUCGAUUGGAGUGAAUCUCAUCGACUUAUACGUGUACUCGUGGGGAACACCCAAAUUCCAUUGGCUAACCUUGUAACUCGAGCCGGCAUGGGUUUGGUCGAGAAACUUGGUGAACCAUGGAAUAUUAUAAAGUUUGAUCUUUUGAGAUCUUGCUUAAACCUUAAUCUAUUGAGAUCUUGCUUGGCAUACUCGUGUAGCAUCGCCCUUUCGUGCGUGUUUGGUUACGGAUCCGAGAGGGUGAAAUAAUGGAUGGGAAAAGUAAGUGGAGUUUCUACGGACUUAAUACCUACCCGAUUGAUGGAGGGUCAUCACGUGGAGGUAUUGGAUUGAGUCUUGGCAAAGCAAGUGAAAUUUAGCUCCUGAGAGCUCUGGUAUCCUUAUUAAUCGUAUUUUAUUAUUAAUUAUGAAUUACUUGAACUUUCGAGCUUUAUUUUUCGUACAAGUGUUAUUGUUACUUGAAUUAUGUGUUUGCAUGCUUUUCUUGGCCUCACUGAGUGUUAGCUCACUCCAUUAGUUUGUUUUCCUUAAUAAAAGCUCGGAAUGGAAAGAUUUUGGAGAAGCUGACUUGAUUACCUUUUGAGUAGAAUUUUGGAUGUAAUCGAUUAGUCGACUUAUGGUGGUUGUAUUUUGGAAAAAAUUGAUGUACUUUUGGUAACUUGUGAUGUAAGAUUUGGAUGUUUACUUAAGGGAGCGAACUUCCCCUGUAUCUACUUUUAUUUUGGUUAAUUAUCCUUAAGUUUGAAUUGGAUUUGUAUCAAAUCCUGGCGAGAGCUAGGUAGGCGUUCCGCGGAUAUCCUUGGGUUCGCCCUAGGGAGAAGUGGGGGCGUCACAAUUAGUAUCAGAGUUUAGGCUUUAGAUCUUUGUAGUGUAUUCUAGGCUAAAAAGUUUAGGAUGCUGGACUGUGGGACUGGUUUAAAAGUUAAGUGACCGCUUGUAGGGAUGAAAAUUAGAGUCUAGUUUUGAAUUAGUAGACAAUUAGGAGUCUUGAUCUUGUGCGAAAUAUGGGGGAUAGUACGAAAUGAUCAAACCUAGUUUAUUUAGUAUACUUGGAUCCAUAUAAGCUUUUAAUUUUAAAUGUAAGUUAUGGAAGGAAAUGAUGGAAAUGAGUUAGCGGUAAUCGAUGAUCGGAGGCGGUUAUCCGAGGAAACUAGGGUAGUUCGAGAGGAUAAUCGAGGACCAAGGGCAACUGUGGAUGCCCAGACUACUAGAAUUUAUGAAUUGGAGACGGAGGUACUUGAGCAGUGAAAAAAGACUGAGGCUCCUUGUGAGCAGCUUUGGGAGGCUAAGAGCCGACUUGUUAGGGUAGUAUAUGAAGUUAGAAACCGGACUGAGGGGUUAAUGGCCGAGUGUGUUACCUUGAUCGAACAAGUGGUGGAUGGCAAGAUACUCGACGAGGGACAUGAGGUAGAAACUCCUAGCGCUGAAGAUGAAAAUGAUCCUACUGAAGUAGCAGAGACUUCUGGCCUGUGACAGCCCCACUUUCCCCUAAGGCGAACCAAAGGUGUUAGCGGACUGCCUGCCCAGCUCUCGCCAGGACUAACAGUUCAGUUUCGGGACUACUACGUUUCGGGACAUACAAACGCGCGUAAACAAGUCAAAAUGUCAAAAUAAAAAAUGAAACCGGAGUCGGCCAUGAAUAGUAACCGACACGUCAAAACCCAACCAAAUAUCAAGCAAACAUUCACAUCUUGAAAUUUAGCAUUUACAAGCCAAAGUGGCAUACAAAAGUAUUCAAAAGUAGAUACAUGUCUGGUUUGCCAAAUCAAAAGAGAAACGGUCCCAAAAGUACAUUUAGUGUUUCAAUAAAUGAGCUAUACAAAAGAUAUGUCCAACUAGCUCAAUUCGGCAACCAAUUAUCAAUUGCAGUCCAAAAGUAUUUAUUUUCCUGUAAGGAAAACAAAAGGAAUAGAGUGAGUUAAUUGCCUAGUGAGAUAAUACUACUCAAGCAACCAAGUUCAUAUAAGCAUCAAGCUUUUCAUUUCAAUACAUCAAAAGUAGACAAAGGCACACAUUAAUGGUGGUGAUAAAAGGAUACGGGCGGCUCUCAAGAGCCCUUUUCCUCGUUUGCAUUCUUGAUCGGAUCUCAUUGACUCUCCGUCAAUGUUUACAAGUAACCAACCGUAGACUUCACUUUACUUCCAUUCCUUCCACCUAACAUCCCCCUACCGGGCCCGAACUCCAAACACUUGCACUGUGGUAUUACUCGAGUAUACCGGAAUCGAGAGUCUCUCAUACUACAAGAUUCCAUAUAACAUUUCUCCAAGGAUUAUUAAUUGGCACGACCAAGCCCUCGCCGGCUCGAUUCAAUCAACUACCAAUGGGGUUGAGCUCAAUGAUAACCAUUGUAGUCGUUGGAUACUCGUCCAAUCGACACCAAGUCAAGUACUUUCAUUUCAUGUAACAUUUCAUGUAACAUUCAAAUAACAUGAUAAACAAUAAGUGAGAGUGAGAAAGUACGCUCUCACUUCAAUCAAUUAACAUUCAACGUGUCAAGUUCAAGUAUCAAAGCCAUAUAGUAACACACAAGUGAGUAAUACACUCACCAAGCUUGCAAAUGGUGUUUCAUGCACUUCCGUCAAAAGAACGUCGUGAACCACCGUCACGCCCUAAAACACGCAAACAAGUACAAUGAGACUCGAUAACGAGUCAUAAACCAAAGCCAAAUACGACCCCAAUAGGGUUCCAUAAGCAUAUACAAGCAUUAGGGAAAAACCAGAAAAUUCGAAAAUGGAAUUAGCUUUAGCCCUGAAAAAAAAUAGUUUUUGACCUCAUUUUGCGGUAAUGGCACCAAAGGCUCUAAGAUUAUCGUAUGAAGGUGAAAGACCCACCGUUUCGAAGCUAAGAGAUAGGGUUACAAUAUUUUAGAAGGUCACUUAACCCAGUUUCGAGUGUAACCAGGUCAAAAAUGCAAUCUACUACACCAGAACCGCAAAACAGAUUCACAGAACGCAUUCUAGUACAUACAUCAUAAAACAACCUACAUAAGUCCAAAUCCAGAAAUUCUAAAGCCAUCUGAAGGAUAAGAAACAGGGAUACAUUUCAUCAGAAGACCUCAACAACCAAUUCGGAAGCAUUCCUAACUAAAAUAACCAAUUACAGAAGCAAUUCCCAAAUUCGGGUAAAACCAGGACAGCAAGGGUAAUUUCGACUUUUCUCAAGCUAACCUACUCUGAUUGACCUGAAAUUUUGUAGGCACUUCUAAAAUAUUAUUCCAUACAACUUUCAUGUUUUAACCCAAGGCUAAUUCGGCCUCUAUCUAUGAGCUACAAAAUCGGGCAGAAUGUAAUUUCAUAAACCCUAACUUUCCAAAAUUUCUUCCAAAACAGAAAUUGCUUGCAAUUAUCCACUUUUUCCACCUCCUAGGUCCCUUACACACCAUUUUCAAUCAUCAUACAUAGCCACACAAUCAUAUUCAUAUUAAAAUAGAAAAAUCCCCAAUAAUUACAAAACUUCAUCAAUUCAACCAAAAAUCACAAUAUAAUCCAUAAAGUUGCAUCUUAUUCCACCACUAAGCAUAAAUUAAGCAUCAUUAGAGGGAGGAGAGUGGUUCUUCAUAACUCACCUUAGAAACAAGAGAGAGAGAGAGCAACAAGUCCUCUUAGCUUUCCAAACAACUCCACCAAACCCCACACAAACACUCACUUAAGGUUUUCUAUGGAACAAAAGUAAGAUUAAGUGGUUGUUUUGAUGAUUUGGAGCAAGAUGGAAUCAAGAACUUGGAGAGUUUCCUUCUUUCUUCUUGAGAGAGAGGGCCGGCCAAGAUGAAAAGAAAAAUGGUGAAUUUUUGGUGAUUUUUGUGAUUUAUUUGGUCAAUUGGACAAAAGGUGAAUAGUGGUCUUACUUAAGACCAAAUCCCAUGGUGACACUUGUCACCUUCAUUAAUGCUUGCCUAACUUUUGUCUCUCUUAUACCAAUCCACUUAGCAUCCUCUACUUAUCUCUUAACACCCGGUAAAUUAAAUCCAGUAUCCAAAACUUAACCUAGUUGGCCGAAUUUUUUCGAACUUUUCGCACUAGUGGGUCGCACGUCCGGUAUACGCUCUUAAUUUCUCAAAAACUAUUUGAUACUAGAAAAAUCAUCUAAAAACUAUAUCUGCUCAUAAAAAUUAUCUAGAAAUUUUUCCGGAUACAGAAAGUGCAGAAAACAAGCCAUUGAAUAUAAUAAAACCCUAAAAUGGAAAAAUUACGGGCUCUCACACUCUCUCCCUCUUAAAAGAAUUUCGUCCUCGAAAUUUCUCACCUUGGUUCAGAAACAGUUCAGGGUAUUCCUUUCCACCUCCCAGGUAGCCUCUUCUAUCCCAUGAUGUCUCCACUUUUUUUUUCUUUUUUUUUUCCCGAGCGACAACAACUGCGACUAACUCCAGAUCGUCGGUUGGAUAGCUUUGUUCGUGGGGUUUCAAUUUCCCAGAGGCAAACGAUAUCACAUUCUGGUUUUGCGUCAACACACACCCCAACCUUCCCUCGAAGCAUCAGGGUAAACAGUAAAACUGUCCUUACCUUUAGGCAAGGCUAAAAGAAGAGCCAUGUUUAACCUUCGCUUUAAUUCCUGAACACUAUCCUCUCUCCUACCCAAACACUGCGAUCCUUACAAACCAUACCAGUGCUCAAACGAUGUUGUCCCCAUAGGAAUACUACUUUCAGGUCGUAGGGUAGACGAGCAGGUUUGGUAUCUAUUCCGUCUAUCAAAAUUGGGGUUGACAAGUGAAUAAGUAACACCGGAAUCUACUAAUAUUUCCGCAGAAAUACCACAAUCGUACCUUCCUCAAUUUCAUGAGAAUCGGGGACCUGUUGUGGCUCCAGUGAAUACACUCGAGCUGCCACCUUAGAUUUGGUCCCUUCUAUCUUUGCCGGUUCGAAAUUAGUCUUCGUCGAUUGCUGACUCCCCUUUCCAUCUCGUGAUAGGACUGGACAAGUGGCGAGCUGAUGGUUUGCACUUCCACAGCGCAAACAUUUCCCCUCCUUCUUCUAGCAAUUGUCCUCCGAGUGGUUUGACUUUUCGCAAUACCCGCAGGGUCCACGUACUGCAGAAGCCGAGCCUCCUCUCUGGCCUCUCCCCACUUGGCCGCCUCGUGACGGGCUCUCUUGUGACACUCCCGGCAUCCUUUCUCCUCCAGUUCCUCGCCCAAACUUGGAAGGGGUACUCUCGUCCCCCUGUCCAGAGUUGCUUCCAGGAAAACCCCGUUUCUUCGCCUGGAAGUUCCGUACUUGCACCCUGGCGCUCUCUACCCGUUGGGCCUUCUCAACGGCCUCGCUAAAAGCGUUAAUUUGGGCCACCGCGAGGUCCUUCUGAAUUUCUACGUUCAGGCCCUGGACAAAUCGCCGUAUUCUUCGUUGCUCGGUCAUGAUGAGUUCGGGCGCAAAUUUGGAUAGGCGGGUGAAUUGGUUCUCAUACUCCGCCACAGAUUGAGCCCCUUGGCGAAGUCGGAUUAACUCAUCUUCCUUUCUCUCCUGAACCAGAGGAGGGAAGAAUUUCUCGUUGAAUUCCCUUAUGAAAUUCACCCAAGUCCUGGGCAUUUGUUCCCGUUCCCAUUUUUGCCGUAUGAUGUUCCACCAGGAACGGGCCGCCCCUUCCAACUGGAAAACGGCAAAAGUCACCUGCCGUUCUUCGGUGUAGUGUAAGGCCGCAAAAAUAUCGACCAUCUUCUCGAGCCACCUCUCGGCGACAUCCGGAUCGGGCCCCCCAAUAAACUUCGGUGGUGCGAACUUCUGGAACCUCCCAAGUGCCCUAUCGUCGCUUUCGACAUGGUUGCCCGGGUUUUCAGGAUUAGGGUUUGGGUUUUGGCCUUGUUGCUGCACUACUUGUGCCAGCAGGUUGGUUAUUUUCUGCAUAGCGGCAGCUAUCUGCACGUUGGGGUCAACUCUCGGUUCAGGAUUAGGUCCAAAGGAGGUUUCCCCAGUGCCCCUUUCAGGCGUAGGUUACCUAUUCCCGCGCCCACGCCCCCGUCCACUACGUGUACCUUCCAUAAAAUCUAAGUCGAUCUAGGUCACAAAAUAAAUAUACUGUUAAAGGGCACCUAACCCUCCUUUUUGCAGCACUAAACAGGAACAAGUAAACAAGAACAAUUAACUAAACAACUCCCUCGUAGAGCAUUUAAACACAUAACACAUAUACAGAGAACACAUAACAGGAUCAACAAUUAUACAGAACAGUCAGUCAGGUACAUACAAAGUCAUCCCCUAAAACAAAGGUUAAUCACGCUUAACCAUACCCGAACAAACCACACGAAGUUCCAUAGAAUCGCCUUUCUAGUUCGCCCAAUCCUUUCUAACCUAGGCUCUCAUCUCUUUCGUAUCAGGCGCAAGAAUCCCAUCUAAGAUAAUUCACAACUCGAGCCGGCUGGUCCCAAGCGUAAAUCAUCCAUAUUAAAGAUUCCUACCCGACAUACAGAUCUAACUUCCUCAAGUUUCAUGAUAAAGAUUUUUACACUUAUAAAAUGCUCGGUUCAUAACUUAUGCUCAAAAGAGCACUUAACCCUUUCAGACACCUUCACCAAAAGCAGGACCAUAACACCACUUGGUCCCAAGCUCACUCCGCGCAGAGACCACGCGAAGUGGCUCUGAUACCACCUGUGACAGUCCCACUUUCCCCUAAGGCGAACCAAAGGUGUUAGCGGACUGCCUGCCCAACUCUCGCCACGACUAACAGUUCAGUUUCGGGACUAAUACGUUUCGGGACAUACAAACGCGCGUAAACAAGUCAAAAUGUCAAAAUAAAAAAUGAAACCGGAGUCGGCCAUGAAUAGUAACCGACACGUCAAAACCCAACCAAAUAUCAAGCAAACAUUCACAUCUUGAAAUUUAGCAUUUACAAGCCAAAGUGGCAUACAAAAGUAUUCAAAAGUAGAUACAUGUCUGGUUUGCCAAAUCAAAAGAGAAACGGUCCCAAAAGUAUAUUUAGGGUUUCAAUAAAUGAGCUAUACAAAAGAUAUGUCCAACUAACUCAAUUCGGCAACCAAUUAUCAAUUGCAGUCCAAAAGUAUUUAUUUUCCUGUAAGGAAAAUAAAAGGAAUAGAGUGAGCUAAUUGCCCAGUGAGAUAAUACUACUCAAGCAACCAAGUUCAUAUAAGCAUCAAGUUUUUCAUUUCAAUACAUCAAAAGUAGACAAAGGCACACAUUAAUGGUGGUGAUAAAAGGAUACGGGCGGCUCUCAAGAGCCCUUUUCCUCGUUUGCAUUCUUGAUCGGAUCUCAUUGACUCUCCGUCAAUGUUUACAAGUAACCAACCGUUGACUUCACUUUACUUCAAUUCCUUCCACCUAACAUCCCCCUACCGGGCCCGAACUCCAAACACUUGCACUGUGGUAUUACUUGAGUAUACCGGAAUCGAGAGUUUCUCAUACUACAAGAUUCCAUAUAACAUUUCCCCAAGGAUUAUUAAUUGGCACGACCAAGCCCUCACCGGCUCGAUUCAAUCAACUACCAAUGGGGUUGAGCUCAAUGAUAACCAUUGUAGUCGUUGGAUACUCGUCCAAUCGACACCAAGUCAAGUACUUUCAUUUCAUGUAACAUUUCAUGUAACAUUCUAAUAACAUGAUAAACAAUAAGUGAGAGUGAGAAAGUACGCUCUCACUUCAAUCAAUUAACAUUCAACGCGUCAAAUUCAAGUAUCAAAGCCAUAUAGUAACACACAAGUGAGUAAUACACUCACCAAGCUUGCAAAUGGUGUUUCAUGCACUUCCGUCAAAAGAACGUCGUGAACCACCGUCACGCCCUAAAACACGUAAACAAGUACAAUGAGACUCGAUAACGAGUCAUAAACCAAAGCCAAAUACGACCCCAAUAGGGUUCCAUAAGCAUAUACAAGCAUUAGGGAAAAACCAGAAAAUCCGGAAAUGGAAUUAGCUUUAGCCCUGAAAAAAAAUAGUUUUUGACCUCAUUUUGCGGUAAUGGCACCAAAGGCACUACGAUUAUCGUAUGAAGGUGUAAGAUCCACCGUUUCGAAGCUAAGAGAUAGGGUUACAAUAUUUUAGAAGGUCACUCAACCCAGUUUUGAGUGUAACCAGGUCACAAAUGCAAUCUACUACACCAGAACCGCAAAAUAGAUUCACAGAAUGCAUUCUAGUGCAAACAUCAUAAAACAGCCUACAUAAGUCCAAAUCCAGAAAUUCCAAAGCCAUAUGAAAGCUAAGAAACAGGGAUACAUUUAAUCAUAAGACCUCAACAACCAAUUCGGAAGCAUUCCUAACCAAAAUAACCAAUUACAGAAGCAAUUCCCAAAUUCGGGUAAAACCAGGACAGCAAGGGUAAUUUCGACUUUGCUCAAGCUACGAUACUCCGAUUGACCUGAAAUUUUGCAGGCACUUCUAAAAUAUUAUUACCUACAACUUUUAUGUUUUAACCCAAGGCCAAUUAGGCCUCUAUAUAUGAGCUAAAAAAUCGGGCAGAAUGUAAUUUCAUAAACCCUAACUUUCCAAAAUUUCUUCCAAAACAGAAAUUGCUUGCAAUUAUCCACUUUUUCCACCUCCUAGGUCCCUUACACACCAUUUCCAAUCAUCAUACAUAGCCACACAAUCAUAUUCAUAUUAAAACAGAAAAAUCUCCAAUAAUUACAAAACUUCAUCAAUUCAACCAAAAAUCACAAUAUAAUCCAUAAAGUUGCAUCUUAUACCACCACUAAGCAUAAAUUAAGCAUCAUUAGAGGGAGGAGAGUGGUUCUUCAUAACUCACCUUAGAAACAAGAGAGAGAGAGCAACAAGUCCUCUUAGCUUUCCAAACAACUCCACCAAACCCCACACAAACACUCAUUUAAGGUUUUCUAUGGAACAAAAGUAUGAUUCAGUGGUUGUUUUGAUGAUUUGGAGCAAGAUGGAAUCAAGAACUUGGAGAGUUUCCUUCUUUCUUCUUGAGAGAGGGGGCCGGCCAAGAUGAAGAGAAAAAUGGUGAAUUUUUGGUGAUUUUUGUGAUUUAUUUGGUCAAUUGGACAAAAGGUGAAUAGUGGUCUUACUUAAGACCAAAUCCCAUGGCGACACUUGUCACCUUCAUUAAUGCUUGCCUAACUUUUGUCUCUCUUAUACCAAUCCACUUAACAUCCUCUACUUAUCUCUUAACACCCGGUAAAUUAAAUCCAGUAUCCAAAACUUAAUCUAGUUGGCCGAAUUUUUCGCACUAGUGGGUCCCACGUCCGGUAUACGCUCUUAAUUUCUCAAAAACUAUUUGAUACUAGAAAAAUCAUCUAAAAACUAUAUCUGCUCAUAAAAAUUAUCUAGAAAAUUUUCCGGAUACAGAAAGUGCAGAAAACAAGCCGUUGAAUAUAAUAAAACCCUAAAAUGGAAAAAUUACGGGCUCUCGCACUUCUGGCUUCGCCAAUCACUAAGCUAGUGAUUUAGUCUACUUUAAUAGUUUUUGUGAAGGAUAGUCGGGGUGGUACUUGUUCAAAGGCCAUUGCAUUUUGUAUGUUGCUUAACUAUGCUUCCUACCUUUUGAAGCGAUUGAACGUUACUUAUGAGGUGCUUGACUUUAUUGCUCUAUAACUUCAAAUCUAUGCUAUGGGUUGUACACAUUUGCAACUAUUUCGGUGUCCCCCUUAUUAUUUUCGUUUUGCAUGAUCAAAGUGUCAUUUUCAAACUUCACUUAUGUGUAAUUAUUUUACGUCAUGCCUUUAUACAUGUUAAAUUAUGGGCGGCCGAAGAAGUGAAAGGAGCCGAGGAUGAGGGUUUAGGCAACCCCAAGCUCAAGGGGAUGAGUAAGGAACGACCACUGGACCAAACCAAAACCCUAGAAAUGAAGAGGAUAACCAAGUAGGUACUUCUAUUAAUCAUAUGAUUGAUAUCUUAGCACGGUUAGUUGAGUACCAAAACCCUAAACCAAUCAACCAACCUAGGGACCAAGAGAGGCGUGAGGAUAGAGAGAUUCUUGAAGUUCACCCUAUCUAAGUUUCAUGGAGGGUCUAACCUCGAAACAGUAGAAAUUGGUUUGAGGGGAUGAAAUAAGGCACUAGUGAGAGUGAGAGGUUAGGAUUUCUUCUUGAACAACUUUGUAAGUGAGUAUUGGAGAGUGGGUUAGGGUGUGUAACUUUUAUAUUAUGGAAUAAGAUCUCUGUAUUUUGUUAUGUUUAUAAGUGAAGAUAGUAAUCUUGUGGAGACUCAAGAUCUCGUCCACGUUAAGCAGAGAAUAGUUAAGAUUUAUAUUCCGGGGUAACCUAUGAGCAAAAGAAUGAAAGAGUAAAAUGGCUAGAGUUUCCAUUGUGAAUAGUUACUCAUUUUAAUCCCUUGAUUUGCUUGGUAGGCUAACAAUUGACUUAAGCCAACUGGUGAGAUGACAAAUUUGGAAGACAUGCAUAAGGAAAUGGACAUUCUUCGAAAGGAGGUAGAAUUUCAAAAGAAAUUGGCUGACUACUGGGAAGGACGGUGGAAACAAGAAUAUGCAGAAAAAAUUGAGUUGCUAUACAAGAACAUAGAACUGGAGAAGAAAUACAAAGGAGAUUCUCAAACUGUCAAGCCGUGACUCCUCAUGUAACUUGUGGAUUCUGUGGCAAGUUUAACCACACUGAGGUCGAGUGCUGGAGAAAGCAAGGAAAAUGUCUGAGGUACGGUAGUGCCGAACAUCAGGUUUCAACUUGUCUUAGUGCCUCUAAAAAGAGGAAAUACUCAGCAGUCUGCUAGGUCCACUGCAAAGCAAUCGAGUGCCAGAAGGAGUGAUUAAUGCUAAUAAUUAUAAAAGGGAUCCAAGUAAUAGAAACUCUAUGAGUAGAAAUGGAUCUGACUCCACUCGACAGAUAGACAUUGUAGUUUUACCCUAGUUUAGACUGACACUUUUAGAGGUUGUAAUUUCGUAUAGGGGAUGACAUCCUUUUGUUUUUUGGUAUAUUGCGACUUAACACGUUUUGCUAUAAUCUUGUUGUUUUCCCUUUCUUUUGAAACGAUUUGAUGAACUUAUUCUAACUUGGUGUAACUGUUAUGAUCUUUUAUGACAAAAAAAAAUUUACUUUACUUUUAAUUGAUUUUACGGCUUAUAUAUACAUUUAACUUAUUGUCCCACACUUUUAGACCUGUGAUAAGAUCAUGAACAGUACUUGAGGAUAGUUUUACAAAUCCCGAGAGAGCACCAACUUUUGUUAAGUUCAACAAGUGUGAGUUUUGAUCGAAAAAAGUAGAACUUGAUAAGAAUUUAUCCUAUGGAGAAAGGACGGUAAAGAUUUUAGAUUAAAAAGUGAAGGAAUUAAGACGGAAACAAAUCCCUCUGAUAAAGGGUUACGGAGAAAUUAUAGAAUGAAAGAAGCGACUUGGGAAGUAGAAGAGAAGAUCCAAAAGAAAUAUCCAGAAUUGUCCUUAAAUCAAUGUAUGAAUUUCGAUGACGAAAUUCUUUUAAGGAGGGAAGAAUGCGAGAACCCGAAUUUUUCUUACUUUUAAUUCUAUUUUACUGGCUUAUUCAAUUAUUUAUUCACCCGUUUUCUCCGAAUAAUUUAUUUCAACCAUUUUAAAUCCAUUUUCAUGGAACAAUAUCUUACUUAUAUGUUUAAAACGUCUCGUUAGCAAAUUUAAUUUUUCUGCGGUUCGUUUAGCGAGAAAUAAGUGAAUGCACGUUUUUCAAGGCAAGUUCGAUCCGAGAGUACACCAGUCUUGGAGGAUUAAGAAUGAUCAAUGGUAGACUAAGAAAAGUUAAUUGAGGGAUUAGAUGUGAGUGAGUUAAAAUUAAGCUUUUACCGCACGCGCGUCGAUAGUUUCUCGAAAGUCGCACUGGUACGACUAAUUGGAGAUUUAAGGAUGUAAUACUAGACUCAUAAGUGUGAGUAAUUAUAGUGUUAGAGGAAUUACCUUGGAGGGUUAGUGCAUAAGUGCAACAAACAAAAGAAAAAGUGGUAGUACGAAACCCUAAUGAGUUACCAUUAAGAGUUGACUUUUUGCAACUUUAAGUUAGCUUGUCCAACACCUUUUCUUCAUUCUUUCUCCCCAAGUUUCACAACACUUUUCUCUCUCUCACUCCCUCAUUGUUUCGGCCGAACCUAGAGGAAAAAAGGGAAGAGAAAAGCUUCAAUCUUGCUCAAGUUCUUCAUCCAAACAUCAAACCUCUCGGAGUUUCACUCUAGCUUGAAGAAAGGUGCCAUCUUGUGGAGUUGCUUGGUGAAAUUUUGGAGGAAACUCUCACUUCCAUCUAGGGUUUAGUUUCUUGGAAGGUAACCCCCUUCAUCCCUCCUUUAAUCUUUCAAUUUAAACAAAGAUUGAUGGUUAGAUUUCAUGGGGUUGAAACCCUAAUCAAGAUUCUAGGUUAGUGGCCUUGAGGAAACUUUUAUCUUGCUUUAUAUUCUAGGCUAGCGGCCUUGAGGUGACCUAUGAGGAAGCUAACUUGAGGAUAUUGAUUGAUUGUUGUUGUUUAUGUGAUUUAUAGCUUGAUUAUGGUUUGAUAGUGGAGAGAAAUUCGAAGGAAGCCGUGAGAGUGAGCUGUCCGAAUUUGCUGUUCUUGUUGUCCUGUUUUGAAUUCAAAUUUUGUUGCUUAUUUGGCUGCUAAACUUGUGACGCCCCGAAAGAAUGAGUUUGAGAACUCGAAAAUUUUUAUAUAUUUUCUAGAAAUUAUUUUGUUUCCUUGUCUAUAAUUUUAUGUCUUUUUUCAAUAUAUUAAUUUCCUAUACAUUUUUAUAAGGGAAUAUAGUUUUCAAAUCAUUUUCUUGAUACAAGUUAGUCCACGUUAAGUUUGAAGUGUAUUACGGACGUGGGACCCACUAGUACGGUAAAUGCGAUAUAAAUUUGACAACUUGUUGGAGUUUCGUAUUAAGUGAUAUUAUUUUACAAGGUGCUAAGAGAUAAUUAGAGGUUAUUUAGAUGGUUAAUCUUGGAGAGACAAAGGGAUAAGAAUAAACUUAAGAAGGGCCAAGUGUCGCGAUCCGAUUGGAAGUUGACUUGCCUAACUUUUAUUUAACUUUCCUAAACUCCAAUUUUGACCAACAUUUUCUCAUUUCUUUACCCCUCUUGGCUGAGACAUGUAGAGAGAAAAGAGAGGAAAAACCUUCAUCUUGUUCAAUUCUUGUCCAAAUCUUGAGUUUCAACCAACCAAAUCACAAACUACACCAUACAAGUGAUCAUUAGGGAAGGUUAAAGGUGUUGGUGGAGUUGUUUUGGAGGAGGAAAGAUUAAGCUCCUACCUUUCUUGUGGUUUUAAGGUAUUUUGCCAAGAACAUCCUCUUUACUUCAAUUCAUUGCUUAUUAGUGGUUUUUAGUUGUUUUAGAUGUUGUUUUGUGGAGGAUUAGCACUUGAAUACAUGAAUUCCAGCUUGGAUGAUAACCUGCCCUGCUUCUGCCCGGUUCUAUUUCACCUUGCUAGAGGCCGAACUAGCCUUAGCACAAAACAUGAAAGUUGUAGAAAAUGAUGUUUUAUAGUUUUUUACAAAAUAUCAGCUCAAUCGGAGCAACGUAGCCUAUGAAAAGACUGAAAUACCCCUGCUGCCCUGUUUCUGUCCGAAAAUGAAAAUCAGCCUCUGUAAGUGGUUAGUUUGACCAGGAAUACUACUGAUUUGGUUGAUGAUGUCUUCUUAAGAAUUAUAGCCUUGUAUCUUAGCUUUCAAAUGGAUUUGGAAUUACCUGAAUUGGAGUUGCGUGUGCUGAGAUAUGAGUGAAUGAAUCAGGACUGCUAGUUGAAUUUCACAGUGAGUUUCGAACUGGAAAAUCUGGAGUUGUUUUGGUAAAUUUGACCUAGUUAGGGUGAGAACUGGACUGAGUGGUCUUCAUGAAAGUUUUAGGUCCUUGUCUUAGCUUCGAAAUGGUAUAAAUUACAUUCCAAUCCGAUAAGGGUAGCUUCACUUAUGGAUAUUGUACCAAAAGGUGUUAAACGGAACUUUUAUACGUUAACUGCGAUCGUUGCGGAAAAGUUACGCUUGAGGGAAUAAAUUCCGGUUUCUAGGGUUUAAUUGGGGAUUUUUCUAAUGGUGGCCCUUAAGCUUCUAAUUAGCUUUUAUUGAGGGAUAUUGUGGCCUAAUUGGAUAUAUUUUAUUGCUUAUUAACCGUAUGUGUGAUUGGUAAUAUAUUGUAGGUUGGAAAUGAAGCAUUUAUGGGGAAGUGCUGUCCGAACUUUGAGAAUGUAUGAUUGCUUUGAGUUUGUGAUUUAGGGCUUGGACUCGGGCAAGGUAAUGAUAUAUGAUGGAUGGUUUCUGAUCCGUGGAGGUGAGUGACCCCAAACUGUUUCCAAAACUAUUUAUGAAUUGUUUCUUGCAUUAUUUACUCGAUUGCAUGUCAUGCGUGCUUGCAUGUGAGUUCAUGACAUGAUUUGGCUUAACUGAGUUCUUGGGAAGUCUGUGCUGAACACCAACGUCUCCACUAUCUGUUUACUAGUAAUUUGGAGCACGAUGGCUCCUCAUUCCUGUUUAUCUGUUAUCUGAGCUAUUUGAGCGUUGGGUGUUUAAGUGCAAUGAUUUCACUGGCUCACGAGAGCAAAAAUACGUACAUUUGAUCUUGGAAUCAUGACAUCAUCGAAAUGCAUUAUUGUGAAAUAUAUUUGAUUAUUGAUUUUAAUGGUUACUCACUGAGUUUCUAACUCACCCCAAAAAUAUUUUAUUCCCCUCCACAGGGCUCAUGGCGAAGGAAGGCUUGUAGUACUUAUUCACGUGACUGGAUGGCAUAUAUCUUGUACAGUUUGUGUGACAGUCCCACCUCCCCCUAGGGC